UUCGGUCUAAUAUGUGUUGUCAAAUGUUACUUAAGAUUCGAUUGGCUCUGAUGCAAUCAUCUUUCAGUUCUAUCUUUCUGACCAUUUUUUUAACUGUAUUUCUGAACAUUUUCAAAUGUCUUGAAUAGGUUGGCAUAAGUACAGGGCGCAUACAUGCUCGUGGACCUGUUGGUGUCGACGGUCUUUUAACCACUCGGUGGUAGGUCUUUAUGCCAGUUGUUUUUCUGCAAUUCUUCAGCAAAUAAUAGAACUGUACGCAAGAUACUUCCUGGUUCAAAAGCAUUAGUAUCUUCACUUAAUAUGUAUGCAUUGCUCUCCUCAUUUUAUAGCAUUCUUCGAGGGAGUGGACAAGUAGUGAACGGCGACAAGGGAGUUGUGUACACCCACAAGGAUCUUCCUUUGCAAUGAGGGUAAGACAUGGUUUACGUUGCUUCGCUUCGAUAGAAUGCAUGCUCACUGGAGUAUCUACUGACCUUCAGCUCCUAUGUUUGCAGGUAGAGGAUUCCUGCUGUAGAGCAAUUUUUGUAGAAUAAUCCUCUUCAAAGCCCCCUUCUCUCUGUGCGAGGAAUGAAGAAAGACAAGAGAGCAUUGUUGUUACUAUGUCGCUAUCUAGUUCCGUGAUUGUUCGUGUACAAUGAUUUAUCCAUACAAUGUCCUAGUUAUGGCACUAGUUGUUGUAACUGUAGAAUUGCAUCGGUACAUCUAUGCUACAUAUAUGAAGUAGCUGUACUGUUUCUGAUGAAGUCUCGAAUCCGUUGUCAUGUUGUCUUUCUAUGGCAAAGAGCACCUGAAAUGAAUGCAAUGGGUGUGCAGCCUUCUUGAAAUGGCGCUUGACAUAGUGGCAGUGGCUGUAAAACCGCUGGCCUCGCAGCUUGCAAGCUGAGACAUCUGCUCGAAUCCUCUUGUUACAAACAAACGAGUGGAUACAGGGGUGAACAAAACUAGCACCAGCUAUGUCUUUGGCACCAGGCGGGUGAACUUUGCAGCCGCAGCCGGUCAACACAGAUAGGUUCACAUAGCCAGGCCUCUGUGAGCAUAGAACUAUUUGCAAAUUAACUCCUGAAGUCUUGACAAGUCUUGCCAAAACGAACAAGUAAAAUGCAGUCUCAAGAAUUCUCAGAAUGCAACAAGCCAACAACCAUUUAUCAGAAAUCUCUGGAUUCGUGAUAAAUAAGUCUUGCCAAAACGAACAAAUAAAAACAGCAAUCUCAACAGAUUGUCAUGACUUCAGGAACGCAACGAAAGCUCAUUUAUGCGUCAAAUCACAGAACCAUAAACCUCUGAUCAUAAACCAUUUGCUUGCAUAUCUUAAACGAAUCUCAAAUCUUGAUUAUGAAGAUUAGGUGGGAUUUUACAAGGAACUUACUAAUUCAGAAUGUGCCAGGGACACCAUUACUACGAAAAAUGUCAUUAAAGGGGACCCAUUACAAACGUGUCAAAAUUGCCUUGCAGAAGUUCCACUGGUCUCCAAGUAAAGACCGGCAAUCAAUUUCUUGUUUCUCCUGAAAGACUGGGUCAUCAUGGCUAAUCUAAUCAUGUUAGGCUGUACAAUAGUGCCUACUUCAUCGUCAUUUUGGUAUGAUCAGUAAAGAUCAAAAAGCACCAGUGACUUGGCAGCAUCUUCACCAAUAGUCGCCACACGAACAAAUUCCAUCCCUGAAGUGGUGAAACCGAUUCACAUCCUUCACAACGAUUUCACGCUCUGUGAAUUUGGAGAUGAACUUGGUGACUGAAUGACAGUCCUCACAUAGCCUCAGGUUCUUGGUGAUCCUGAUUACUUCACCGCUUCGAGUGUUGAUAAGCCCAAAUGCAACUGCCAGCUUCUCACUGUGACCAAGCAAGAUCCUUUCCUUCUCUUCUUCUUCAAUGUCAUACAUGACUAUCUCUGUGUCAGGGACAUAGCCCUCAUUUUUCAUCUGUGCCACAAACUCACCUAUCAGAGCUUGAAGCUGCUCAACCGGCGGGUUCUUGUUGUCCACAGAUGUGAAAGAGUGUAUCUUCUUGUUCACCUCCAUCCAGCUGCACCCCGGCACCUUCUCCAGCCCAUGCUCCUCAAGCAGCUCCUUUAGCACGGCAACUUGGUCUUGCAGUUUAGCUCGAGAAUAAAUAUCAGCAAGUAGUACAUAGUUGCCGGCAUUUCUGGGUUCAAGAUCGAAGAGACGAGAGCAAGCCAUCUCUCCGUACUCCACAUGGCCAUGAAUACGGCAAGCUCCAAGCAGUGCACCCCACACUUGAGGACUCGGCUCAAUGUGCAUGCUCUGUAUGAGCUCCACUGCUUCAUCCAACUGCCCAGCACGACCAAGGAGAUCUACCAUGCAAGCAUAGUGCUCUGCACGGGGUUUGACACUAUAAUCCAUCAUCGACUCAAACAAUUUCUUCCCCUCAUCCACAAGUCCGGCAUGGCUACAAGCCCCAAGGACACUGAUAAAUGUUAUGAUACUCGGUGAUAGCCCAACUUGAAUCAUUUCCUCAAACACCUGAAGCGCCUCACGGCCAAAGCCAUGCAUCCCAUAUCCAGAUAUAAGUGAAUUCCAUGACACAACAUCCCUUCGGCGUCCUAUCCAAUUGAAGAUAUGCCGGCCAACUUCAAGGCAUCCACAUCUCAUGUACAUUGCCAUCAAUGCGUUCAGUACAGAAACAAGUGAGUCGAAACCCCUCCGAAGAAUAUAGGCAUGCAAUAGUUUGCCGUGACCCAGGGCGUUUACUCCUGCGCACGCAUUCAAGACACUUACUAUUGUGAUCGAGUUAGGCACCAGGUCUGCAUCAGAAGCCAGCAUAUCCUUGAACAGCUCAAUGGCAUCAGCAGGUCUCUCGUUCUUGGCAUAGCACGCAAUCAUGGCACUCCAGGAAACAACGUUCCUCUCUGGCAUUGCAGCAAACACAUUCUCAGCAUAGCCGACGAUCCCAAGCUUUGCAUAGCAGUCAAUAAGAGUAGUGGCGACAUGCAUGUGCAAUGCGUAGCCACGGCGGAUGGCAUGUGCGUGUACCUCGCGUACACGGGCGGAGGCCGGUGCGUGCGACGCCGACGCGGCGAUGCAGGCCUUGAGCCCGAGCGUGUAGCUGUAGCUGUCGACGGGGACGCCGAGCCGCCCCAUGUCGGCCAAGCGCGCGAGCGCCUCGUCGCCAUGGUCGGCGAGCGCGAGGGCCUUGAGCAGCGCGUUCCACACGAAGAUGUUCUUGUCAGGCGCCUCGUCGAACACCUGGCGCGCGGCCGGGAGCGCGCCGAGCGCGGCGUAGGCGUCGAUGAGGCGGGUGGAGAGGAAGGGGUCGGAGCGGAAGACCGGGUCGGCCUCGAGCCGGCGGUGGACGGCCGCGGCGAGCGCGGCGUCCCCGGCCCUGGCGGCGGCCUGGAGGAGCGACUCGUAGGUGCGCUGCGUGGGCGCGGGGAGGCCCUGGAGGAGCGCGGCGGCGCGGGAGAGGCGGCCGCUGGCGCAGAGCGUCUGGAUGAGGUGGUUGGCGUUGGCCGGCGGGGGCGCCGCGCCGGACGACGACAGGGAGGACCUGCAGCGCGCGAGCCUUGGGCGCCUGGCGCCGAACGCCGGGUGGGAGAGGUGGAGCGAACCCGCGGGGGCGGAGGCGAACAUGAGGUGGAGGGGGCGGAGGCGGAGGCGGAGGGGGCGGCUCGGUAGGGGCUUCACCGUGGGGGAGGAGGGGCGCGCCGCUGCGCCGGCGUGAUGGAUAUUUUUUGGGUUGGGUUCGGGGUCGGGUGGAGGCGGAGGAAAAUGGCCGUGCCGCGCGGAGCCGGAGAAGCGUCGGGAUUUUGCACUAUUUUUUGUGGUUUUGGUAGGCCGAUGCCCGAUGGGCUACGGGUUCAUCUUACACCUUUUGUAGCAGCAUCCCGCCCCCACGCUUGGGCUGCAAAUGGCCGAAUGGGUCGGCGUGUGAUCGGCCUGAAUAUUUUUUGUGGUUUCGGUAGGCCGAUGCCCGAUGGGCUCCGGGUCCAUCUUACACGUUCGACCGUUCGUUUGGGCUGCAAAUGGCCGAAUGGGUUGGCGGGUGAUCGGCCUGAGAAAAUUGGAGCACACUGGGUCGUGUGGUUCCGCGUGCAAGGCCGGUGCCUUCUAUAUGCCGCUCUCUGCGGCAAAAGAGUUAACUACACGGAGGUAUCACAAUUAGGGCAGUACGUGCUAAUUGGUACCAUUUUUCAUAUCACAUGUCAGUAUCAUGCUGGGCUAGCCGUUACAAAAUGGUCUAAACCGCAUAUAAACGUGUAUUGACGGUGCAUCUGACCAGCGGUGCCCGUCUGGCAGGUGCCGAUGCUCGCCAGCUGGAUUCAAACCUGCGACCUCCCGUUCACAGACUGCCCGCGCUAGCCACCACGCCACAGCAACGCUCGGGCUAGAGUACAUGCGGGAACUCCUUAAUACUAGCUCGGACACGUUGUGCCGGCAGUUGGGCCCAACGAGGCUUGCAAUUUUUUUCGUUUCGCCUACGUGCUCGGGCUGUUCGUUGCCCAGGUUUUUUUUUGUUUCAUUUCUUUUAUGCUUUAUUUUGUUUCUGGUUUUGGCUUAUUUUUAGGGUUUUCUUCCUUUCUUUUUCUUCAUCUUUUUUCAUUCAUUGGGUUCAUUUUUCUCUUUGGAUUUUUAACAUACUUACUGAAUAUUUCUUAAGAUAGGCUUCAGUAUAUGAUGAACAUGUCAUCAAAUACGCAUGAACAUUUUUUUAAUGUAUGCCGAGCACUUUCUCUACGUAUAGUGUUUUCAUUGCACGAUGAAGUUUUCUUUACAAACGGUGAACAUUUUUUUUAAUAUAAUGAUCUUUUGGUAAUAUACGUUGAACAUAUUUAAAAUUGAUUUUUUGUAAUAUAUGUUAAAUAAAUUCUUAAUAUAUGACGAACAUUUUACAUAAUGCGCGUUGAACUUUUGUAAUUUAUGGUGAACAUUUUCUAAUACAUGAUGAUUUUUUUUACAAUGUGUAUUUCAAAAAAUGUUCAGCAUAUGUAUUAAAACCUUAUUUUGUAGAAUCAUUCUUGCAUUUCAAGAAACACAUCACUUUUUUAAUAAAAUUUGAACAGUUUUAAUGCAUUUCUAAAAUUUAUUGUGAUUACACAAUUAUUUUUAAUACAUGUUGUCAACUGUUUAAGUAAUUGUGUGUUUAAAAAAAUACAAUCAAUAUAUGAGUAACUAAACAAAAAUGUGUUGGCCAUAUUUUUUUAAUAGUUGCGUAUUUGAAUAAUAUAAUGAGGAUACACAAUAAUUGUGCACGUGAAGACACAUAAAAUUUGGGUCGUGUGUGCGUUCUAGUCUGGUGCUUGACACUUAAUAAUACUAAUAUGUAAUCACAAAAAUGCAUUAAUAUCAUGAUUAAAAAAAUGAGUAACUCAGCGCGCAGCCUCACUGGGCCCAACCGCCGGCCCAACGUGUUGAAGCUAGUAUAGAAUAGUUCUCGUCUGUACUGUACCGCGAACUCCGUUGUCACGUUGUGGCUAACGCGCGAAGCAUGUUAACCGCAGGUCGCACCGUCGCAGGUUCUAUUCCUGCUGGCGCUUGAAUUUUUGUUUCUUUUAUUUAUUUUUUCAACUCAAUAGAAACUUUCAAACAAGUCUGACAAGAAAAAAGUCUCUCACAGGAGCCUUUUUCUCCUAAAAUAAUGGGCAUUUAUGUGAUUAUGUAUAAAGCAAGGGUGUUUUAAAAAAAUUCAACACGUUUAUACGCGGUUCAGAACUUUUUGUAACAGUAGCCCUAGACUUGAUACUGACAUGUAGAAAUUACGAAAAAUGACACCAAUCCGCACAUGCUGCCCCAAUUGUGGUACCUCCGUGCAAUUAAUUGGCGGCAAAGAGUCACCGUUUCUCACAGGCGGAUCUCCGACUGGGCCGGCCCAUGAAGAAAGUGACCAACAUCAAACACGCACUAAUGCUCAAAAAUUAUUUGCGGUUGCCGGGAUUCGAACACAUGAUCGAGGAAUGUUACAACUAGCCGAGAUAGCUUUUUUCUUAGGAUCAAAAAAAUGUGACAAUUGUUGGAUUUGAACCCACGCCCUUUUGCGACAGCUAAGAUAGCCGUCGUAUCUGAUCAUAUAGUAGCAUCAACAUAAAAGAACCAACAUGUUGCGCAGAUCCAAAUUAGUUUAGGAAUUUUGAAAGUUUUUUUAAAACGACAUGUUCAGUGAAAUGCAAACAUUUUCCAAAUUUGUGAACAAACUAAAAAAACUAUAAUAUUUUUCAAAAAUCAUGAAUAUUUUUUUGAAACGCGAACAUUUUUCCGAAAUCCAAAAAAAAUUGGAAACGCGAAUAUGUUUUGAAAUUUCAGAACAGAAUUUGAAAAGACGAAUAUUUUUUGAAACUGGAUUUUUUUUAAACUCCUGAAAAAAAGGAAAACAUGAACAAAUUUUGAAAACAGAAACAUUUUUUGAAAAAUUUGAAAAAAACAUUCCGAAUAAUUUUUGAAAGCAAGAACAUGUUUUGAAAUUCUAAACAUCUUUUGAAUUUAUGAACACUUUUUUAAAUGCAAACAUUCUUGUAAAUUAAACAUUUGAUAAAACUCAAACAAUUUUUAAAAUUUACGAACAAUUUUUGAAAGAUGAUCUUUUAAAAAUAUAUAAAAAUAAGAGUUAAAUACACCACGGGUGUCUUAACUUGUCCUAUGCGAUCAGUUUGGUGCCUAAAGUUUUAAAUACUUCCUCCGUAAACUAAUAUAAGAGUGUUUAGAUCACUACUUUAGUGAUCUAAACGCUCGGAUGGAGUACAUGAAAGUGGUGCUUGAACUUGUCAGUCCGUGCAAAUACAGUGCCUUCUACCGUAUCCGGACGUACGCCCUGCCCGCGUGGCACGCCAGCGUGAUGGCGGCCCGCAUGUCAGUGGCUGGACGUGGACAAGUGAUUUUUUUUUGCAGAAACCACCUCAUUUUUAUUUAAUUACCAAGAAAGGCCCCUCAAAUUAGAAAUAUGAGUUCGACGUGUCAGUAGAGUGAGAAAUCACUAAAAAAAUGGCAGCGUGGGACCUCCUGCUUAAUGCACGCACAUGCUGGCCACCUGACCAGAAAUAAGUUAUGCAUUCUAUUAGUAACUAGAAAUGUGUGUAGAACAAUAUCGCCUAUAGAUGUGCAAUUCCUUAAUACAUUUUCUACAUUUUUUUCAAGUUUUUGUUUAGUUUCCAUGAUAUGUAAAAUUUGUCAUAUAAAAAAUACAAUAAUUAUCAGUAGGCAAUUAUUGUGCAGUUUAAUUCUUUAUUCUAUUUUUAUUAUUGUGUACUUUGAAGAGGUAAACAUGAACUAAUUCUAAAAUUUAUGUAGAUUUAGACAGUUCAACGUAUAUUAAGAACUAUUGUCUAAAUUUAUGUAUAUUCAUGCAGGACCAAAAGCACGGACAAUACUGUGUAUUUUCAUUGUAUUUUUAAAAUAGACAAUUACAAAAAAAUUGACAACGUAAUUGUUCAAUGUGUUUAAAAAAUUAUUGUGUUAGUGUAUUAAAACAUGUUAAAGGUGUUUGCAGAAAUGUAAGAACAAUUUACACAAUAAAUUAUAAAAUAAACUUUGACCAUUUUUUUAAGUACAUGUCAAUUUUUUGAAUGCAUGACAAACAUCAUUCAAAAACACGUUUACAAUUUUAUAAUACACGUGAAACAUUUUUCAAAAACAUGUUGAACAUUUUUUUUCAAAUGCACUAGCAUAUUCCCUAAGUCUCCCUCAAUACGAUAACAAGUGAAGAAUUUAGGUGCACCAAACAAAUAUAGUUUUUGCAUGGUAACACCAAACAAAUAAAUUUUCACACGAAUGCAUACCACACACACACAAUAUCCGGUAUUAAGAAAAACAAUUACAUGCAGCCAUGCUGGGUGUAGUGUAUUUGUUAACAUGUGAAUGUUGUGCAUGUGAUGUCCUGGCAUCGAAUCCCUCUAGGCUCGUCCUUUUUCUUUCUUACUACUAUUUUUUUUCAUCCGCUCGCCCACGUUGAUAUGCAGGACCUAAACAUGACAGGUUGGAUCCAUUAUCAGUCUGCAUCCGUAUGCCAUACAUUUAUGUGUAAUUAAAUAAAACCUAAGGGAGUUGGCUGUAAAUAAAAUGCUCUCACUCAUUGACAUGCAGACCGUCGCCAUGCUGGCGUGCCACAUGGGCAAGGCGUACACCCGGAUACGGGAGGCACAGUAUUUGCAUGCUCGGACAAGUUCGAGCACCAUUUUUAUGUAUUUUACAACUUUAGACACCAAACUGACUGCACAAGACAAGUUAACGCACUCAUGGUGUAUUUAUCUCUAAAAUAAACUUGAAAAGGAAGAAAAAAGGAAAAAAAGAUGAGAAAAAGAAAGAGAAAACGGAAAAAAGAAAAACAAAAACGAGAAAACCCAAGAAGAAACAGUAAACGGGUAAAAAGGACCAAAAAAAUGAUUCAUGUAACCUACUAGAAGGUUCCCAAAAACGGCUGGCUAUGUUUGGUAUAAUGGGUUGUCCAUUGCUAGCGUUGCGGGGUUUUGUGUGUGCCUUGCGUCGACAGUUCGAGGCAUCGAGCGGCAAAUAGGGUUUUCCGGCAAGGCCAAUGGUGGGCUGCUUAUUUUUAGCUCUCGUGUAGUAACUAUUUUGUUUUAUUUCAGACCUAUCGUCGGCCGGAUUCUGGGCGAAUCCUAUUUAGCGCUGCAGGUGCCGGUUACUACUAUUUCUGCAAACCGGCGCCUACCGCCACAUGAUCGAUGGAAGGAAACAUGGAGCGAUCUUUUUCCGAGACGAAAAGCAAGGAGCGAUCGAUCGAAGCGGCGAUUGCCCAACAAGAUGGGCCGGCCAACUACGCGGCUGCGUGUGCGCCAGUUCCUCGAAACGGCGCUUGCAGCGCUGAUUAGGAGGACCCCGGAUUGUGUGUUGCAUCACCUGCGCAUCAAGGUGGCCCAUGUGCAGAAGGGCGCAGGUUGCUGAUUUGUUCCUCAUCACCCGGUGUGGGAUGGUGCGCCCUACUUAUCUACCGCGAGGACUAUAUCUCGCUUUACACGAGCCUUAAGCACCUCUCUCGCUGAAGGAUUUCUUCCCUCGCACAGAAACUAGGUCGGCCCGAUUAUUUUUUUAUUUUGAUCGCUGGCGACAGCUGUCACGCGACGCUCGCUCGGGAGCGAUCGCUUUACUGGUUCGAUUCCUCUUUUUUCUCUAUUUUUUCUUCUCCGAUCUUUUGUUUUCCCUUUAUUUCUCAUCGGUUUUCUGUGUCUUCUUCAUGGUUUUCUUUGCCUUUUCUAUUAUAUUUGCUUUUUUUUAUUUGCUUUCUUUGUUUCUUUUUUCGAUUCUCAUCAAUUUGUUUAUCUUUGUUUUUAUUCGCUUCUUUCUAGGGUUUCAUUUGUUUUUUUCUUUUCUUUCUUUGUUUCUUUGUUUUUUCUUGGUUUUCUCGGUUUCAUUUUUCACAAUGUUUUUGCUGUUUUAUUAUUUUGUUCUUGUUUUCUUGGUUUUUCAUUGCUUUUUUCCAAUUUUAUUGGUUUGUUUUUUAUAACAUGUGUUAAAUUUGUUUUCAAUACACAUUCAAAAAAAUUCUCAUAUAUCAGAUUUUUUUAUAUACACGUUUAACAAAUUUGUAAAACUUGAUUAAUUUUUCUAAAAUUAUUUUUUUAUUUCUACUUUUUCAUAUAGAUUGUACAUUUUUUGUAUAUAUGUAUUGCAUAUUUUUAAUACACAUUUAACACUUUUCAAAUACAAGUUUAACAUUUUUUUGAUACAUGGUCAACAAUUAUUGUUUCUUGUCUUUCAAUAUUUUUUCUUUGUUUCGUUAUUAAUUUGGAUCAAGGGCGAGCGGAUAUUUUUGAGAUUGCGAGGGAUGCAGAGGCGGGAGUAAAAUGUCGGGGCUACUGAAAAUUUGAAUCAAGGGACUGAAGCAAAGCGGGGGUAACAAACAUCGCACACGGUCCGCACAUACUAAUCGUGUGCUAUCAAACAUUAAACCUUCCAGGCGGUAGAUAUUUUCGAGAUUGCGAGGGAUGCAUAGGCGGGAGUUUUUGGGGAGUGAGCUAGUGUGCUUGACACGCCGGUUGUGGACUGUAGCCGACGCACCUUCUUGUGUAAGCCAUAGGCGUACUAUACACCGACGGUGCUCCAAGAUAUUUUGUACUACAUCUCACACGGUUGGUCAUAAUAAACUGUGUGGGAUGUACUUGAUUUGUAUUACAAAAUGGGGUCACAGCGGCAAUGGACACUGUUUGAAUUGCUAGACCUUUUAUCUGCAGUGAACAUGCAACUAUAUGUGUGUCGUAAAAGAAUUGGAAUUAUUCAGGGUUCGUUUGGACAUUUUAUACAUUAAACUGGUUUUGUAGCCAUUUCACGUGCACAAUUCAAAAUUAAACUACAUGCACAUGCUCCGGUGCAUACAAAUUGGUUGAAAAAUCAAAUUUGUGUCCUUUAGUGCAUGCUUAGGUCCCAUGCAAGAAAUGGGAAUGAAUUUUUGGGGUUCGUUUGACCUUUUUUAAACAUUAACUGGGUUUUCUAGGCAUUUUAUAUGCAUAAUUCAAAUUUGAACUACAAGCACAUGCUCCAAUGCACCAAAGUUGGUUGAAAACUCACAUGUGUGUCCUUGGGUGAAUUUCUAGGUCCCAUGCAAGAGAUGGGAAUGAAAUUCAAACACCAGGGCGCUGUUGAUUGCCGGCAAAACGUUGAGAUGCCUGGUUUUUAAAUUCUAGUAAAUCCAAAACUCGUAUGAAAUUCAUGAAACUUGGCGUGCUAUCAUGGAGCGGCAUCAACAUGCCGUGGUAAAAUUUUUGUUUCAUUUGGGGCAGGUUUGAGUAUAAGCUUCUCACAAACCAGAGCUUCUCACAACAAGCAUGGUGGUUUCGAUAGGGAACGUACCAUCUUUGGGGACGGGACGAUAUUCGUUGCCUCUUAUUGCUUUCAAAAAUUUUCUAGUGUCAACAUAGAACAACAGGAGUGUUGUGUUUAAUCUCAGAAUUUUUGGGGUUCGUUUGGCCUUUUUUAUACAUUAACUGGGUUUUCUAAGCAUCUUAUAUGCAUAAUUCAAAUUUGAACUACAAGCACAUGCUCCAAUGCACUAAAGUAGGUUGAAAAAUCACAUGUGUGUCCUUGGGUGAAUUUCUAGGUCCCAUGCAAGAGAUGGGAAUGAAAUUCAAACACCAGGGCGCUGUUGAUUGCCGGCAAAACGUUGAGAUGCCUGGUUUUUAAAUUCUAGUAAAUCCAAAAUUCGUCUGAAAUUCAUGAAACUUGGCAUGCUAUCAUGGAGCGGCAUCAACAUGUCGUGGUAAAAAAUUGUCCCAUUUGGGGCAGGUUCGGGUAUAAGCUUCUCACAAACCAGAGCUUCUCACAACAAGCAUGAUGGUUUCGAUAGGGAACGUCCCACCUUUGGGGACGAAACGAUAUCCAUUGCCUCUUAUUGCUUUCAAUUUUUUUCUUAUGUCAACAUAGAACAACAGGAGUGUUGUGUCAAUUUUUGGGAUUUUCGGGGUUCGUUUGGAUAUUUUUAUGCAUUAACUGAGUUUUCAAUGCAUUUAUGUGCAUAAUUCAAAUUUGAACUAGAUGCACAUGCUCUAGUGCAUAUAAAUUGGUUGAAAAAUAAAAUAUGUGUCCUUGGGUGCAUGCUUAGGUCCCAUGCAAGAAAUGGGAAUGAAUUUCAAACACCAGGGCACCGUUGAUUACCGGCAAAACAUUGAGAUGCCUCGUUUUUAAAUUCUAGUAAAUCCAAAACUUGUCUGAAAUUCAUGAAACUUGGCAUGCUAUCAUGGAGCGGCAUUAACAUGCCAUGGUAAAAAAAUUGUCCCAUUUGGGGCAGGUUUGGGUAUAUGCUUCUCACAAACUAGAGCUUCUCACAACAAGCCUAAUGGUUUCGAUAGGGAACGUACGUCCCACCUUUGGGGACGAAACGAUAUCCAUUGCCUGCUACUGCUUUCAAAUUUUUUCUCGUGUCAACAUAGAACAACAGGAGUGUUGUGUCAAUUUUUGGGAUUUUUCGGGGUUCGUUUGGACAUUUUUAUGCAUUAACUGAGUUUUCUAGGCAUUUUAUGUGCAUAAUUCAAAUUUGAACUACAUGCACAUGCCCAAGUGCAUAUAAAUUGGUUGAAAAAUCACAUGUGUGUCCUUGGGUGCAUGCUUAGGUCCCAUGUAAGAGACGGGAAUGAAUUUCAAACACCAGGGCAAUGUUGAUUGGCUGCAAAAUGUUGAGAUACCUGGUUUUUAAAUUCUGGUAAAACCAAAACUCGUCUGAAAUUCAUGAAACUUGGCAUGCUAUCAUGGAGCGGCAUCAACAUGUCGUGGUGAAAAUUUUGUCCCAUUUGGGACAGGUUUGGGUAUAAGCUUCUCACAAACCAGAGCUUCCCACAAGCAUGAUGGUUUCGAUAGGGAACGACGUACCACCUUUGGGGACGAGACGAUACCCGUUGCCUCUUAUUGCUUUCAAAAAAAUUCUAGUGUCAACAUAGAACAACAGGAGUGUUGUGUUUAAUCUUGGAAUUUUUCGGGGUUCGUUUGGCCUUUUUUAUACAUUAGCUGUGUUUUCUAGGCAUUUUAUGUGCAUAAUUCAAAUUUGAACUACAAGCACAUGCUCCAAUGCACCAAAGUUGGUUGAAAAAUCACAUGUGUGUCCUUGGGUGAAUUUCUAGGUCCCAUGCAAGAGAUGGGAAUGAAAUUCAAACACCAGGGCACUGUUGAUUGCCGGUAAAACGUUGAAAUGCAUGGUUUUUAAAUUCUAGUAAAUCAAAAACUCGUCUGAAAUUCAUGAAACUUGGCAUGCUAUCAUGGAGCGGCAUCAACAUGCCGUGGUAAAAAAUUUGUCCCAUUUGGGGCAGGUUCGGGUAUUAGCUUCUCACAAACCAGAGCUUCUCACAACAAGCAUGAUGGUUUCGAUAGGGAACAUCCCACCUUUGGGGACGAAACGAUAUCCACUGCCUCUUAUUGCUGUCCAAAAUUUUCUAGUGUCAACAUAGAACAACAGGAGUGUUGUGUCAAUUUUUGUGAUUUUUUGGGGUUCGUUUGGACAUUUUUUUGCAUUAACUGGGUUUUCUAGGCAUUUUAUGUGCAUAAUUCAAAUUUGAACUACAAGCACAUGCUCCAAUGCACUAAAGUUGGUUGAAAAAUCUAAUCUGUGUCCUUGGGUGAAUUUCUAAGUCCCAUGCAAGAGAUGAGAAUCAAAUUCAAACACCAGGGCACUGCUGAUUGCCGGCAAAACAUUGAGAUGCCUGGUUUUUAAAUUCUAGUAAACUCAAAACUCGUUUGAAAUUCAUGAAACUUGGCAUGCUAUCAUGUAGCGGCACCAACAUGCCGUGGUAAAAAAAAUUGUCCCAUUCGGGGCAGGUUCGGGUAUAUUCUUCUGACAAACAAGAGCUUCUCACAACAAGCAUGAUGGUUUCGGUAGGGAACGUCCCACCUUUGGGGACGAAACGAUAUCCAUUGCCUCUUAUUGCUUUCAAAAAAUUUCUCGUGUCAAGAUAGACCAACAUGAGUGUUGUGUCAAUUUUUGGGAUUUUUCGGGGUUCGUUUGGACAUUUUUAUGCAUUAACUGAGUUUUCCAUGCAUUUAUGUGCAUAAUUCAAAUUUGAACUACAUGCACAUGUUCUAGUGCAUAUAAAUUGGUUUAAAAAUCAAAUCUGUGUCCUUGGGUGCAUGCUUAGGUCCCAUGCAAGAAAUGGGAAUGAAUUUCAAACACCAGGACGCCGUUGAUUGCCAGCAAAACAUUGAGAUGCCUGGUUUUUAAAUUCUAGUAAAUCCAAAACUCGUCUGAAAUUCAUGAAACUUGGCAUGCUAUCAUGGAAUGGCACCUGACAUGCUGUGGCAUUUUUUGUGUCCAUUUUGAGAGAAGGCGCACUCGAAUAAUGACAGCCAACAAAGGCAUUUUGAAAAAAUAGCUGCCACUUUAAUAUCUCAAACGUUUAUAGAAUUCAAACCGUGUGUGUUCUGUUAACCAUUCACGUGACGCCAUGUGUCUUGGUUUUAAUGGCUGUAGGAGGUGCCGUGCGGACAGCUGCUUGACCUUGAUUGAACGGGAGGCGUGCGAGCGCAGUCGGGUGCGCAGGCUGACCGAGAGGCGUGCAAGCUGUCCUCCAAUGCGCAGGCUCACCGGGAAGCGUGCGAGCUGUACGCUGUGCAGGCUCACUGGGAAGCGAGCCCUUUGACUUCCAUGGCCGCCCGCCUUCCUCUCCAUUAAUGGUGCCCGAGCCGCUGUUUAAUACGGGCGACCUUACUAUUCGCCUACCAUUCCCCUCCGUCCUGCAGACCUCCACCAACGCCAUGGCGCAGAACGAUCAUCUGCCACUAGUCUUCAAGUUUGGUGAAGUCGACUCCGAGCUGGAGGAGAUAGAAAAUAAGGAGGAAUGGGGCCUCAUGGACAUGGCCCAGAACGAGCUGGCCGUGGCGGUUGCUGCCCCCACUCCCGUCCUAGCUCCCAUCCCCGCGCCCGCGCCAGCGACCAUCCCCGUAGCAUUGACGGGCUGGUCGCCGAGCACUAUCGCAGAGCUGGAAGCCACAGGUGUCAGCGAGGUCUCCGCGGACCUGCGCGAGCUCGUGUACAUGCCAGCGCCCGUGCCCGUGCCCGCCCCUCCAUCCACCAUGGCACCGGCCCCCGUGCGUUUGGCUGCACCCGCCACGCUCGUGCCCGUGCUCGUGCGCGCGCGCCCCUCAGCGGCAUGGGACGCUGCCGUCGACCGCUACCUCUCAGCGGCGCCAGUUGCCGUCCUCCCACGCCCCGCCGGUCAAUCGCGCGAUGACAUGAUGUUUGAUUUACAAGUGAAGAACAUUUUGUGCUGCCUUCAAGACUUCAACAACGGUGUCCCGUAGGACGACAACGACAACGACGGCGUGGCACGCCGCCUCCGCUGCCGCCGGAAAUGUUUUUUUUUGUUUAAUACUGUAUCUCGAAUUCUCGAUCAUAUGAAUAUAAAUUCAUAGUGUGACUGAAUGAAAGAUAUGGUUUGAACAAACUUGCGUUUUUCUCUCUUAAUGUACAGACUUAUCAAACGAUUUUCUUUUGAAAAAAACGUCAAUGGUUUUUACAUAUAAAACAAUCAUCACAAACGUUUUAGUUAGAACACCCGUAUGCAAACCAACAGCUUCCCCAGGAGGCAAGGGAAAAUGUGCCGAGCAGGAUUUUUGCAUCCCUUCAACGCAAACGGUUGUUUUGCAUGACCCGUGUGCAACCACGUAGAAACAAUUGGGUAAGAUUUGCAUAUCUUUCAUUUUGGGUAUGUUGCCAUUUGUCAAACUGGAAAGAUUGACAUUUGUUUAUCUAGUAACAUUGCCAUCUGUCAACCUUGUAACACUGCGAUUUGUCAAAAUAUGCAGCUAAAAAUCACUAGCACUAUCUAAUUUUUGCAACUAAAAUCACUGGCACUGUUCAUAUGGACACCACUAGCACGCGUGAGUGGAUGGACGCAUAUGCAAAUGUACCAUUGAUUACAUACAACAAGUCAUCAGCCCACAACGACAACUAGGAUACACAUUGGAUUAUAGAUCAUUUCCAACAAAACAUUCUAGUAAAGUUUUUCUCACACAACAACUAAUAAAGUGAUGAAAUGAACUUCAGCUCAACCACUCGUCGGCGUUGGAAACACUUGCUUUGAACCAGAAGUGAUUCUCUGGGAAGGGCCAACUACUGUCAAUCUCAAGACCAACGCAGGACUGAUCAUCCAGGCUGAAGCGGCCUAUGUCAGGACCCAUAUUGGGACGGUAGGGAAGCAUAGCAAUGUCCUAGGUAUAGAUACAGUUGCUUCUCCUAAAUGGUAGUAACGUUGUGUCAACAACAGCUGGAUCGCCUUCCACCAUCAUUGGAUAGUUUUGUCCAAGGAAGAGCGAGUUUCCUCCAAUACUUUCAAUACUGAACCAGGGAGAAGGUGUUGGCGCUAGUACACCAGUAUCCACCCCGAAUACCCUGCAACGGAUGUUGGAAUAGGUCCGGAGAGUGUGACCAUGCGAGACAACACCUGCUUCCUUAGUAACAUCAGCAGUGCCCUGUAUACAGACAAGAAGAGGUGAUCCAUCAGAAGAAGUUGCCAGGCACCACUGAGUAUAUGGGUCCUGCUCGUCCUCAUGCUCGUGAUCAUCAGCAUCGUCAUCUCCCCCUUGGUUAUAAAAUUUUUCAAGUAUAGGUGGUGGAAUGUUCACAGGACCUUGGAAACACAAGAAGGUUAAUUAAUUAGUAAAGGGAAACUAGCUAACCCGCAUGCAUGUGGAUGAAACAAUUAUAAUUACAGUGGAAGACAAACGUACCGAAAGCAUUAGGAUUCCAUGCAAAAACAGUGCCACGAGUGGUGGCAGCAAACACAAGACCCUCGUAUUGAAUUGCAUCACAGUACUCAUCCGUGUACAGAAAUUGAUUUUUGAGCAAUAUCCAUCGAGGCGUGGAAGUAAGGACGGCAACAAGCUUGUCGAAGAUAGCAACAACUUCAUAGUUCGUGUAAUCCCAAGAGCGGUUGGGAACGCGACAAAUUGCUAUCUUCCGUAGAAGACAGUCACCAUGAUCGUAUUUGAACUCACGUAGAAUACCGGUGUACUCAACCUCUAGGCAGUCGCCUGAGAUUUUUGGAAGUGGAAUCCGAUGACGAGUGUACACAUUCACAAGUUCCCACUCGCAAUUGUACCCAAUAUAAAAAACCCAAUCUCCAUUUGCGCCUGCCCAAGCCUUACCCUCAAGCGAUGGCAUCUUAACAUCAUACGUAUCAUUAUCAAGCGGCAUCAACUUGCACAAGGCGAGGCUUCCCUCGUCCCCGCGCCAGUCAGCAGGAUCACGGUGAAGAAGAUAGGGGAGACCAAACUGCUCCUGGACCCUUGGGUUCCUUGUAAUGAUGUUAUUAGUUUAGUCGAGAAUGGUCUUGAACAAACCUACCAUGCUAGCCGAGGUGAUGACGUCGCACCGAUCAAUGAGUUCCUCCACCACGUCAUCUUUCAGAUCGGGGCAAGAAUAACGGGGUCGUUUCCGGUCUGUUCCCUCCAUGGAGAAGAUGAUCGAACAAUGGCACAAGCAAGGGUGAAGGCAAAUGGAGGGAGGAAGAGCGUGCGACAGCAGUUCCAAAUCGAGAGGGAAAGGCGAAGAGGCGGUGGACGGUUGCCACGGUACACGAAGAGGCGCCUGGGGAGCAAAUGGUUGCCACAGAGGUCACACACUGACGACAAGGGCCGAGUGAACCGCAUGCGUAUAUCGCACACACCUUGAUCUGGCUGACCGUUUCUUUUGUGUUGCCUAAUCACAAACAGUUCAUCCGAGUGAACCGUAUGCUGUGUAUCGCACACACCUUCAUCUGUCUGCGUGUUUCUUUUGUGUUGCCUAAUCACAAAUAGUUCAUCCGAGUGAACCGUAUGAUGUAUAUCGCACACACCCUCAUCUGGCUGCCCGUUCCUUUUGUGUUGCCUAAUCACAAACAGUUCAUCCGAGUGAACCGUAUGCUGUGUAUCGCACACGCCUUCAUCUGGCUGCCCAUUUCUUUUGUUCCUCCUCGUUGCAAAUAGUUAAUUGAACUGAACCGUAUGCCCUUCAUCGCACACACAACUAAAACCUGAACCGUGUUUGAUGCAUCCGUCAUCGCAAACGUUUUAUACAUUUCUGACGGUUUUCAUACACCACCGUUUGCGAUUAUGGCAUCGCACACAGUUUCUCGAAGGGUUUCUGAUCGUAGUGUCGCGUUAGCAGCAUCCUACAGUAGUGUCUAAUUAUGAGGAUUAGAGGAUCUAGGUCUAGCUCUAAUUGAUCAACUAGGACCAACUAGAACUAGAACUAGAGAACUAGAGGAGGCUCCAAAACUUGUGUGUAGAAAAAGUGCCAAAACCUCUAGUAUAUAUAAGUAGGAGGGAGAGGAAACGACGCCACAUAAGAGGGGAAAGUCUCCCCCUUGCACCGGCCUAAUUCGACCUCCCCUCUCUCCUUUCCAUGGGAAAGUGGGGCGCCACUUGUGGCCCAAUACUCCUUCCACCUCUUCGCCUUUUAAGGCCUGUUGAUAUUAAAUUAAAUAUAAAAGUCUCCUAACUAUUAUUAGAGCCUUUUAUUAUCAAUUUAACAUCCCUGGAAACAUUUUCCAGCUAUAUAUUAUUUAUCGGUAAUACCCGGUAUUGCCCAAUAAACUCCGAAACCCUUCCGGUGACCCCAAAAGCUUAUGGUUCCUCUCGUAACUUUGUCGUAUAUUAAUGGAAAAAAAUUCAUGAAUACAAUCCAUUACUCCCGUCCUACUAACACUCAGUAGAUCAUGAUUACCUUAAGCUUAUGACCCUGUAGGUUUGGUAAAACAUACAUGAACAAAAACCCCUUUGUUCAAUGACCAAUAGCGGAACCGUGGACGUCCAUAUCGAUCCCUAUGAGUAGACGAAUGACAUUCGAGCGAAUCUUUUGAUUAUCAUGUGCUAUUCCCUUUACUUUAUACUUUACAAAAUCCGAGGUGAGAUGUAUCAGUAUCCUCUUGAGUCAUACACAUGCUAACUAUACCGGUCUCCUCGUUACCAGUUUUGUUCUUCUUUCUCAUUGACAUGUUCCGGCAUCCCUGUGACAUAGUCACCUGUGUCUGGCCAAACAAUGAUGGAUAUCAUCACACCAAGAGGACCCUAAUAAUAUCUCUCCAUCGUCGGUGGAGCAAAUUCCACUCUUGAGCUAUCUAGUCCCUUGUCAAACUUUUUGAUGAACCUGUAAGUUGUCAUUAUGAUCACCUUGUUACGGAUGAUGUUUGAGCAACCCCAAAGUUCAUCAUACGGUAAGAAGUGACUACGAUACUCUCAUGGUCUAAGGAACUAGAACACAUGUUAACACUCCAUAUCAUAACAAUUGACUUCACACGAUAUUAUCUCAAAGUAUAUCAAACAAGUUUUGGGUCGAUUCAAUAUGAUCGUUCUUCUAACGUCAUACUCUCAAUGUUGUUUUAGGAUUAUCAUUACACUUAAUGAUAUCCUAAGAUCCAGAAAACAUUAUCACCAACAACACUUGAGCUAGUCUUAGAGGCAAGACUAGGAACCUAAUAUACCGUUUAUCAUUCCACAUGUGCAUAUGUGUUUUCCAUUUAAUCGCACAUUCCAGGAUCAUAGCGGUUAUAACCUAGAAUAUAAACUCUUAUUUAUGAAGAUGAAAGAUAUAAUAAUACAAUAUUAUUUCCUCUAGGACAUAUUUCCAACAGUCUCCCACUUGCACUAAUGUCAAUAAUCUAGUUUGCAUAGUUUCUCUAACACCUAUGGCCAUCCGGUGUUGCUCAUGCUUUGCUCGUGGUAAAGCCUUCAUUAUCGGGUCUAACACAUUCAAAUCCGUGUGAACCUUGAGAACUUUCACAAAAUCCUUCUCGACAUACCGUUGGACGAUGUGAUACUUGCACUCGAUGUGUCUGGUCUUCAUGUGGGAUCUUGGUUCCUUUGCUUGAGCAACAACACCACUGUUAUCACAAUAGAGUGCCAUUGGGCUCAUUGCACUUGGGCCGCAAUAUACUCUGCUUCUGUCAUAGAAUCCGCAACAGUGUUCUAUUUGAAACUUUUCCAAACCACCGCACCCGCACCACCAUUAAGGGUAUAACCAUAUCCUGAUUGAGAUUUAUAGUCAUCUAUAUUAGUCAUGAAGCUAGCAUUUAUGUAACCAUUUACUAUGAGUUCUUCAUCUCCUCCAUAGACAAAGAGCAUGUCCUUUGUACUUUUGAGGUACUUAAGAAUAUGUUUAAUAGCUGUCCAGUGAGCCAAUCUAGGAUCAUUUUGGUACCUGCUGCUAACACUUAGCGCAUAAGAAAUAUCUGGUCUAGUACAUAUCAUAGCAUACAUGACGGAUCCAAUUGCAUAUGCAUAUUUUACACCACUCAUUUGCACUCGCUCAUUAACUAUCUUGGGACAUUGAUUUCUUCUAAGUGUUGUGCCAUGUGACAUUGGGAGAAAACCUUUCUUUGCAUUCUCCAUUUUAAACCUCUUUAAAAUCUUGUCAAUGUACGUGCUUUGUCUUAGCGCAAUUAGAUGUCUCGGUCUAUCUCUAUAGAUCUUUAUGCCUAAUAUAUAAGCUGCUUCACCUAAGUCUUUCAUUGAAAACACACUCUUUAAAUAGUCUUUUAUCAUGCUAAGAAAACUUAUAUCAUUUUCGAUCAACAAUAUGUCAUCUACAUAUAAGAUUAGAAAUGCUAUAGAGCUCCCACUAAACUUCUCGUAUACACAAGCUUCUUCAUCAUUUUUAAUGAAGCCAAACUCUUUAACCACUUCAUCAAAAUGUUGAUUCUAGCUCCUUGAUGCUUGCUUCAAACCAUGGAUAGAUCUUUGAAGCUUUCACACCUUACCGAUAUCCUUAGGAAUUACAGAGCCUUCUGGUCAUAUAAUAUAUACAUCCUCUUUGAGAUUUCCAUUUGGGAAAGUAGUUUUGACAUCCAUCUGCCAUAUUUCAUAGUUGAAAUAUGUAGCAAUUGCCAUCAUGAACAGCACAGACUUUAACAUGGCUACUAGUGAUAAAGUUUCAUCAUAUUCAACUCCCUCAACCUGCAAAAAUCUUUCAGAACUAAGCUUGCUUUAUAGAUAGUAGGAUUACCAUUCGCAUAUGUUUUUCUUUUGAAGAUCCAUUUACAUUGUAUGGGUUGCACACCCUCUAGAGGAUCAACCAAGUUCCAAACUUGAUUUUCAUACAUGGACUCCAUUUCAAAUUGCAUGGCUUUAAGCAAUUCUUUUGAGCUGGGCGCUGCCACCACUUCUUUGUAGUGCGCAGGUUCAUCUUCCUCUAAGAUGAAUAUUUCAUCGUGAAACGAUUCAGGAGGUUCGAUAGUUACAGUCUUAACUGGAGUUUCUACAGCUGGUGUAGCAACUUCUGGUUCAGUUGUAUAAACAACUUCUGGAAUAGAUUCCGUUUCGUUAGUCUUGUUCACUUCUGAAGAUUCAGUAAUCUCGUUAAGUGGACUAUCCUCCCACUUACUUCUUUAGCGAGAAACUCCUUAUCGAGAAAGUGUCCAUUCUUUGCAACAAACACUUUGUCUUCGGACUUUUGGUAGAAGGAAUACCCAAUUGUUUCUUUGGGAUAUCCUACGAACUAACAUUUAGCUGCUUUGGGAUCGAGCUUAUUUUGUUGUAAUUACCCCCAAAUCUUGAGAUGUGAUAAGUUGGAUUUCUUCCCAUUCCAUAACUCAUAUGGUGUCGUCUCUACAGAUUUAAACUGCUCUAUUUAGUGGAUGUGCAGCUGCUUCAAAUGCAUAUCCCCAAAAUGAUAAAGGUAGAUCAGUAAAUGACAUCACUGACCUCACCAUGUCUAAAAAAGUCUUAUGCCUUUCAGAUACUCCGUUUCUUUCUGGAGUUCCGAGACGAGUAAGUUGUGAAAUAAUUCCACAAUCACUUAGAUGUUUGCUAAACUCAUGACCUAGAUAUUCUCCACCAUGAUCUGAUCAUAGAAACUUUAUCUUUUUUCCAUGAUGAUUCUCAACUUAGUUUUGAAAUUCUUUGAACUUUUCAAACGUUUCAAACUUAUGUUUCAUCAAGUAAAUAUAACCAUAUCUACUCAAAUCAUCAGUGAUGGUUAUGAAUUAUAAGUAUCUACCGUGCGUCGGUAUACUCAUCAGACCACAUACUUCACUAUGUAUUAUAUCCAACAAUUAAUGCACUCGUUCAGGAUGACCAGUGAACGGCAUUUGAGUCAUUUUACCCAUCAGACAAUCUUCGCAUGUAUCAAAUGAUUCAAAAUCAAAUGAUGUCAAUACUCCAUCUCUAUGAAAUUUCUGCAUACAUUUCUUUUUGAUGUUACCAAGACGGCAGUGCUACAUGUAAGUAGUAUUAUCAGUCUUCUUAAGAUGUUUAACAUUAAUGUUAUAUACAUCAUUUUCACAUUCAAGAUCCAUUAUGAAAAAGUCACCAACCAUGGGUGCAAAUCCAUAAAACAUAUUCUUAUAAAAUAUUGAACAACUAUUGCUCUCAGACUUAACUUCAUUUAUCAAACAUGAUCCAGAGAUAAUGUUCUUACAUAACUUCAGAACAAAAUAACAAUUAUUCAGUUCUAAGAUAAAUCCCGAAGGCAAACUUAAAGACCUGACACCGAUGGCUUGAGAAGCAAUCCCAUUCCCAUUCCCGACACACAUCAAACUUCAUUUCCAUUCAGCCUACAAACAUUCCGUAGUCCCUGCAUCAUGUUGAAAAUGUGAGCAACUGAUCCGGUAUCAAAUACUCAUGACUUAUAGGAACUUUCAGCAAGUAGAACCUUAAUAAAAUUGACUUGUAUAACUUUUAUAGCUUUACAAGAAGAUGUGUUCUUCUUAUCGGCUAGAUAUUUCAACCAAUUUCUCUUGCAGUGGCCUUUUUCAUUGUAGUAGAAACAUAUAAUCUCACAAGAAGCUCCACCCUUGUUCCUCUUGGUGUUGCCUAUCUUCUUGAAACUUUCUGUUUUGUUUACCAACAACUUUUGUUGGUUUUGCAUCCCGAUCUCAUUGGUUUUGAGCAUUGUUUCAUAAAGCGAAGUAAGGAUCAUAUCAUUUUCUGGUGUCUUGGGAAAAUUAAUCCUCGUUGCAGUAAUACUAUCGUAAUAGUCUGCAAGCCUCACAAUAUGCUCAUCACUAGAGAUUCUUCAGUUAUUUUGCAUUCUUCCAUUACUCCAGUCAUCUCAUGAACUUUAGCUGUUUUUUUGUGAUACAGAGCUUCCAGUGCCUCGAAAAUUUUGAUGGUACUGAGUUGUUCAAAACAUUUCUAUAAACUGAAUCCAUGCAAGAUAACAUAAUACUUUUGACAACAGUGAAAUCAUCCUUGCGAGAUAUAAACACGUUGGUGACAUCUGAUAACCCAUAAGUAUAGGGGAUCAAUUGUAGCCUCUUUCGAUAAGUAAGAGUGUUGAACCCAACGAGGAGCUAAAGGUAGAACAAAUAUUCCCUCAAGUUCUAUCGACCACCGAUACAACUCUACGCACGCUUGGCGUUCGCUUUACCUAUAACAAGUAUGAAACUAGAAGUACUUUGUAGGUGUUGUGGGAUAGGUUUGCAAGAAUAUAAAGAGCACGUAAAUAAAAACUAGGGUCUUUUUAGAUAAAGAAGCAAUAAAGUUAGUAUAGCGAGUGUGGAAAAGUGGUGGUAGGAGUUGCGAAAUUGUCCCUAAGCAAUAGACUACGUUACUAGACCGAUAGCAAGUUUUAUGUGGGAGAGGCCACUUCUAGCAUGUCAUCCCUGACUUGGAAUUCUAUGCACUUAUGAUUGGAACUAUUAGCAAGAAUCCGCAACUACUAACGUUCAUUAAGGUAAAACCCAACCAUAGCAUUAAGAUAUAUUGGUCCCCCUUCAAUCCCGUAUGCAUCAAUUUCUAUGCUAGGUUGAAGUUUCUGUCACUCUUGCCCUCCAAUACAUAGUCCUAUCAACAUACAACUAACCCUUGGUGUGAUCCACGCGUGCGCUCAUAUGAUGGGCACCAAAGGACAGCAACAUAGCCACACGCAAAUUAAACCAAUCAUAGCAAUUCACCAAUUACCGAUAGGACAACGAAAAUCUACCCAAACAUCAUAGGAUGGCAACACAUCAUUGGAUAAUAAUAUGAAGCAUAAAGCACCAUGUUCAAGUAGAGGGUACAGCGGGUUGCGGGAGAGUGGACCGUUGUAGAUAGAUGGGGGAAGGUGAUGAAUAUGUUGGUGAAGAUGACGGAGGUGUUGAUAUAGAUUGCGGUGAUGAUGAUGGCCUCGGCGGCGUUCCGGCGCCAUCGGGAGAGAGGGGAGAGAGCCCCCCUCCUUAUUCUUCUUCCUUGACCUUCCCCCUAGAUGGGAGAAGGGUUUCCCCUCUGGUCCAGGGCCUCCAUGGUGGCAGAGGGGCAAGAGCCCAUCCGAGAUUGGAUCUGUCUCUCUGUCUCUCUCUGGUUCUGCGCUCCAGAUUCUGGCCUUUCACCAUUUCUUAUAUUCCCGGAGAUCCGUAACUCCGAUUGGGCUAAAUUUUGGACACGAUCUCUAUCUGGAUAUUAGCUUUCUUGCAGCGAAAGAAGGGUACCAACCUCCUUACGGGGUGGCCACGAGGGUCCAGGGCGCGCCUGACCCCCUAGGGCGCGCCCCCUGCCUCGUGGCCCCCUCACGCAUCGUCUCACGUUGUUUCCACUUCCCAAAAUUCACAUAUAUUCCAAAAAAAUCUUCGUCAGUUUUUAUCCCGUUUGGACUCCGUUUGAUAUGGAUUUUCCGCGAAACAAAAAACUUGCAACAAACAGGAAGUGGCACUGGGCACUGGAUCAAUAUGUUAGUCCCAAAAAUGGUAUAAAAAGUUGCCAAAAGUAUGUAAAAGUUGUAGAAUAUUGGCAUGGAACAAUCAAAAGUUAUAGAUACGACGGAGACGUAUCAGCAUCCCCAAGCUUAAUUCCUGCUCAUCCUCGAGUAGGUCAAUGAUAAAAAAGAUAAUUUUUUUAUGUGGAAUGCUACCUAGCAUAAUCUUGAUCAUGUAAUCUAAUCAUGGCAUGAAUAUUAAGACACGAGUGAUUCAAAGCAAUAGUCUAUCAUUUGACAUUAAGACAAUAAUAUUUCAAGCAUACUAAUAAAGCAAUCAUGUCUUUUCAAAAUAACAUGGCCAAAGAAAGUUAUCCCUACAAAAUCAUAUGGUCUGGCUAUGCUCCAUCUUCACCACACAAAAUAUUCAAAUCAUGCACAACCCCGAUGACAAGCCAAGCAAUUGUUUCAUACUUUUGACGUUCUCAAACCUUUUCAACUUUCACGCAAUACAUGAGCGUGAGCCAUGGAUAUACCACUAUAGGUGGAAUAGAAUAUGAUGGUGGAGGUUGUGUGGAGAAGACAAAAAAGGGACAAAGUCUCACAUCGACGCGGCUAAUCAACGAGCUAUGGAGAUGCCCAUCAAUUGAUGUCAAUGCGAGGAGUAGGGAUUGUCAUGCAACGGAUGCACUAGAGCUAUAAGCAUAUGAAAGCUCAAACUGAAAACUAAGUGGGUGUGCAUCCAACUUGCUUGCUCAUGAAGACCUCGGGCAUUUGAGGAAGCCCAUCAUCGGAAUAUACAAGCCAAGUUCUAUAAUGAAAAUUCCCACUAGUAUAUGAAAGUGAUAUCUCAAGAGACUCUCUAUAUGAAGAACAUGGUGCUAAUUUGAAGCACAAGUGUGGUAAAAGGAUAGUAACAUUGCCCCUUCUCUCUUUUUCUCUCUUUUUGUUUUGUUUUGGUGGGCUUCUUUGGCCUCUCUUUUUUUAUUUGGGCUUCUUUGGCCUCUUUUAUUUUUUUGUAAAGUCCGGAGUCUCCUCCCGACUUGUGUGGGAAUCAUAGUCUCCAUCAUCUUUUCCUCACUGGGGCAAUGCUCUAAUAAUGAUGGUCAUCACACUUUUAUUUAAUUACAACUCAAUAUUACAACUCGAUGUCUAGAACAAAGUAUGACUCUAUAUGAAUGCCUCCGGCGGUGUACCGGGAUGUGCAAUGAUCUAGCAUAGCAAUGACAUCAAAAAACGGACAAGCCAUGAAAACAUCAUGCUAGCUAUCUUACGAUCAUGUAAAGCAAUAUGACAAUAAAUGCUCAAGUCAUGUAUAUGAUGAUGAUGGAAGUUGCAUGGCAAUAUAUCUCGGAAUGGCUAUGGAAAUGCCAUAAUAGGUAGGUAUGGUGGCUGUUUUGAGGAAGAUUAAGGAGGCUUAUGUGUAAUAGAGCAUAUCGUAUCACAGGGUUUGGAUGCACCGGCGAAGUUUGCACCAACUCUCGAGGUGAGAAAGGGCAAUGCGCGGUACCGAAGAGGCUAGCAAUGAUGGAUGGGUGAGAGUGCGUAUAAUCCAUGGACACAACAUUAGUCAUAAAGAACUCACAUACUUAUUGCAAAAAUCUAUUAGUCUUUGAAACAAAGUACUGCACGCAUGCUCCUAGGGGGAUAGAUUGGUAGGAGAAGACCAUCGCUCGUCCCCGACCGCCACUCAUAAGGAGAUAAUAAAUAAAUAAAUCAUGCUCCGACUUCAUCACAUAACGGUUCACCAUACGUGCAUGCUACAGGAAUCACAAACUUCAACACAAGUAUUUCUACAAUCCACAACUACCCACUAGCAUGACUCUAAUAUCACCAUCUUUAUAUCGCAAAACUAUUGCAAGGAAUCAAACAUAUCAUAUUCAGUGAUCUACAAGUUUUAUGUAGGAUUUUAUGACUAACCAUGUGAAUGACCAGUUCCUGUCAACUCUCUAAAUAGAUAUAAGUGAAGCAAGAGAGUUUAAUUCUUUCUACAAAAUAUAUUCCCACGCUCUAACAAAUAUAAGUGAAGCAAAAGAGCAUUCUCCAAAUGGCGGUUUUCUAUGUGUAGGGAAACAGGCAAUCCAUACUUCAAAUGAUAUAAGUGAAGCACAUGAAGCAUUCUAUAAAGCCAUACUCAAAAGAUAUAAGUGAAGUGCAAUGAGCAUUCUAUAAAUCAACCAUGGACUCUCUCAUACCAGCAUGGUGCAUAAAAUAAAAGUGAAAACUAAAUGCAAAAGACGCUCCAAGAUUUGCAUAUAUCACAUGAACGAAACGAAUCCGAAAACAUACCGAUACUUGUUGAAGAAAGAUGGGAUGCCUUCUGGGGCAUUCCCAAGCUUAGACGCUUGAGUCUCCUUGAAUAUUUACUUGGGGUGCCUUGGGCAUCCCCAAGCUUGAGCUCUUGCCUCUCCUCCUUCUCCUCACAUAGAGACCUCCUCGAUCUUCGAACACUUCAUCCACACAAAACUCAACGGAAAACUCGGUAAGAUCCGUUAGUAUAAUAAAGCAAAUCACUACUCUAAGUACUAUUGCAAACCAAUUCAUAUUUUGUUUUUGCAUUGUAGCUACUGUAAUAUAACUUUUCCAUGGCUUAAUCCACUGAUAGAAAUCGAUAAUUUCAACAAAAUAGAGCAAACUAUGCAUCAAAAACAAAAUCUGUCUUAAACAUGACAGUCUGUAGUAAUCUGAACAUUCACCAUACCUCUGGUACUCCAAAAAUUCUGCCAAAAUUAGGAAACAUAAAAAAUAUGUAUAUAAAGACAGUGCAAAAUGUUUCAGACCCGUUUGACAUUCCAGUAAAAAAAGUAAAAUCGUGCACUACAGCCAAAGUUUCUGUUUUGCACCGCACAAACCAACAAGCAAUGUAAACAUCCUAAAGGCAAAUCUUGGCACAUUAUUUUUAUAAUACAAUGGAAUUGUAAAAGGGGAUAAUUAUUUUUGUUGAAAAUUUUCUGUAAUCAAGAUUCACAAAAUUUCCGUGGGCAUGAACAAAGUUCAAGGCUAGCUUCCACUUUAACAAUGCUCGUCUUUCUCACUUUCACUUUCCUUUUCUGAAAAAGUUUUGGGUUCCCCUCUUAAUUUUUUUGUUUUUAAACUUUAUAAAAGCACACAACAUAAAUAAAUGACUCUCUAAAAUUUCCGGGUUGUCUCCCUGGCAACGCUUUCUUUAAAGCCAUUAAGCUAGGCAUAAAGUGCUCUAGUAAUGGAUCCACCCGAAUCCCAAGGUAUGUCAAAGCCAAUUUUAAUUAACAAUGAUUUGUGAUUUAGUAGUGAGCACAAAGUAACAUAUAUCAUGCAACAACGAAGUCUAACUCUCUUCCUAUGCAUCGGAAUGUCAUAAAAGAACAAUUCAUGCACACAUAGUAAAGGCCAAUGCAUAGUAUAAAUAAUUUCUUGCAAUUUUAUCAUAUUGGAAACAUGGAGAGGAGGAGAUGUAGUUCCUCUCUCAUAAUAAUUGCAAGUAGGAGCAGCAAGCACAUGCAUAUUAUAUCUAUCAAAAUCAUCAUGUGUAGUAGUAAAAAGCAACCCAUCAAUAUAAUCCUUAAUAAGGGCAAACUUCUCCGAUAUAGUGUAGUCGGGAGAAUUGAAAAAGAUAAUAGGACUAUCAUGCGUGAGUGCAAUAGCAAUAAUUUCAUGUUUAACAUAAGGAACUAUAACAAGUUCAUCUCCAUAAGCAUAAUUUUUAUCGGCAUCUUGGCCACAAGCAUAGAAAGCAUCAUCAAAAAGGGAUAUUUCAAAAGAAUCAACAGGAUCAUAACAAUUAUCAUAGCAAUCAUCCUUCUGUAAAUUCGAAGGGAAAUUAAAUAAUGUAUGAGUUGGAGAGUUACUCUCAUUAGAAGGUGGGCAUGGGUAGCUAAUCCGCUCUUCCUCCUUUUGUUCUUCGCUCUCCUCAUCAUCUUUUUAUUCAAUGAGCCCACAGUUUCAUCAAUUCCUUCUUCCAUAGACUCCUGCAAAAUAUUAGUCUCUUCUUGGACAGCGGAGGAGUCCUCAAUAUAUGGUUUAACAUAGGCAUUAGAAGGAUAAUUAUCAUAAAAAUAUUUAAGUAUGGAAAAAAUUCAGAUUUGUAAAGAGUAGCAUCAUACUUUCCAAUCAAAGAAGCAAUUUCAUAAGCACCCUUAAAAGCAAAAAUUCUUCAAUUUGUUGAACAUCAUAGUAAUUGUAAACACCCUUAGCAUACGAAGAUACGAUUCCAUUAUCACUAAACAAACAUUGGUAGGGAAGGUGUUUCUUAGGGUCUUCAGAACAACAAGUAAAAUCAUAUAUUUCACACAAAUUCCAAGCAUAGCAUUGCAAACGAUGAAUUUGAUCCAGUAAAAGUUUCCCUUUUUGAGAUAAGCGGUGUUGCACAUAACAAGCAUGCUCAUCUAAAGAUUUUCCCUCAACUAAGCUAGUUGGGGUUUCAGCACGAGCACAUAGGGAUCGAAGAUGAUCCAAGUAAAAAGCUUCAGGAGUGUGAUAGAUUUUGAGUGGUUCUUCAACCAUUGGUUUAGUAGGUACAACUAAUUUUUUUGGUAUUUUGCGUUUCCUAACCAUAACUAAAGAUAGAAAACAAGAGCACAAAAUAAAAACUAUUAGUGGUAAAGCAAACAAGCACACACGAGAAUAUUCACCCCAUGCUAUAACUCCCCGGCAACGGCGCCAGAAAAAGGUCUUGAUAACCCACAAGUAUAGGGGAUCAAUUGUAGCCUCUUUCGAUAAGUAAGAGUGUCGAACCCAACGAGGAGCUAAAGGUAGAACAAAUAUUCCCUCAAGUUCUAUCGACCACCGAUACAACUCUACGCAUGCCUUCGCUUUACCUAUAACAAGUAUGAAACUAGAAGUACUUUGUAGGUGUUGUGGGAUAGGUUUGCAAGAAUAUAAAGAGCACGUAAAUAAAAACUAGGGGAUGUUUAGAUAAAGAAGCAAUAAAGUUAGUAUAGCGAGUGUGGAAAAGUGGUGGUAGGAGUUGCGAAAUUUUCCCUAAGCAAUCGACUACAUUACUAGACCGAUAGCAAGUUUUAUGUGGGAGAGGCCACUGCUAGCAUGUCAUCCCUGACUUGGAAUUCUAUGCACUUAUGAUUGGAACUAUUAACAAGCAUCCGCAACUACUAACAUUCAUUAAGGUAAAACCCAACCAUAGCAUUAAGAUAUGUUGGUCCCCUUUCAAUCCCGUAUGCAUCAAUUUCUAUGCUAGGUUGAAGCUUCUGUCACUCUUGCCCUCCAAUACAUAGUCCUAUCAACAUACAACUAACCCUAUGGUGUGAUCCACACGCGCGCUCAUAUGAUGGGAACCAAAGGACAGCAACAUAACCACAAGCAAAUUAAACCAAUCAUAGAAAUUCACCAAUUACCGAUAGGACAACGAAAAUCUACUCAAACAUCAUAGGAUGGCAACACAUCAUUGGAUAAUAAUAUGAAGCAUAAAGCACCAUGUUCAAGUAGAGGGUACAACGGGUUGCGAGAGAGUGGACCGCUGUAGAUAGAUGGGGGAAGGUGAUGAAGAUGUUGGUGAAGAUGACGGAGGUGUUCAUGUAGAUUGCGGUGAUGAUGAUGGCCCCGGCGGUGUUCCGGCGCCACCGGGAGAGAGGGGGAGAGAGCCCCCUCCUUCUUCUUCUUCCUUAACCUCCCCCCUAGAUGGGAGAAGGGUUUCCCCUCUGGUCCAUGGCCUCCAUGGUGGCGGAGGGGCGAGAGCCCCUCUAAGAUUGUAUAUGUCUCGCUGUCUCUCUCCGUUUCUGCACUCCAGAUUCUGGCCUUUCACCGUUUCUUAUAUUCCCGGAGAUCCGUAACUCCGAUUUGGCUGAAUUUUGGACACGAUCUCUAUCCGGAUAUUAGCUUUCUUGCGGCGAAAGAAGGACACGAACCGCCUUACGGGGUGGCCACGAGGGUCCAGGGCGCGCCCCUACCUCGUGGCCCCCUCGGGCAUCGUCUCGCGUUGAUUCCACUUCCCAAAAUUCACAUAUAUUCCAAAAAAAUCUCCGUCAGUUUUUAUCCCGUUUGGACUCCGUUUGAUAUGGAUUUUCUGUGAAACAAAAAACAUGAAACAAACAGGAACUGGCACUGGGCACUGGAUCAAUAUGUUAGUCCCAAAAAUAGUAUAAAAAGUUGCCAAAAGUAUGUAAAAGUUGUAGAAUAUUGGCAUGGAACAAUAAAAAUUUAUAGAUACAACGGAGACGUAUCAACAUCCUGAGACGCUCAUGGUGCCGGAGGAUCACCAAGUUGUUGAUCCAUCAAAUCUUCUUUCAUAGCACUUCUGAGAACAUAUCUCAGAGUGUGGAUCCAAUACUCAUAAUUCCCACCAUUUGCAGCUAACUUUACUAUCUCAAAUAGAGGUGCUAAAUUGAACAUAAUGUGAGCAAUUGAUCUACAACGAUAAACACAAGAUUCAUUUAGAUGUUAUUCAUAAUUAAUUUGCACUAGUGUUUAAACAAAUUUUAAUAUAAAGUGCACUCUCACUCAAAUCAAUAUCUCUCAUAAUUGAAAGUGAGUGAUUCAAGACCCUGAUCUUAUUCACAACCAUUGAUGUGGAUAUCACUGAUGACAUGAGUUUCAACCGGUUGGCAAACUUUUGCUGAUCAUAUCUCCGUAUGACUCUUGUUCAUUUUUCGAUGUUUCAUCCUCUGAGCUAAGAACGAGUCUGCUAGAACUUCAAGCCAACCGAGUUUAUCUGCACGUAUGGUCUGACCUAUACCCGCCUUACACCUCACAACCCGUUUGUACUCAUUUGGACAUGCCACACUUCAAACUGCUAUGUGUUUUAGACGGUUGCAACACUGGGAAGAGCACCUUUUAACUUGAUAUUUUCAGUGAGAUAUCACCCUAAUAAUUGACUACUACGCAAAUCAAAGGGUGCAAACAACAUAGGGAUAAACAUCUCAGGCAAUUCAUAAUAGCAUGAUACGGUAUAGCCCUAGGCGUCGGGAAGUCUCCACGACUUCUUGAACCUUCAGUCAAAUCAUUGUCGUGGCGGCAGAAAAAUUGUUGUUGUGGCAUGGUAGCAAUUUUAGAAAUCGUUGUCGUGGCGAAUGUUUCAAAAACGUUACCGUGCACGAGUUUCAAAAAUGUUACCGUGGCAUGAAAAACUUUCAGCCCCUCCCCCCCGCACCUUGUACAACCUCUUCACGUCGGGGUCCUUCAUGCAAGGCUAUAACCAUCACCUGUAACCUGUAGGCUACCUCUACAUCUAUUACAUUAAAGUGCAAUCCCGUGGCUCCAGCCAUCAUGCCGUACCAUGAUGCGCAUGCCACUUAAAAUUGCAACAUAUAACCAUCUCAUACAUAAACUCAUCAUCUUAGAAGAAGGCUAUACCACAUCACAUGCAACCUGCAAAACCAAGUUAGACGUCCUCUAAUUGGUUUGGCAAAUUUUAAUUACGUGGCUUCUAGGGUUUUCGGAUAACACUAGCUACCUACGUCCACCAUUAAGGCGAUAAUUCUUGUUGCUAGAUUAACUUUUGGGGUGUCUGAGGGAAGAGACUUAAUUAAAAAUCUCUAGCCCCACACUGAACUUUGUCAAUACGCAUGACCCCCCUAGAAGAUCGAACAUCUUCAUCGCCCUCUCGUAUUUGCGACAGUUCACUAUUCUUGACUAUGAUGAAGCCCAAAGAACUGUUAGCAGAUCGUCGACAACCAUAGCCGAUCGAUUGUCAGAACUUUUUACAAAGCUGCAUCAUGUCGUCAAGGAACUGAACUGAAGAAAACACUCGAGGGAAGCAUAGCAAGAACAUCGAACCCUCACAUCCACAUGUGAUCUAGAUCAAAACCUACAUCUACUCAUUAAGUCGCUCAUGAUGACAUUGUCUAGAAAGAUAGUAGAAAAAAAUUGCCCUAUGAUCACCCAGGAACACUAUGAAGAUGCAGUAGACGGUUUGGAUCAGAUCAUUGCCAACUCUGAGAUGCAGCAGAAGAGGACGAGUCGGUGUAGAUUGUACUUGGAAUCCCUCGAACCGUAGAUGAACGAUCCCACGAGUUACAAGCGUACGGUUUUCACGAUCCGACAACGCUUCAUCGUCCAGAGCAAAUCGUCGCCGAAGAAUUAGAGGGAGGAGAUUAGAACCACACCGGGCUUAUAAUUACAAGGAUUAGAGGAUCUAGGUAUAGCUCUAAUUGAUGAACUAUGACCAACUAGAACUAGAACUAGAGAACUAGAGGAGGCUCCAAAACUUGUGUGUAGAAAAAGUGUCAAAGCCGCUAGUAUAUAUAGGUUGGAUGGAGAGGAGGGGUGCCACACAAGGGGGGGGGGAGUCUCCUCCCUUGUGCUGGCCUAGGGGAGGGGGAAUCCCUCCCCAAUUCGGCCUUCCCUCUCUCCUCUCCAUGGGAAAGGGGGCGGCACUCCUAUUGGGCCCUUGUGGCCCAACACGCCUUCCACCUCUUGGCCUUUUAGGGCCCGUUUAUAUUAAACUAAAUAUAAAAUCUUCCUAACUAUUAUUAUAGCCCUUUAUUAUUAAUUUAACAUCUCCGAAAACAUUUUCCACCUAUAUAUUAUUUAUCGGAGAUACCCAGUAUUGCCCGAUAAACUUCAAAACCCUUCUGGUUCUCUCAAAACUAUUAUGUAUAUUAAUGAAACAAUUUCACGAAUAUAAUCUCAUUGCUCCCGUCCUAUUUACACUUAGCAGAUCGUGAUUACCUUAAGCUUGUGACCCUAUAGGUUCGGUAAAAUACACAUGAACAAAAGCCCCUUUGUUCAGUGACCAAUAGCAGAACCAUGGACGCCCAUAUCGAUCCCUAUGAGUACAUGAAUGGCAUUCGAGUGAACCUUUGGUUAUCAUGUGUCGUGCGUACAAGGAUCUAUGGGACUGGCAACAGCCCCUUUGCUGUUUGACUGGGGAGAUCGACGAGCACAAAGAGCAGAGGUAGCAUAAUGCACGAGCUUUUACCCAGGUUCGGGCCGUUGCGAAGCGCAAAACCCUACUCCUGCUUUGUGUAUUAUAUGUGUUUGAGCUCAAGUUACAAGGAGCAUAGAUUGCCGGCAAGGUGCACGCGAAGUGCAGCUACUCGUGCAAAUGAGCAGAGUGUCGAUCUUUGUAAAGGUAGCCAUGGGCCUCCUUUUAUAGAUUAAGGGGUCACCACAAUGGCAAAAAUGGUAAAUACACACUAUAAACAGUGGCUACAGUGCUAUCAACCUAACCAUGACGGGUUAGGACAAGGGCAUUGAAUGUGUCGUGAGGUGUCAUGCUGGUGAAGCUUGCCAGCAAGGAUCAUCUCUCCUUCUGUGUCGUUCGUCCAACCACCUCUUAUUAUCUUGACACGCCUCCAUGACGGGUGUCAUUAAAGGUGGUUCUUCGGCGAUGAGCUAACACGUGCGGAAACAGAGCUCACCAAACUGCCUGCCCACUUGACACCUACUUGACAAGCGACUGGCGUGUCGCUGAGGUGGAGUGGUGGCAUUGUAGUGGGAGCUUGCCAGCCAUGGAGCAUACCGGGUCUUCGCUUGCUUGCCGGCAAGGAUCUUACUGGUGUCUUGAUCUUCAGUACUUGACUUAGUCCUUAUCGAUCACUGAUGACCCACAAGUAUAGGGGAUCUAUCAUAGUCCUUUCGAUAAGUAAGAGUGUCGAACCCAACGAGGAGCAGAAGGAAAUGACAAGCGGUUUUCAGCAAGGUAUUCUCUGCAAGCACUGAGAUUAUCGGUAACAAAUAGUUUUGUGAUAAGAUAAUUCGUAACGGGUAACAAGUAACAAGUGUAACUAAAGUGCAGCAAAGUGGCCCAAUCCUUUUUGUAGCAAAGGACAAGCCUGGACAAACUCGUAUAUAAUGCAAAACGCUCCCGAGGACACAUAGGAAUUACUGUCAAAUUAGUUUUCAUCAUGCUCAUUAUUCGCAUCCGUUACUUUGAUAAUUUGAUAUGUGGAUGGACCGGUGCUUGGGUGCUGUCCUUACUUGGACAAACCUCCCACUUAUGAUUAACCCCUCUUGCAAGCAUCCGCAACUACGAAAGAAGAAUUAAGAUAAAUCUAACCAUAGCAUGAAACACUGUGGAUCCAAAUCAGCCCCUUAUGAAGCAAUGCAUAAACUAGGGUUUAAGCUUCUGUCACUCUAGCAACCCAUCAUCUACUUAUUACUUCCCAAUGCCUUCCCCUAGGCCCAAAUUAUGGUGAAGUGUCAUGUAGUCGACGUUCACAUAACACCACUAGAGGAGAGACAACAUACAUCUCAUCAAAAUAUCGAACGAAUACCAAAUUCACAUGAUUACUUAUAACAAGACUUCUCCCAUGUCCUCAAGAACAAACGUAACUACUCACAAAGCAUAUUCAUGUUCAUAAUCAGAGGAGUAAUAAUUAUCAUUAAGGAUCUGAACAUAUGAUCUUCCACCGAAUAAACCAACUAGCAUCAACUACAAGGAGUAAUCAACACUACUAGCAACCCACAGGUACCAAUCUGAGGUUUUGAGACAAAGAUCGGAUACAAGAGAUGAACUACGGUUUGAGAGGAGAUGGUGCUGGUGAAUAUGUUGAUGGAGAUUGACCCCCUCUCGAUGAUAGGAUCAUUGGUGAUGACGAUGGCUUCGAUUUCCCCCUCUGGGAGGGAAGUUUCCCUGGCAGAACAGCUCUGCCAGAGCCCUAGAUUGCUUCUGCCCAGGUUCCGCCUCGAGACAGCGGCGCUUCAUCCCGGGAGCUUCCUCUUCAUUUUUCCAGGUCAAAACACAUCAUAUAGCAGAAGAUGGGCACCGGAGGCCUGCCAGGGGGCCCACAAGCCAGGGGGCGCGCCCAAGGGGGUAGGGCGCGCCCCACCCUUGUGGCUACCUGGUGGGUCCCCUCUGGUACUUUCUUCGCCCAAUAUUUUUUAUAUAUUCCAAAAUAAUUUUACGUAAAUUUUUAGGACUUUUGGAGUUGUGCAGAAUAGGUCUCUCAGAUUUUCUCCUUUCCAGUCCAGAAUUCCAGCUGCCGGCAUUCUCCCUCUUUGUGUAAUCCUUGUAAAAUAAGAGAGAAAAGGCAUAAAUAUUGUGCUAUAAUGUGUAAUAACAACCCAUAAUGCAAUAAAUAUCAAUAUAAAAGCAUGAUGCAAAAUGGACGUAUCAAUCAACUGUCUUGAUGUCUUCUCCAUGGUUUUAUUAACCAAUUCUUGAGUCUUGUGUGGAGCUGCCCUCCAGCAGGCCCUGCCAUCGAGAAGGCUACAACUAUGUGUGCACAAGUCAGAGUACCAAGGCACCCAUGUCUUGGUACACCGACAGGAGCCCCCAGGCCUGGGCCACACACGCAUGUGAGGCGUCGUUGGGCUAGGCCCAAACAAUGCACAUGCACGUGUGGCAAAGGAUAACUGCCAUAAUCUUCUCUUUAAUCAGGCCCCCACGACGCGCAUUAAAUGCGGGACGUGGGAGAGGCGGGCUGAAAUGGCCGCAGAGGUAGUGCGCCUGAAAAGCGUAGCCACGUCGAACAAUAAAGAGCCAGCCCCCACGCCUUCCCCAUAAAAUGGAAUCUGCGAGGGGCACUGCUCAUUUAACCCCUUCUUUCCAAUCUAGCAAGCCGCCUUCAUCUUCCUCCUCGCGCGAGAACAGAGCAUAUCUCCUGCCACCAUCGCAUCCACGUCUUCGUUUACCCUCAGCUUCCUUCCCCAAAGCUGUCAUGGCACCCAAAAAAGAACCAAGACAAGCUGGAGAAGCUAGUCGAUCGGGAGGCGGAAGCGAGGAAGAACGCCAUGGAUGAGCUGCAGAGGAAUCGCGUCGUCUUCGUGCUGGUGCUGAAUCACAAUGAUUUGGUGGAGCGGUAUGUGUACAUGUGGUGGAAAGAGACGAUAGCUCACACUGUGCCACAUGUACUUCCUGGCUCCGUCAAAGGCAGUAAAGAUAAAUAUGCCUUCUUCACCGCAUACUUCUACCGCGGGCUUGUUCCCCCUUCUCUGAGUUCUUCUCUGAGAUGAUGUACACCUAUGGGUUCCGCCUUCUAGAGUUCACACCAAAUGCCAUGAACUGCAUGUCCGUUUUCGCCCAUAUGUGCGAAAAUUUUGCCGGAGUAUUCCGCAGUGUAGCUCGCUUCCGCCAUUACUUCAUCCCACGUAUCAAGGGCGAUGCACUCUCUGGUAGAGUUACUUGGAUUCCUCGGACUAGCACCAAGGAUAUCUACCCAGAGGGCAAAAUGCACCUGAAGUGGAAUGAAUGGCGAGCAGAUUGGUGCUGGAUCAAGGAAGACUACCUCCCGGAUUUCUGCAUGCCCCGGAAGAAGAAAGUGGAGCACGACAAUGACUGGAGCUCUUAUAUACGCACGACAAGAAGCUCACAAUCGCCAUUACUCGCAUCCUCCGCCUCAAGGCCACUGGCCUCACCAUUGAAAUGGUAGGCAUCGAUUUCCUCCGCCGACGAAUUGCUCCCCUCCAGAAUAAAGGAAGACCCGCCUAGGAUUUCAAAAAUGUCGUUGAUAUCAUGAGGCUGCACACCGGAUUGGGUAGCAACUUGACGGUCCUUUAGCACACAACCCUUUUCCAUCAACUCUUCCGAACCACCGGCAAGUUCAAGUUGCCAGCAACAUGGUUCCCUUAUGCAACAACUCCGCCAAGGACCCGAUCAUUGCGAUGAUGUCGGCUUGCAAUGCUGGUGGCAUCGAGGGAAGUUGGGAAGAACCGCCUGAAGACAGGGUGAGUGUCACGGAGGAAACAAAUCUCAUUCACGACACCACUGAUGAGGAGUUAGCCUACAUCACCAACAGAGCAGAGGAGGCACGAAUGGCUGAAAUUGCCAGUGGUUCUGGAUCCGCGACAACUGAUGUUGAUGAAGAAGCUGAGGAUGAACCAGUAGAUGAGUCGUCAGAAGAAUUUGUCGGAGACCAAGAAGAACCUUCCGGGGAACAGGGUGAAGACAACGCAGAGGAACAAGUGCAUGAGGAGCCCCCUGUUCCUCCUGCCCCGGCAAGGAAACCUCGUGUCCUUCAGAAAGUCGUCUUCGGAGAGCCAGUUCAUCCUCCAUCUUCGGGUGAUGAGGUAGUUGACAAAGGACCGGUCACCAAGGCUAUCGAACGACAAGGAUAUCGACGCCAAGCCCCACAAUAAUAGAAAGCCCGGCGCACCUCUCAGAGGCGGGCAACUGCAUCGACUAUCGACAUAGCUGGGUCUUCUCAACCUGCCGCACUCGCGGCAACCAAGCGGGCCAGAACUCCCACCCGCCUCCUGCCAGCAGCACUGGACCUGAGGGCAUAUAUGAACUCUUUGUCCUUAGCGACAAGGACGAGGAAGAAGAGUGUCGGCGUUCUGGGAACGGGGGUCCCCAGACUUGCCUGCCUGCGGCCCACGGCAUGGCUUUGCGAGCGGGCCCGUACGGCCCAUCUUCACCAACAAGCACUCAAGAUCCUCGCGAGGGGCCAAGCCUCGCAAGGCGGACGGUGCAAGACCCCUUCGGGAGCGGUCUCACCAGGUUGGCUCGCGAGGGGUGGAGAGAUCAAGGCAAGGCAAACCUCGCGAGGUUCUCGUGACGUGAGCCAUGACGAUCGAGACCAGGCGGGCGCCAGCGCGCACAGUGUACUUGUUUCCUCUUUGGUGCUAAGGAGGCAAGCGCAGGCGCGGAGUACCGAGGCGUCAAGCAAAGGUUUCCAUAUCAGUGCAACGAGACCAAGACCAGCAGGACGGCAAGACGGAGGUCACCAUGGAGCCCAAGGCGGCGUCACCACCAGAGCCUUUUGCAGGCGAAGACUGCUUUUGUCAGGGUAAGCUGUACUAGCUGUCCCCUUCCAAAUUGGUCGUUGUUGGCUCCCUUCCCGCUCAAUAUUUGGGGAGAGGACCAGGGCCUAUAUAAAUAGGACUAGCCACCACCGUAGGGGGUAACUCAUUCAGAGGCAUCUCAUCUCGUCUUGAGUAACCCUCACCCACACAAGUUCACCGAGCACAAGAACACCUCGCCUCAGGAGGCUGUUCUUCCCCUUGUACUGUUCAUCCUCAGCCCAAGAGGCAAUCCACCACCACCACACUGGAGUAGGGUAUUACACCACAACGGUGGCGCGAACCAGUAUAAAUCUUGUGUCCCUUGUGUUCCGAGUUCAUUGAAUUAGCCCUUGAGAUCUCAGCGAAGCUAGAAUGUGGAUCGGUAGGGGGAGAUCUUCAUGCGCACCCCAGUGUUUGAACCUUGAGGGUUUUGCCGGAACCCGUGAUCCGACAUUUGGCGCGCCAGGUAGGGGUGCGCUGGAGCUCUUCUUCCACCAGCCGAUCCGCUCGUUGAUCCUUCGGCACUCCGCGGCUCCGAUGUCCGGUGACUCGAGAGCCAAUACCGACCGCUGGGCGGCCUGGCCGGCCCGGGCGGCGCCGUCUGCCCAAGAAGACCUCAACCCCGCGCCUCAGGCGGCACGCGCACCGCCGAACACCGCAGGGCGCGGGCGGCGCGGUCACUCACCCUCUGCUCUUACUCCACGACAAGUGCGAGCGGCCGUGAGGGCCUCAAGCCACGCUGCCGCCACGGUGCCGCACACUCGGCAGGAGCAGGCAAACAUGAGGGCCGCGCUCACAGCGGUUAAUGGAGAGCGGUCGGGAUGCUUUGCUAGAGCGUGUCGCCGAGCUCUUGGACGCCGCGGCUUCAGGAGCACCACCCUUCUGUACUCCUCUCACGCCACAAGCUGCGGCCGGGUCGCAUGGCAGACCAUGCUGCGCCCGCGUGCCCACAGGCGCACCACCAGGCUUCAUCGACACCGGCGCAACCAACGGAGCUGUACGCCCGCUCGCGCCCGCGCCACCUCUGCUGGGCGCGGGCAUGAGUGCCGCCACCUACGGUCCGGGCAGGAUGCAACCCUACCAUCCUCGAGGCGGCACGCUAGGACGGGCAACAUGGAGCGUGGGGCACUAUGGUGAGGUCUUCGAGGCGGCGGCCUCGGAGGCCUAUGUGCCCCCCAUGGUGGACCAGGAGUACAUGCUAGAAGACGACCCUGGCUUGUUCCUCAAGCCGGGCUGGGAGGAGGAGGCGCUAGAAGCCGGCACCUUUCAGGAGCCAUCCGGAAGUCUCACCAACCGCGCCGGCGACAACGACUACAGGGUACCACUAAUUCCUCAGGAGCAGGCUUACGCUAACCAUGGUGCGCAGGAGGAUCAGGUCGCAGUAGCAGAUGGCGGUCCCAGCUCAUCGGCCUCCCUCCCGCCAGGAGGGGCACACUGGGGACUGCAGGAAGGAAGCCGGGACGAAGGCCCACCCCAGUGCCGCGCGGAGCAAGGCGUCCCCCGGAGGUAGGCCCUCUGCCGGGGAGGUGCUCCAGAGCCUACCCCCGGCAGAGGACCCGUGGUCGCCGAGGGUGCCGCUGGCGUCCCCUUUGCCCCUUUGGUGUCGUCCUGGUUUCCGGUCGCCCCCAACGGUGGCCGAGGGAGGCGCAAGGCGGGGCCCUUGUCUGGCGAUAUGAAGUAAGGCUCACGCCUGUGAAGGUCUCCGUCCGUGACACUCUCACGUAAUAACGAGUGGGGCUGUACACGCCCCGGAGUCUCAGGAGUGCCGCCCUCGGGCCUCGGGGGCUCCCUCCCAUGUCCUAGUGGCAGCACUUAGCUCCGCGCUGGUGAGAAGACUCAAAGACAAGAAGACUAGACUAGGUGCCGGACGCGGCCCUUUGCUUUGGAUCCCUUUUCUGUAGCCUUGCCUUCUGGAUUUGGAUUUAAGUUGAAGUUGAAUUUUCAUUGAUGCGCCGGGGGGUGCCUUUUCUCAUUCGAGCGAUUUCUUGCUAUCUGGUUCUUGCCUUAUUCCGAAGCUCGCACUCGCUGCCUCCCCCUCACAGGCCCCUCGCGAGCGGGGCUAGGUGCAGCAUACGCACCGCGCGCGUCGAUGCCAUGAUCGGCACCUGAUUCUCGCGAGGCCCUCUCGGGCGAAUCAGCAGACCCUUCAGGAGUUCCUCGGGAGCUCACGACCUCAUGAUCCAGUUCGGGGCUUACCCCGGCUAAGGUAAGCCGCAACAGCAAACUUGCCACCAGACUCAUGGAUUCACAAAGGCGCAGACUCAACUUGACAUAAAAGAAUAAAGGCAGCGGUUUGUUUACACGAGGGACUCCCCCUCUCAAAAUGCUCUUACAACCUCUAGGGCCACGCCCAAGCCUCUGCGUGCAGGACAAACAUCUGGGAAGCGCGGGGAUCAGUCGGACAUGUCGCUCGCCGCAUCACCUUCAGACGCGCCGCUGGCAUCGCUGCCACCGUCGCCAGCAUCACCAUCGCCUCCUCCGGCGUCGUGAACAUCAUUAUCGACCACGUCGCCUUCGUCCACCGCGACCACCACCACAUCGUCGUCAGAAGAGAAGGCCUUGACCAGCGCGUCCACGUUAUCCUCCAUCCACCGCGCCAGGUUGCCCUGGAUGGCCUCCGGGACCGGAGCAAUGGCGGCGUCAAAGUCGAAGUCCUGGUAGGUGUUCUGAAGAUGGCUGAAGACACGGGAGAAUGCGCGCCCCAGCAGGCUGCGACUCCUCUCUUCAACAAGCAAGUGAGCUCGCUCGGAGCGGUUCUCCAGGCGCGUCACCACAUCGGCGAAGAAGCGGAGGUGGCUGGCGUAGUCAUUCAUGUGGGGUGAGGGGCGUUCUCAUCACAGAUGUGGCCCAAGGCAGUAUUGGCCCUGUUCCGAAGGUCCUGAAGCAUGGGAGCGUGCACACGCUCCAGCAUCCGCCACUGAAGCACUUCCUCCCUGUUCCGCCGCGCAACAGACUCGGCGUCAGCAACCCAUUUCUGAAGAGAGAGCAGCUCGGCGCGGGCGGUGGCCAAUUCCGCCUGCGUCUUGACCAAGGCGGCCGCCGUGGCCUCCUCGUGCCUCUCCACCUCAGCUAGCCUGGGCCUAAGGGCAGCGGCCCUACCCGCAGCCUCCGUCUCCGCAAGCUUCAACUUCAGGUCAUGCCUACCCUCAAGACCCGCGCGAACCUUGGCCACCCGGCGAUCAACCUCCUCCUGGGCCUUGGCCUCACGAGCACCAACGGCAUCUUCCGCUUGGGCAACUUGACGCUCCCUCGUCUCCAGUCGCUCAAGCUCGAGGCUAUGCUUCACGGCUUCCAGUGCCAACGCCUCCUCGCGCCUCCGGAUCUCUUCUUCCUCGGCGGGCGUCCCCCUCAGCGAUGCAAGGGCGGCUCUGCGUGCCUCCACUUGCCGCUCCAAGGAGGCGCUCCAGGCUUGGAGUUCCCACACGCGCUUGUCCGCGGCCUCAUGGCGGCGGUCAGCUUCUCAGGCCUCUUCCAGAGCUCGGGAGCAGGCUUCACGCGAGGUUGCGAGAGAAGCUCCAGCCUUCGCGUUAUCAAGCCCGCGCUGGAGACGCCCGAGGUUGAUGGCCACCUUAAACUGAUGCCGCUCCUCCACCAACCGAAGACCCUCGGCCUCGAGGCACGCGUCGACACCUGCGAGUUGUUCACCGAGUCGGUUCAUCGCGCCCAUUGCCUCCUGGAAGAGCUCCUGACGAACAAUGUUAUGUCCGUGCUCGAACUCAAGCGCAUGGCCCAUCUCGUCCUCCACCGCGGGGGCCGCAGGCAGGGCCCGAAGCGGCAUGCCCCCUCCCAGCAGGGGGCUGGAGGCUGGCGUGCGCCAUGAGGCCAGCCAUGCCUCGCAAGGGGCCUGGACGAGUCGGGGCCCGCUGCUUGAGGAGGCGCCCGAGACCGAAGCCAUCCAGCCGCUGUCCACGAUUAGAGGAGGAGCCCUCGGCACGCUCGCUGAGCUCCAGGCAAGGCCGUGGAGGAGGGAUGACGGGGGCGUAAGCUCAAGGCACCAUGGAGGUGAGCGCGGCCCUGCAACCGACCCCGCGCCAAAGGCGGCGUGCAGGCUAGGGGCGCUCAAGGUCAGUGGAGGAGACGAGGAGAGAGGAGACUGCUUCUCGGGAGACUCAGCGGCUGUGGCGGAAGGGACCCUGAAGAGCCAACGUCAGGGAGGAAAGCAGCACUCAAGAAGCCACAAAGAUAUGGUACUUACUCGUCAAUGGCGAUGUACUUCCUCCGCUUCAACGGCCCGAAGAUGCCACCGCUGCCGCUUGGGGACCUCUUCCUCUUCCGGAGCUCCUCGAAGUCCACGCAGAGCCGACCAAAGCGUUGGACAUGGCAGCCAGUACGAGGUGCAGCAGGAGGAGCGCUUGAAGGGACAUCCUCAUGGGCGCCAAGCCGAGGAGAGCCGUCGAGCGCUGUCUCGCAGUGACCUGCCGAGGUCUCAGGAGCUUCGGCCUCAGGAGUCGCGCGCUGCAUCGCCCCCACAGCUGCCGUGCCAGGACAAGAAUCACGGGCUCCUGAGGACGACGCAUCGGGAGCCCCAGGCGGCAUCAUGUAACGCCCCGGAUCCGAUGCGCCAGGUGUCUGCCAGUUAUUCGCUGCCGUUGCCAUGUCAUCUGCUUGCGUGUUGCAUUUUGCCAUGUCAUCAUCUGCAUUUCAUAUCAUGUCAUCAUGUGCUUUGCAUUUGCAUACAUGUUCGUCUCUUGCAUCCGAGCAUUUUCCCCGUUGUCCGUUUUGCAAUCCGGCGCUCCUAUCUCCUCCGGUGCACCCCUCUUGUUGUCUUUCGUGUGCGGGUGUCAAACUUUCUCGGAAUGGACCGAGUCUUGUCAAGUGGCCUUGGUAUACCACCGGUAGACCACCGGUCAAGUUUCGUUCCAUUUGGAGGUCGUUUGGUACUCCAACGGUUAACCGGGUAACCGCGAAGUCCGUUUUGGCAUUGCAGCAAAACCCCCUUUCAAACAGCCCCAAAACCCCUCUAAGUCUCCGCCAUGCUCUCGGUCGUUCGAUCACGAUCGCGUGGGCGAAAACUGCUCCUCAUUUGGACUCUCCUAGCUCCCUCUACCUAUAAAUAUGCCUCUUCCCCGAAAUCCCGCAGUCCAAACCCUAAAAAUCCCCUCCUCGCACCGCCGGACAUGUCCGUCCCGGGCCGGACGCCGUCCACCGCCGCUCCCAGCCAAUCCGGAGGCGACACGUCACCCGCGCCGCCUAUCUCUCUCCUCCCCGCCGCCGCGGCCCGCGGAGCCCAUCCGGGGCCCGCGCGGGCCCGAGCCGCCGCNNNNNNNNNNNNNNNNNNNNNNNNNNNNNNNNNNNNNNNNNNNNNNNNNNNNNNNNNNNNNNNNNNNNNNNNNNNNNNNNNNNNNNNNNNNNNNNNNNNNNNNNNNNNNNNNNNNNNNNNNNNNNNNNNNNNNNNNNNNNNNNNNNNNNNNNNNNNNNNNNNNNNNNNNNNNNNNNNNNNNNNNNNNNNNNNNNNNNNNNNNNNNNNNNNNNNNNNNNNNNNNNNNNNNNNNNNNNNNNNNNNNNNNNNNNNNNNNNNNNNNNNNNNNNNNNNNNNNNNNNNNNNNNNNNNNNNNNNNNNNNNNNNNNNNNNNNCGCGCCGCCGCCCGAGGACGCCGCGCCGCCGCCCCGCGCCAUGGCCGCCGCCUCCUCUCCUCCCUCCGGGCGCCGCCCCUCCGGCCUCCUCCCUCCUCUCCCCGCCGGCGAGCCUCUGCCGCCGUCCUCCGUCCCGAGCCGGCCCGAGUUCGGCCGAUCUGGAUCCGGUGAGAUCCCCUGUACGUUGACUUUCCUCCCCCCCUCCGAAUAUACUAAGUCCUGAAAAUUAUCAUUAUCAUGCCAUGUUCAUAGCAUCGUAACUCCGUGCAUGUAGCUCCGAUUCGUGCGUGUAAUAUGUCAAAUUGUUCGCCUCGUGAUGCUCUUCAUUUUGUUCAAUUGCACCAUGUUUAUUAGAGGUCAUAUUGAUGCCCAAAUCUUCGUUGGAAGAGGGCUAGUUGCUGUUAAUCUCUGGUUCUUAUCAGAACUUGGAGAUUUGUCAUUUUUGUAUCAUUUAUUCUGUGCAUCUUUUGAGCAUGAGCUCUACAUGUAUUUUGAAGUAUGCCAUGCCAUAUUUCCAGUGGUGUAGUCCAUGUAUUUUUAUGAUCUCUAUGGUGACUAGCACAAGCAUGCAAAGUAGGCCCCGUAAUAUUUCUGAUUUCAGGGACUUCGUGAUUUCUCCAAGUCCUUGUCUGCUGUAAUUUUGUUGCCAUGUAAACUUGAUGCUACAGAGAGAUCCAUGCAUAUUUUGAAGAUGUUCAGUAAGGAUGUUUUGUAGAUAUAGUUGUAGUUGAUCCAUUCCUGCAAUUGUUUGCAUUUAUGGAGUGCGAUAGCAUGACUCAAUCUUGCUCUACGUUUGCUAUAAAAUAAUUCUGGCAGAUUCUUAACAUGACAUGCAUUUUUGCCAAGCUUAUUGUAGUUGAUCCAUACAUGCUAUGCUUGUGUUCUUGCCAUGAUUAGCUUCAUAAACAUGCCAUCUUGCUGUAGGUAUGCUUGUUUUGUCAUGCAUUGCUCUGUAGUGAGUGCAUCAAGCUCACAAAGAGGCCUACAUAUUAAUAUUUCUGCCAUGCUCUGUUUUCUGCUAAGUCUGAAACCUAAUAACGAAACUUGCUAUGUUUACAUGCUUGCCACCAUAUCUUCUGAUCCUUUUUGGCUUAUGGUCAGUAAGGGACUUUUGUCAUGUGCUUUUAGUAGAACACUAGCAUGCCUUGUUUUGCUAUGUUAAGUUCCUAUAGCAUGUUCAUUUCGUGCUCUGAACAUUGCUACCUGAUGCUGUUUACUGCCAUGUCCAGUUUUUCACUAAGUCUGUGAACCUGUAAUCUUUUGCACUUUUUUCAUGCUUGUUUGAGCUUGAUAUGUUGUGAACUAGCCAUAGCUCAGUGUUCAUCUUUUGUCAAGCAUCUCCUGUAGAUUACUGUCAUAUGCUUUGUUGCUAUGUUGGGGUGCUGCAGCAUUGUUGCUUGUUGCAUCUUAAGUGCUAUCUUACUGUUAAUCGCAGAUUCGUGUCAUUCUUGUUUUGCUUGCCAUUUGCAAACCGUGCAUCCGAUUCCGGUGAUCUUUAUAUUGAUUUCGACCGAAAUCAUCUCAUCUUUCCAGUGGCAUGCUUGGUUUGCCAAGUUACUGCCAUGUUCAUCAUUUUCCUUCCGGAGCACGCAUAUGCAUCGCAUAUCAUAUCUUGCAUAUCAUACAUGUUUUGCAUCAUGUUGUUUGUGCAUUUCUCGUUGUUGAUUGUGGUUCCGUUUAUUUGUGUUCUUGUCUUGGGUAGAGCCGGGACACGAGUUCGUGAACGAGGAACCUGUCGAGUACGCGUACGAGGAUCAAGCUUUCGACAACUCUGAGAAUCUUGCAGGCAAGAUGACUACCCCUCGAAAUCACUUCUAUCUUUGCUAUGCUAGUUGUUCACUCUAUUGCCAUGCUCCGCUACCUAUCACUUGCUAUAUCAUGUCUCCCAUUUUAGCCAUGUCAGCCCCUAACUAUCCUUUCCUAGCAAACCGUUGUUUGGCUAAGUUACCGCUUUUGCUCAGCCCCUCUUAUAGCGUUGCUAGUUGCAGGUGAAGUUGAAGUUUGUUCCAUGUCGGAACAUGGAUAUGUUGGGAUAUCACAAUAUUUCUUAUUUAAUUAAUGCAUCCAUAUAUAUUUGGUAAAGGGUGGAAGGCUCGGCCUUAUGCCUGGUGUUUUGUUCCACUCUUGCCGCCCUAGUUUCCGUCAUACCGGUGUUAUGUUCCCGGAUUUUGCGUUCCUUACACGGUCGGGUGAUUUAUGGGACCCCCUUGACAGUUCGCCUUGAAUAAAACUCUUCCAGCAGGGCCCAACCUUGGUUUUACCAUUUGUCCAGCCUAUUUAUUUUCCCUAGGGAGUCGCUCUCUCGAGGGUCAUCUUAUUUUACCCCCCGGGCCAAUGCUUGUCUAAGUGUUGGUCCGAACUAGAGCCACUUGCAGCGCCACCUCGGGGAAACUUGAGGUCUGGUUUUAGUUGUACGUAGUGCUCAUCCGGUGUUGCCCUGAGACCGAGAUAUGUGCAGCUCCUAUCAGGAUGUCGGCGCAUCGGGUGGCUUUGCUGGUUUUGUUUUACCAUUGUCGAAAAGUCUUGUAACCGGGAUUCCGAGACUGAUCGGGUCUUCCCGGGAGAAGGAAUAUCCUUCGUUGACCGUGAGAGCUUAUCAUGGGCUAAGUUGGGACACCCCUGCAGGGUAUUAUCUUUUGGAAGCCGUGCCCGCGGUUAUGUGGCAGAUGGGAAUUUGUUAAUAUCCGGUUGUAGAGAACUUGACACUUGACCUUAAUUAAAACGCAUCAACCGCGUGUGUAGCCGUGAUGGUCUCUUCUCGGCGGAGUCCGGGAAGUGAACACGGUUUCUGGGUUAUGUUUGACGUAAGUAGGAGUUCAGGAUCACUUCUUGAUCAUGGCUAGUUCACGAUCGUUCCAUUGCUUCUCUUCUCGCUCUUAUUUGCGUAAGUUAGCCACCAUACUUGCUUAGUCGCUGCUGCAACCUCACCACCUUUACCCCUUCCUUUCCCUUUAAGCUUUGCUAGUCUUGAUACCCAUGGUAAUGGGAUUGCUGAGUCCUCGUGGCUCACAGAUUACUACACCCAGUUGCAGGUACAGGUUUUGCGAUGAUCAUGACGCGAGAGCGAUGUUUAUUUGUUCAGAGUUCUUCUUCUGCUUCUUCUUCGUUCAGGGGAUAGGUUCCAGGUCGGCAGCCUGGGCUAGCAGGGUGGAUGUCGUUUGAGUUUCUGUUUAUGUUUCAUCCAUAGCCGGAUGUUGUUCUUAUGUAUGUUGUAUUGAUGUAUUCUUGCGGCAUUUGUAUGCCUUGUAUGUAUCCCCAAAUAUUAUGUAAUGUUGAUGUAAUGAUAUCCACCUUGCAAAAGCGUUUCAAUAUGCGGUUCUAUCCUUGGUGGGGCCUUCGAGUAUCUUUAGGAUAGUAUCGCAUAUUGGGCGUGACACAUCAGCACCCCGGUACUAGUGCUAUCGGCCUCGGAUGGUGCUCGCCUCCCUACAUCCACACUCGGGGUGAGCUCGGCGUCGGCAGCGAAGAGGGGAACCACGUUGACGGGGUUCUCACGGGGCCCCACCAGGCCGUCUGGGCGCAUCCCCCACUCGUCAAAGGAAGGCAUGUGCUCCACGAAUUCAUCCUUGUUCGAGCAACGGUACAACAAACAACUCUCCCAGGCAUGUCGUCCGGCAACGACACGCCCGCCAAGACCCCAAGCACCGUCUGCCGCAUCUUAAGAGGGAUCCCGGACUCCUGAAGCCUCAUAUGGUCCUUGCUGUUGAUCUGAUAGUGUUCAAGCACCGUGUUGAAGGGUCAUGGAUUGGGGAUCAAGAUGCAGCAUGUGGAUCUGAUAGUGUUCAAGCACUGCAUAGAAGAAGGCGGAGAAAGGAGGGACCAGGCCGGCCCAAAGGGCAUCGAUGAAGAUUGGGACCUCGGUGGCAGCCCGGUCAAUGCGAGCACGAGACGCGGGCCAAGCCACCGUCUUUCCCCACUCAUUGAAACUGGAGGCGAGCAUGGGACGCACCUUGCCCAUGGACUCAUUGUUGAGCACCAGCGAUCGGCCAACUGCGGGCUCGACGGCCGGAGGCGCACCGGCCAAAGACAGAGGUUUCUUCCCCUUAUCCGCUUGUUUCGAUGCCAUGGCGAUGGAGUGAGCAGAGCUCAGGUCAGAUUGGAAAGAGGAGCGGAGUCCUGGGGAAGCAGAGGAAUUGGAUAAGUAUGGAGCGGGCGAUGGAAGAAUAACUGUGUAGGUUGCGGUGGCCGCAUAGCCAGGCGGAUUCCAAGGCAGCAUGGGGAAGCGGAGACGCCUACGUCCAAUCAACCGCCAUGCGUCGACCAAGGCCGCAUGCUAUUGGGGCCCGCGGCGCUCCUCACUUGACCUUUGGCUUCGCCUCGAAGCCAAGCCCGAGCAUGCCUUGGGCCCGAGGGCUACUGUCGGUGUUCUGGGAACGGGGGUCCCCAGACUUGCCUACCUGCGGCCCACGGCGUGGCUCUGCGAGCGGGCCCGUCUGGCCCAUCUUCACCAACAAGCACUCAAGACCCUCGCGAGGGGCCAAGCCUCGCGAGGCGGAUGGCGCAAUACCCCUUCGGGAGCGGCCUCACCAGGUUGGCUCACGAGGGGCGGAGAGAUCAAGGCAAGGCAAACCUCGCGAGGUUCUCGUGACGUGAGCCAUGACGAUCGAGACCAGGUGGGCGCCAGCGCGCACAGUGUACUUGUUUCCUCUUUGGUGCUAAGGAGGCAAGCGCAGGCGCGGAGUACCGAGGCAUCAAGCAAAGGUUUCCAUAUCAGUGCAACGAGACCAAGACCAGCAGGACGACAACAUGGAGGUCACCAUGGAGCCCAAGGCGGCGUCACCACCAGUUUUGCAGGCGAAGACUGCUUUUGGCAGGAUAAGCUGUACUAGCUGUCCCCUUCCGAAUUGGCCGUUGUUGGCUCCCUUCCCGCUCAAUAUUUGGGGAGAGGACUAGGGCCUAUAUAAAUAGGACUAGCCACCAUCAUAGGGGGUAACUCAUUCAGAGGCAUCUCAUCUCGUCUUGAGUAACCCUCACCCACACAAGUUCACCGAGCACAAGAACACCUCGCCUCAGGAGGCUGUUCUUCCCCUUGUACUGUUCAUCCUCAGCCCAAGAGGCAAUCCACCACCACCACACUGGAGUAGGGUAUUACACCACAACGGUGGCCCAAACCAGUAUAAAUCUUGUGUCGCUUGUGUUCCGAGUUGGUCGAAUUAGCCCUUGAGAUCUCAGCGAAGCUAGGACGUGGAUCGGUAGGGGGAGAUCUUCGUGCGCACCCUAGUGUUCGAACCUUGAGGGUUUUGCCGGAACCCGUGAUCCGACAAAGGGUAUGUGUCUUCAACUACUUCCAUUAAUUCCUUAUCUCUUGUUUUUGUUAAAUUGAUUUUCUCCGUCUUGAUCUCAUUUUAUAGUGACGAGCAAACUUUCGCGCAAACGAUAGCCAAGAAGGCAAGGACCGCAACAGAGGAUGAGCCGACGACAAGCACAAUGCUGGAUGAUGAUGUCGUGGUCAUCAGCCCCUUGUGUGAGGCCAUUACUCACUUUCCUUUGGAAAGUGUUGGUGUUGAAGUUGUCAUCUCUGACAUUGGCAAGGGAGCAAGAGAAGAGCGCCACGAAAAAGGACGCCCAGAGGCAGAUCCAAUUGUAACGCCUCCAUCAACCACUGUCCCGAUAGCUAACUCUUCGGCAAGGACAUCCAUCGACGAGCCUGUCCAUACUAAUGAUGUGCCGGCAAAUGAGGCUGCCGACAACCAGACGAUGACAACCGAGGUUGCCCAAGAAGAAACUAUUCCUUCUCAACAAACCCAGUUCCGUAAGCCUUCUACCGCGAAGCACUUUUCUUCUUCUUCUUUUUUUGUUUUCUUGAACUUGAUCUUGAGUUCCAUUUCUUUCUUAUCCAGUCUUUCAGAUCUACCUCCAAUUCACAUCACCAUCGAGGGGAUCGCAAAGGACGUCGUCAACGAAGCUAACAAGAUUGCUGCUGACGAAGCCGCCAAGACUGUCCACGAAGAAGCCGCCAACCUGUCCACGAAGAAGCCGCCAAGAACACUGCUGAGGAGGGCGGCAACAAGAGAGUCGAGGCCACUGAUGACAUCUCUUCCUCAGGAGCUCUAAGCACUGACUCGGCCAUGAGGGUGAUUGCUGUCGUCAAAGCAGUUGUUGAUGAUCACCCUUCGACAUCUGAAGCGCCUCCAUCAAGAAGAUAUCUAAAGAUUGGCGAGAAUCUAUUUGUCAGCAUUCCUGGGACGUCAAGCAUUGGAGCACCCACUAGAGAAGAAGCUUUUGAUGAUGAAGUUAUCACUGCUGCCGGGCUCAAAGUUGUUGACGAGCUGCAGGUCAGCAACAAUGUUUCUAAAGAGCUGCAGUUCCUCAAGGCCAUAGGCGAGAACUUCAAGAAACUCUAAGCACUCUACCGCAACCGAACAGAGAGCUUGGACUCUAGAGCGGUUGUCAUUGGUAAUGCAGAAGAGGAGUUUUAGAAGCGCGUGGAAGAGACACACAUCUGGUACGCCGAAAGCCUCCAAGAUUUAAAGGACCGCCAGAGGCAGCUUGCCAUCGAAUGGGACAAAUUUAUCUUGGAGAAGGUUGAAGCCGACAAGGCACAAGAGGAGGCUGCAUAGAGGAUAGUGGCAGCCAAUGCCAAGUUGAACGAGCGCAAGAUUGGUCUCAACACUCACGAAGAAGAACUUGCCGCUCGUGAAGACGUGCUUGCCGCCAAGCUUCGCGACAAGGAUGAUGAAGUCCGAGCCCUCCUUGCCGAGCGGACCCAGGAGAUAGAAUGAAAGCAUCAGGAGGCAAUCGAAGUUUAGGCUGCAGAUCACGCUGGCAAGAUGAAAGAGGCCAUCAAUGCCGCCGAAGCCGCAGAGGUCUUUAAGAAUGAAUUGGAAGGCAAGGUGAAGAGUCUUAAAGCAGAUCUUGCCGUUAUCAACAAGGAGGUCUGGGUGCUCAAAGUAGACAGAGAAAAGACAGCUUGCACCUUGGCGGAGCUGCAGACCUCAGUGUCCACCAAGAACCAAGAGCUCACUAAGGCUAAUGACGUCAUCGAAAAAAUUCCUUGAAGAAGGCAGGGCACGGGAGAGGAUUGUGUCCAAAGAUCUUUAUAAUGAAAAUUUUCUCCCCUCGCUAGUGUUGUGAACUCAUUCAACAAGCUCAAAGGCAACAUGAGGCUUUGGACAUAACGUCUUGUCGAAGCAGCCUAGGACCUCACUACACAGCUAUUGGGUUUGAGGACUACAGCUUCUCCACCAAUGAUAGAGACGCCGCCAGCGCCAGGCUCACUCUAUUCUUAGAAACUCCAUUCUUCGAAGGCCUUGUCGACGCACUCAAGUUGCUUCAUGCCGAUUGAGCCUCCCACCUUGCCAGUGAAUCUCGCAGGCUUUACCGGGACGUCCUCUUCAAGGUGCUCGUCAAUGUGGUGUACCGUAACCUUGGCAUUGACCUCACGAAAGUCUUCACUAGCUUGCCGAAGGGAUCUGAUACCAAGGCCGCCUAAGAGCUUGUUGUCGGCGUCCUGGGAACGGGGUACCCAGACUUGCCUGCCUGCGGCCCAUGGCGUGGCUCCGUCGACGGCCUGGUACGGCCCAGCUUCAGCAACAAUAACUCAAGACCCUCGCGAGGGGCCAAGCCUCGCGGGGAGGAUGACACCAAGACCUCCAUGAGGGGCGGCCUCCCCAGGCUGGCUCCUGAGAAGCGGAGAUAUCAAUGCAGGCUGCACCUCGCGAGGUUCACAUGACGUGAGCCGUGACUACCAAGGCCAGACGGGUGCCAGCAGGCGCAGUGUACCAUUUUCCUCUUCGGUGCUAAGGAGGCAAGCGCAGGCGCAGGGUCCCGAGGAAAGCAAAGGUUUCCAUAUUGGUGCAACAAGACCAAGACCACCAGGACGGAGGUCAUCGCGAAGCCCACUACAACAUCACCACUAGAGGCUUUUGCAGGCGAAGACCACUUUUGCCAUGAUAACUUGUACUAGUUGUCUCCCUUCGAAUUUGGCCAUUGUGGGAUCCCUUCCUGCCUACAUUUGGGAAGAGGACCAAGGCCACUAUAAAUAGGACUUAGCCACCACCAUUGAGGGAUGGAUCCAUUCCACCCUGACCACCUCACCAGCUCAUCGAGCUCUAGAACACCUCACCUCCUGAGGCUAUUCCACCACUGUACUAGUUCAUCCUCAGCCCCUUGAGGCAAUCCACCACAAAGAUGGAGUAGGGUAUUACACCGCAAGGUGGCCCGAACCAGGAUAAACUACUGUGUCUCUUGUCCCUUGGGUUCGUCGAGCUAGGCAUUGGAAUCGUUGAGCGGGCAGACUGGGGAGGACGAGUUCUUCGCACGCACCCAAAGUUCGAAUCUCUCAAGGGUCUGCGGAACCCUGAAUCUGACAUUUGGCGUACCAGGUAGGGGUGCGUCGGAGCCUCCCUUCCGUCGGUCGACUCGCCACGACUCUACCGCUUCCAUGGCUGACGCUCGUCGAGCCCGUGCUGAGCGUCGGGCCGCCCUCGCCGCCCACAUCGCCCAGACGGCGCCUGCCGGCGGGCCUCCCCAUCGGUCUCCAUCGCCUGCCGCCAACGCCGCCACCGGCCCGGCGGGGCACGAGCAGCAAGCCUCGUCGCUGCACCCUUCCGUGCGGCGUGACGGACGCACGGCCACCCCGUCGUUGAGUCCGGCUGGUUCGCCAUCCCACGCUCAUCACGGCCCGGUGAACGUGCAGGCUGCAUUGCUCAUGGCGCGCGAGCUCCUGCGCUACUGCCCCGUCGACGACUUCUACGAGGACUGGCUGGACCGCAUCGCCGAGCUAGUCAGCGCCGCUGGGGGCUCCCUUGCACCGUUUCUUUCGCUACCUCGCCCACCGUCUACGGCGGGUGACAUAGCCCACGGAGCACCUCCUCCACCCCGCCUCAUCAAGACGUCGCCCUCGCACCAAGGCGCGCGGCCCCAUGGCGUGACCCGUCGUGCAGGGCACCCGCGCAUGAAGAAGGGAGCUGCCAGGAGGUCCAGCGGCCGCAAGGGGAGGCGCGUGCGCUUCCAGCACUGCCGCAUCAAGACCGCGCGCCGCCUGUCGCUGUGGCGCGCGAGCUCCAAGAUCAAGCACCACUUCCACGACGGGCUCCAGUGACCACAGCAGGCUGCCGCGCCUUCACUCCCGAGCUUCGCAGCAUCGUCUAGCCGGGGAAGUUCAAGCCUUACCUGCCUCCACGCUACGACGACACCCCCGAACCUGCUGAGUUCCUGCAGCUCUACGAGCUGAGCAUCGAGGCUGCCAAUGGCGACGAGAAGGUCAUGGCGAACUGGUUUCCCAUGGCUCUCAAGGAUGGCGCGUGCUCGUGGCUCCUGAACCUGCCCGCUGGAUCGAUCUCCUCCUCAGGCGAGAUGCGCGAGUGUUUUGUCGCCAACUUCCAGGGCACUCGCGACCGCCCGCCUGCUGCGGGUGACCUGCGACGCAUCAAGCAGCAGCCCGGGGAAACCCUGCAGAAGUACAUCCAGCGCUUCAACAGCGUUCGCCUCAAGAUCCCCAAGGUGUCGGAUGAAGCCAUCAUAUCAGCAUUCUCUGAUGGCGUCCGCGAUGUCAAGAUGAAGGAGGAGCUCGCAGUACACAAGGACCUGUGCACGGCCCUAGAGAUGUUCAACAUGGCGACCAAGUGUGCGAGAGCUGAGGAAGGACGCCUCUCCCUCCUGGAGCUCCCAUCGGCCAACCCAUAAGACAAGAAGGCCAAGGCCAAGGACGUGAAGCGAAGGGGGCGGUCGUGCUCACGGCUGAACCGGAGAUGAAGCGCGGCUGCGACCACCCAGAGUCAUUCAAGGGCAGUCGCCCAUUCUGCGUCUUCCACAAUGUACACAGCCACAACACCAAUGACUGUCAGGAGCUCAGGCCCAUCCGCAACGGGCGCCUCAGUCGUCGCCCCGAGCGCAACGAUCAAGGCUACGGUCAUGGAGGAGGCUAGAAUGGAGGAUGCUGGGAUGACCGCGGCCCACGCCAGGAGUGGCGCGACCAGCCUCGUGAGGAACGCUGGCAGGGCCAGCCUUGUGAGGGCGCCUGGAGAGAUCAGCCUCGUGAGGACCACCCUCAGGGCAACGCUGGCCUCCCUUCGUUGCCACCACCACCAAGAAGGAACGAUGACCACCACCAGGACAAGGGGGCUGGGGGCUUCCAGGAGCCUCGUGCCAUCGCCUGCAUCCUGGGCGGUGCUCAGGCCCCAGCCUCUCAUCGCAUCUUCAAGCAGUUUGCCCGCGAAGUGAACGCAGCUCUCCCCAGGCUCGAGGCCACGCGACCGCUCAGGUGGUCCAAGUGCACCAUCACCUUCAGCUCGUUAGACCAGCUCAAGUGCGCAGCAACUACCGACGCCCUCCCGAUGCACUGCUCACCCGUCAUCAGCAACGUCCAGGUCACCAAAACCCUCAUCGACGGCGGUGCGAGGCUCAAUGUUCUUUCCAUCGAGGCGUUCGACCGCCUCCAAGUGCCCUAUGAUCAGCUACAACCCACCAAGCCUUUCUCAGGAGUGACCGACGGCUCCACCACCCCGAUAGGGCAGAUCCGCCUCCCUGUCACCUUCGGCUAGCGCGAAAACUACCGCACCGAGCUCAUCGACUUUGAUGUCGCCCACAUCCGUCUGCCAUACAACGCCAUCCUCGGGUAUCCAGCAUUGGCCAAGUUCAUGGCGGUGACUCACCAUGGUUACAAUGUCCUCAAGAUGCCAGGGAACCGCGACAUCAUCACCAUCGCAUGCGAGGAGAAGGAUGCAGUGUGCUCCCUCGAGCGCGCCUACCAGGCUGCAGCGGUCGAGGACCCAGACAACGAAGGCACCAUCUACCCUCCUGAGGCGUCCCCAAGAAGAAGAAGUGCUGCUCCGCCAAGAGCCUCAGGAGAGCGGUGUCUCCAGCAGCACCACCUCAGGACCUGCGCCCACAGACGAGGCGCCUCCCUCUCUCGCAUAGGAAGGCGCGCUCGGCCCCCCUCUCAGGCUGGGCUCGGGGGCUCUCCUCUGGAGGGCCUUUGACCUAGCCAACGUCGCGACGGAGGCGCCCGGGCACCACGUGGAGGCGUGCUUCAGCGCGCGCUUCCGCCAGGAGGGCACAAGGCAUGGGAUGCCAGGUGCUCAGGAGUUCAUCACCAAGACAAUCGAGGAGCUUCAAGAGGCGAGAGCCAUGCGCGGCAACCGCCACCCACACCUGGCGCGGCUCCUCGUUCUGGCGAGGAUAGCGAGUUGCGCGUCUGCGUCGACAUUCCAGGGCUCAACAGGGCCGCAUCCCAGGAGCGCUUCUAGCCAUUGCACGUUGGUCGGUGUGAGGGCCCCCCUCAUAGCUACGUUUGCAUGCCUUUAGGCCUGCCGAACGCGGCUGUUACCUUCCAACAUCGCCUGUGGAGCAUUCUGGCGGCCUAGGAGGCCAAGCACCAGGCGGUCCUGGCGGAGAUGGCGACGGUUCUUCACGAGCCCCCUGAGCACCCAGAUCCUCCCGAGGUUUAGGACCCAGGCGGCUCGUGAGGAGCGACUUCUUCAGCACGCAUCUUCAGCUACUCCAACACCUCUUCAGCAACGGUGCCAGGUGACAUUUUCCGGUUUAUUCAGUUGGGGGCGUCCCUCAGGCUGCAUUAUCCCUAGAUCGCAUGGGCCUGUCCCUGCGACAUGUAUCCUUUUGCAUCUUUGAUUUGCUCUAUUGGGGGCUCCCCUCGGGCUGCAUCAUCCCCAGGCCGCGUGGGUCCGUCCCUGUGGCAUGUAUCAUUUUGCAUCUAUCAAAACUAGCUUUACCUCUUUCCAUAAGAUGAUUUAUGCUAUCACCUGCUUGCCUGUUGCCCUUCGCGGCAUCCCGCGUUGCUGACCGGUCUCCUGCUCAUCCCGCAAUGGGGGCUACACAUGCUGGCAUGACGCUUGUGCUCGGGUCCGUCCCUGCAACGCUGACAAACCUGAGAGAUCAAGCUCUAGCUCGCGGCCCGCCCUGCGCACGUCACCUCACCAGAUCCUCAGUGCCUUCAUCUUCUUGCGGAAAGAUUAGCGGCAGGACAACAAACACGGUUAUGAGUUAUAUUCUCCUCUCAGACUAACCCGCGGGAAUCUCUAGAGUUUAACUACAGGCGGUCCCAUCGGCCGCCCCUUUUUUACGCGAUUCGCUUGCGCGUUAAAGGGGGGCUCCUGAGCAUCGUGCCUCAGGAGCUCCUACUGACUCUCCAGCCCUCACCCCUGGCCUUGACCACGGCAUCGCGACUUGGCAUACCAGUGGCGGCUGAGUCUCGCUCAAGAGUCGGGACCCGAGGACGCAGAGCAUUUAGAUGAGCGAGGAAAGGGGAGGCCGGUGUGAGCCCUAGCUGGUAGCACCACCACUAAAGCGCGAAUCGAGCGCCGCGCAAAGGAAUCACCCCAGGCUCAUCAAGAUAAGUUACUUAUACAAACCAGCGCGAACCCGCUGCCUGGAAUUUUCGACUCUCGUAAUCUCGCUCCAGCAAUGCCGCUUCCCUUUUUGGCCUUCAGGGAGCUGCUUGCACGCCAAAGGGGACCUCUUGAGCAUCGCGCCUCAGGAGCUCUUACCGGACCUCGGGCCUCUCACUUCCUGGCCUUGACCAUGGCAUCGCGACCUGGCAUACCAGCGAGGGCUGAAGCCUGCCUGGGGACUGGGACCUGCCGGUGUAGAGCGCUAAGCUACUGCGAGAAUGAAAACAGGGAACAAUGCCGAAGCGGGACACAUAGCUGCGACCUUAUAGUAAGAGUAAUAAACAUGGGAGCAAAAGCAUUACAAGUUCUUUACAUACCACCACGGGGUUCGUCUCGAUUCCUCGCAGGGAACAAAAGGAGGAAAACCUCAAGAAGCCUUGGCUACGGGCACCGCCGUCGACGCCAUCAUCAAUAGUGGGCCACGGGAGGCCGACGCCAACCCCAUCCAGAUCAUCGUCGACGCCGAGCGGAUGCCGCUGCCGCACUCCGGGAAUGGCGAGAGCUCGGUGGCACAUAGCUGUCAUCGCUUGACUCCGGAGACUCGCUAGGCUCGGAAGAGUCGUUGGACUCCCAGGAGUCGUCGCUGCUGCUGGAGGAGCUGUCGACAGGACCGGAGGUGGGCUCGGUGCCCGCAGUCGCGCCACGCAGGCCGCUUCCCCCAGGGCAGCACUCCAGGCGACGGCCCUCCUUGUCGAAGACCUUGAAUGACAGCGUAGAGGCGCCGUCGUACUUAAAAUGGAUAGCGAGGGCCCCCUCCACGCGACAGGCGCGGGCGACCUCGCCCCAUCCUCGGGUCAUGAAGAUCUUGCCCGGGGGGCGACCUCGAGCUCCACCCCCGUGGCCAAACUACAGCACCUGGCGUGCUGCAGCCACAACUCAAGCGGCCCCCUCGGUGACAACUCCUCGGCGAAGAACCACAGGAGCUGGAUCCACGUACGCGGUGGCAUCGCCGCCCACACCACGAACUUGUGCGAGGAGCCUUCGGUGUGGGUUCGCAUGCCAGCAGCUCGUGCAACCUCAGCCUGGCCACCACGGCUGUGGCUUGCGCGGCGCAGGGCAUUGUCGCCCUCUCCAGAGCCUUGCGCUUGGGCGUACAGAGGGAGAGGAAAGCCAGGCGGAGGCCGCUCAUACCAUGGUCGUGUCACCUCCGGCCUCUCGCCGAUGUUGCGAGGAUGGCUGAGCCUCUUCUUCGGUGGGAGUGGCCCCUACUCCUCACGAGAGGUUUUCCCUUUCUCCACGGCGGAGAACCUCCUAAUCGGCGCCAUGAGUGCUACGGCAAGUCAACAAGGCUAGGAGGAGGAAGAAGGAGUGGGUGGCGAGAAGAUAGAGAUGAGCAAGGGGGCUCCGCCCCCCUCAUUUAUAGCCAGAAGAAGGCCAACCGCCGACCUCCACGAUCACACAUAAUGAUGGUUUUCUCUGCAUGCAGCAAGGUCUCGUCAAGUCGAACGGUUGCCGAGGCAACGUGGGGAAGCGGAGACGCCCACGUCCCAUCAAUCGCCACGCGUCAACCAAGGCCACAGGCGGUUGGGGCCCGCGGCGCUCCGCACUUGCCCUUUGGCUUCGCCUCGAAGCCAAGUUCGAGCGCGCCUUGGGCCCGGGGGCUACUGUCGGCGUCCUAGGAACGGGGGUACCCAGACUUGCCUGCCUGCGGCCCAUGGCGUGGCUCCGUCGACGGCCUGGUAUGGCCCAGCUUCAGCAACAACAACUCAAGACCCUCGUGAGGGGCCAAGCCUCGCGAGGCGGAUGACACCAAGACCUCCACGAGGGGCAGCCUCCCCAAGCUGGCUCCUGAGAAGCGGAGAUAUCAAUGUAGGCUACACCUCGCGAGGUUCACAUGACGUGAGCCGUGACGACCAAGGCCAGGCGGGCGCCAGCGGGCGCAGUGUACCAGUUUCCUCUUCGGUGCUAAGGAGGCAAGCGCAGGCGCGGGGUCCCGAGGAAUCAAGCAAAGGUUUCCAUAGCGGUGCAACAAGACCAAGACCACCAGGACGGCAAGACGGAGGUCAUUGCGGAUCCCACUGCAGCAUCACCACCAGAGGCUUUUGCAGGCGAAGACCACUUUUGUCAGGAUAACUUGUACUAGUUGUCUCCCUUCGAAUUUGGCCGUUGUGGGAUCCCUUCCCGCCUACAUUUGGGAAGAGGACCAAGGCCACUAUAAAUAGGACUUAGCCACCACCAUAGAGGGACGAAUUCAUUCCACCCUGACCACCUCACCAGCUCAUCGAGCUCUAGAACACCUCACCUCCUGAGGCUGUUCCACCACUAUACUAGUUCAUCCUCAGCCCCUUGAGGCAAUCCACCACAAAGCUGGUAUUACACCGCAAGGUGGCCUGAACCAGGAUAAACUGAUGUGUCUCUUGUCCCUUGGGUUCGUCGAGCUAGGCCUUGGAAUCGUUGAGCGGGCAGACUGGGGAGGACGAGUUCUUCGCACGCACCCCAGAGUUCGAACCUCUCAAGGGUCUGCGGAACCCUGAAUCCGACACUUGUCAUGCCCAUCGCCGAUAGGGUUGGCCAGAUCCCCGGGACAAUGGGUCAUCAAAGGCAUUAGUUCUUCUUGUAUCAUCUUGUCGCUAGCGUAGUCCAUGUGAAAGAUACAUUUAUCUGAAAUUAGAACUGCACUUGGCUUGUGAUGUAAUAUAACUCAUGCUGUUUAGGUGAAUGUAUGUUGUUUCCCUGGUCUGAUUUUGUCUUUGCAUGUUUUGUACCCUACGCUUUGCCGAAAACUUGCCGAUGCACACACUCUUGCCACGUGCGCUUGAUGAACGGGUCCUUAGCAGCCUACCGGAAGUGCCGCUGCCGACAAGAUCACACUUGGUGAUCACAAUGCAACUACUUAAGUUGUUGAGAGGACUCAAAACAAAGUAAGAGCACAGCUGAUCACGACAAGGUUCCUUCGCGUGCAGGUUUCUCAUACAAAAGCUAAAAAGGUUCAAGGAAAAGCAGUAAUCACAACAAAGAAUUUGUUUCAAAGUUUUUCAACUUAUCUUUUUCUUUGUUGUACUUCUUGUCGUAAAAUGAUAACUUGAACAUCACUUGUCGGUAUCCAUACCAUCACUCCCCCUGGUAAACUUGCACAUGACGUAACCUUCUAUUCUUUGAGAAAAAGAAAAAAGAGAAAAGAGGAGGCUGGAAAACUUGACGGUUCUUUAAGCAUUUCAUACAAGGCAUAAAUGUAACACAACAUCACAUAUAAACAUGCACAAUUUAACAUGUGAAUUGACAAGAGAUGUCAAACAUUUAUCUUUAUUUCACUAUGCACAAGGUCUGCCCAUGGCUUUGUACAAAGGAUUACAUGCCUUGUCGGCAGACUUGUACAAAAGAGGUUGCUGGGAGGCCCGCCUCACGAGUAGAACUUGCGAAGAUGCUCAAUAUUCCAUGAGUUCUGCACCUGAGUGCCUUCUUUGGUCUCUAGAUGGACUGCUCCAGGUCUGGUGACUCAUGCUACCCGAUAAGGGCCUUCCCACUUUGGCGUCAACUUGUUUGAUCCCUUCGCGGACUGGAUCCAACAAAGAACAAGGUCGCCUUCCUAAAAGCUCUGGGGUUGUACUCUACGGCUAUGAUAGCGGCACAGAGCUUGUUAGUAUCGUGCAGCAUGCACAGCAGCCCGAAGACAAUCUUCCUCAAGGAGCAUGGCAUCAUCUUGCCACAACUGCUCUUGGUCAACUUCAUCAUAAGCGAGCACUCGAGGUGACCCGUACAUGAGUUCUGUGGGGAGCAUCGCUUCUGCACCAUAGACUAGGGAGAAGGGCGUCUCGCCUGUGGCUCAAUCUGGUGUCGUCCUAAGUGGUGAAUGAACCGUUGGCAGCUCAUCAAUCGAGCACCUUCCACACUUGUGCAUCUUGUCGAAAGUUCUUGUCUUGAGUCUGCGCAUCACUUCAGCAUUUUCUCUUUCCGCCUAGCCAUUGUUUCUCGGGUGAGCAACUGACGAAGUAUAGAUUUUGCUGCCAAGGUCUUGGAUGUACAACAUGAAGGUGUGACUCAUGAACUAUGUGCCGUUGUCAGUGAUAAUCCUGUUGGGCACUCCAAAAUGGCAAACAAGUCCUUUGAAAAACUUGAGGGAUGACUGUGCUAUCACCUUCCUCACCGACUCUACCUCAGGCACUUCGUGAACUUGUCGAUGGCAACAUACAAGUACUCGAAGCCCCCGGUAGCACAUGGGAAGGAGCACAAGAUGUCGAGCCCCUAGACCGAGAAGGGCCAGGAGAGAGGGAUUGUCCGAAGGGCUUGAGCUGGCUAAUAUAUAUUCUUGGAAUGGAACUGGCACGCUUCACACUUGGUUACUAGUGCAGUUGCAUCCUGGAGAGCAGUGGGCCAAUAGAAGCCUUGCCGAAAAGCUUUUCUGACAAGGGCCCUUAAUCCUAUGUGAGAGCCACAUAUGACUCCAUGUAUCUCUACCAACAGCUUCUGUCCAUCUUCCCGGCAAAUGCAGUUCAAUUUCACCCCAUUUGGUCUCUUUCUGUGUAAAAUGUUGUCAACGAACUGAUACAUACUUGACUGACGGGCUACUUUUUCAGCUUCUUGCUCUUCGGGAAGUUCUCGUGUCUGAAUAAAAUGUGCCCAUGUCAGAGCUGGUGGCUCGACGACAAGAACUAAAGGCAACUCUUCUGCCGCGGGAGCGCUUGUCUUGAUGGCAAGGACCUGAGAUCCUACCGGAGCCUGCUACUCACCGGCAAGCAUGGUGCUGUUUCCGACAACUUCCUUUCUGGCGGCUGCUGGGAGCUCUGCUAGAAAGUAACCGCCAGAGUUCAACUUUCUGUAACAGAUGGCUGAGUCAACUGGAGCACAAAAGUCCCUGGUUCCACAGGAAAUCUCUUGGCGGCACGCUUUGACAGAUCAUCAACAAUGAUGUUUUCCGCAUGAGGAAUGUGCUCUGUUUGUAAUCCAUAAAAGUGCUCUUCCAAUUUUCUCAUUUCAUCCACAUAUGCUUCCAUCAACAGGCUCUGGUAAUCCUUGUUGACCUGCUUCACACCUAACUGCGAGUCGCCUCUGAUGAUGAGCUUUCUAAUUCCAAGGUCUACUAUGAUCCUGAGAUUGGCAAGCAAUCCUUCAUACUCGAUAGUAUUGUUGGUAGCUUUCUCCAGGGGAAAAUGCAUUUGUAUCACAUACUUGAGGUGCUCUCUAGUGUGUGUGGCAAGCACCCUCUGGCACCGGUGCCUUGCAGCCAAAAAGCACCAUCGAAGUACAUAAUCCAAUCUUGCUCCGUUGUUUCCUUGUCGGCGAGAGAGAUCUCUUGAAUCUCUUCGUCUUGCGUUGGUGCCCCUUCUGUAAUGAACUCCGCCAAGGCUCUUCUCUGUAUAGUUGAUGUACUUUGAAACUUUAGGUCAAAGCUUGGCAACUCCAAUGCCCACUCCACAAUUCUACUGGUUGCAUUUAGAUUUCUCAAAAUGCGCUGCAUUGGAAAGCAAGUGACGACGGUGAUCUGGUGGGCUUGGAAGUAAUUGUGCAGCUUCCUUGCGGCCAUGAGGAGGACAAAGAGCAACUUCUGCAUGCCAGAGUACCUUGACCUAGCCCCUGGAGAAGAGAGCUGACAAAGUAGACUGGGCACUGCACCAUUUUCUUCUUCGGCACCACGUGCUGAUUUGUUGCAUUUGCUUGCUCUGCAUCUAACUUGUCGGCACCUGGACUUGCCGGAGAAGAUUCCGAUUUGUCGCUUGACGGCUCUGCGGCUUCUUCUUCUUUGUCAUCGGUUUCUCUUUCUGCCACUAAUGCAGCACUAGCCACUUGAUUUGUUGCCACCAAGUAUAGUAGCAACGGCUCUUAUGGCUUUGGCGCAACUAGUGUUGCCGAAGAGGAGAGGUACUUCUUCAAGUCUUACAUUGUGGCCUCUGCUUCCCGAGUCCAUUUCAUUGGACCUGCCUUUUUCAAGAUUUUGAAAAAUGGCAGGGCGCGCUCAGCAAACUUGGAGAUGAACCUGCUUAGUGCAGCAACAUAGCCGGCAAGACGUUGCACAUCCUUGACGUGCUUCGGUGCUUCAAUCUGCUCAAUUGCCUUCAGGAUUGGCUUCAAUUCCAUGUUGAUAUACAAAGAACCCAAGAAGCUUGCCGGAUGGAAUGCCAAACAUACACUUCUUGGGAUUGAGCUUCAGAUUGAUCUUGCACAGAUUUGCAAAUGUUUCUUCUAAAUCUUGUAUGAGGGUUAAUUUGUCCUUGGUUUUGACCACUAUAUAAACAUUUAGGCUUCCACAUUUCUAUGUAGCUGAGGCUCUCAAAACCGAUCUGGAUAGCCCUCGCAAAGGUUGAACCAGCACUCUUCAAUCCGAAAGGCAUACUUAUAAAGCAAUACCUGCCACAUGGAGUGAUGAAUGUGGUUUUAUCCUCAUCUUACUUGGACAUGAAAAUCUGAUGGUAACCAAAGUAGGCAUCAAGGAAUGAGAGUAAUUCACAGCUGGCAGUGGACUCCACAAUCUGGUCGAUAUGCGUCAAAGGAAAAGGAUCUUUUGGACAAGCUUUAUUGAUAUCAGCGUAGUCAAUACAAUGCCUCCAUUUCCUGUUUGCCUUGUGCAGUACGACUGGAUUGGAUAACCAAGGAUGGAGAACUCCUCUAACCAGGCCUACCGCUUCUAGUAUCUUGAUUUCUUCGGCAAUGAACUCUUGCCACUCCAGGGCUUUCUUCCUGACCUUCUACUUGACAGGUCGCACAUGUGGGCAGACAACAAGGUUGUGCUCAAUUACCUCCCUGGGAACACAAGGGAUGUCAUAUGGUUGCCAUGCAAACACAUCGCAGGAGGGCAACAUGCGCUUUCCUAUUUGUCAUCAAGGGUGGCACUUAUGGUGAAAGUGCCUCCCGUAUCGUCCUCCUUUGCACACACCUUCUUGGUUGCUGCUGGAGCUGCCUUGGACUUCUAGCUCUUGCCGACAAAGCUCUCCGGCAAAUCCUCAACGGGUGCACAAUGAUACGUCUGCAAUGUAUCUAUAAUGUAUGAAGUAUUCAAGCCAUGUUUACAACAAUUUUAUAUGGUUUUGAUAUGAUUUGAUUAGAACUAACCAGGACUAACGCUAUUUUCAGCAGAACUACCGUGGUGUCAUUUUUUGUGCAGAAAUAAAAGUUCUCGGAAUGGGCUGAAAAUUUACGGUGAUUUUUUGUGGACCAAAGGAGACCUCCGAAGCGUUGUGGGAGGACCAGAAGACCCACGAGUAAAUGAAAAGCUCGCCAGGAGCACCCUACCCUCCACGGAGGAGCGACCAAUCUUGCCACUGCCUCGUGGACCCCCUUGACGUGAGACCGACGCCAAAAAUUCCUAUAAAUACCCAAACCCCCGAAAGAACCCUAGAUGAGAAGUUCUACUGCUGAAAGACUCUGUAUCCACAAAAAUCAAUCGGGACCCCGUUCCGGCACCUUGCCGGAGGGGGAAAUCAUCACUAGAGGUCAUCUUCAUCAUCCCGGGGCCACCAUGAUGAGGAGGGAGUAGUUCACCCUCGGGCUGAGGGUAUGUACCAGUAGCUAUGUGUUUGAUCUCUCUCUCUCUCUCUCUCCCGUGUUCUUGAUUUGGCAUGAUCUUGAUGUACCGCGAGCUUUGUUAUUAUAUUUGGAUCUUAUGGUGUUCUUCCCUCUCUACCUUCUUGUGAUGAAUUGAAUCUUUUCCUUUGAGGUUUUGUUAUGCCGGAUUGAAUUUUUUGGAUGUGAGAGCACUUGAUGUAUGUCUUGCAAUGGGAUAUCCGUGGUGACAAUGGGAUGUUCGAUUGAUUCACUUGAUGUAUGUUUUGGUUAUCAACUUGCGGAUUCCCAUGGUGACAUUGGGGUAAUCUAUGCAUAGGGUUUGAUACGCAUUUUCAUAUUCCUUUCUCCGAUAGAAAUCUUGGGGUACUCUUUGAAGUUCUUUGUGUUGGAUUGAAUAUUAUGAAUCUGAAGUUGUUUGAUGCAUAUCGUAUAAUCAACUCACGGAUACUUGUGGUGACGUUUGAGUAUCUAGGUGACAUUAGAGUUGGUUGAUGUGUAUCAUAUGGUGUUAUUUUAGUAUGAACUAUAGGGUUGUUUGUGAUACUUAUAGGAAUAGCUCAAUGGAUUGAUUAGAGAGAAUAGCUUUGAGGUGGUUUCAUACCCUACAAACAAUUUCAUCUUAUGUUCUCCGCGAUAGGAACUUUGGAGUGAUUCUUUGUUGCACGUUGAGGGAUUGUUAUAUGAGCCAAUUAUGUUAUCACUGUUGAGAGAUUUUGCACUAGUGAAAGUAUGAACCAUAGGACUUGUUUUCAAGCAUUGCAAUACCAUUUUUGCCUACUUUUGUUACUAGUUACCUUGCUGUUUUUAUAUUUUCAGAUUACAAAAACCUAUAUCUACUAUCCAUAUUAUACUUGUAUCACCAUCUCUUCACCGAACUAGUGCACCUAUACAAUUUAUCAUUGUAUUGGGUGUGUUGGGGACACAAGAGUCUCUUUCUUAUUUGGUUGCAGGGUUGUUUGAGCGAGACCAUCUUCAUCCUACGCCUCCCACGGAUUGAUAAAUCUUAGGUCAUCCACUUGAGGGGAAUUUGCUACUGUCCUACAAAAAUCUGCGCUUGGAGGCCGAACACGAGUCUACAAGAACAAGUUGUGUCACAACACUCCAAAGAGGUGUGCUUCCCGGAGUCCUUGUAAGAGGUCUUGCCGGUCUUAUUCUUCUCCCCCUAGGAGCUUUGCCAGCAGGACCAGGUGCCUUGGCAGCAGAUGUUGCCACUACCUCUCGGUAGAGUUGAUCAGCGCAGCUGACCUCGUCUUUCUUGUUGGAGUGGCUGGUGAUGAUGCUCAUCGGCCCUGGCAUCUUGAGCGUGUUGUAGGCAUAAGUGUGAUGCUACCAUAUACUUAGCCAGCAGCGGGCGGCCAAGGAUUCCAUUAUAUGGCAAUGGAAUCUUUAUGACAUCGGAGAUGAUCUUCUCCGUUAUGUAGUUCAGCUCGCUGCCAAAUGUUACCGGCAGUGUGAUCUUCCCCUUCGACUGUCUUCUUCCUGGAUUGAUUCCCUGGAAUGUGCCUGUCUGCUUGAGAUCCUCGUCGGGGAUUUGUAGCCUCUUGAUUACAUCUGGUGAGAUCAAGUUCAAGCCCGCCCCACCGUCAACCAACAUCUUUGUGACUUUGAGGUUGCGGAUUGUUGGUGAAACCAACAACGACAAACACCCAACCGCAGCUGUGCGAUCAGGGUGAUCCUCGACAUGAAAGAUGAUGGGCGUGUUGGACCACUUGAGCGGCUUUUGUGCACCUACUGCCGGUUCCACUGCAUUGAUCUAACGCGCCCACUGAUACGUCUCCAAUGUACCUAUAAUUUUUGAUUGUUCCAUGCUAUUAUAUUAUCUGUUUUGGAUAUUCAAUGGGCUUUAUUGUACACUUUUAUAUUAUUUUUGGGACUAACCUAUUAACCGGAGGCCCAGCCCAAAUUUAUGUUUUUUUGCCUAUUUCAGUGUUCCGAAGGAAAGGAAUAUCAAAUGGAGUCCAAAUGGAAUGAAACCUUCGGGAACGUGAUUUUCUGAACAAAUGUGAUCCAGAGGACUUGGAGUGGACGUCAAGCAAUCAACAAGGAGGCCACGAGGCAGGGGGGCGCGCCCUCCACCCUCAUGGGCCCCUCGUAGCUCCACCGACCUACUUCUUCCUCCUAUAUAUACCUACGUACCCCGAAAACAUCAGAUACGGAGCCAAAACCCUAUUUCCACCGCCGCAACCUUCUGUACCCGUGAGAUCCCAUCUUGGGGCCUUUUCCGGCACUCCGCCGGAGGGGGCAUUGAUCACGGAGGGCUUCUACAUCAACACCACAGCCUCUCUGAUGAUGUGUGAGUAGUUUACCUCAGACCUUCGGGUCCAUAGUUAUUAGCUAGAUGGCUUCUUCUCUCUCUUUGGAUCUCAAUACAAAGUUCUCCUCGAUUCUCUUGGAGAUCUAUUCGAUGUAAUCUUAUUUUGCGGUGUGUUUGUCGAGAUCCGAUGAAUUGUGGGUUUAUGAUCAAGAUUAUCUAUGAACAAUAUUUGAAUCUCCUCUAAAUUCUUUUAUGUAUGAGUGGUUAUCUUUGCAAGUCUCUUCGAAUUAUCAGUUUGGUUGGGCCUACUAGAUUGAUCUUUCUUGCAAUGGGAGAAGUGCUUAGCUUUGGGUUCAAUCUUGCGGUGCUCGAUCCCAGUGACAGUAGGGGAAACGACACGUACUGUAUUGUUGCCAUCGAGGAUAAAAAGAUGGGGUUUAUAUCAUAUUGCAUGAGUUUAUCCCUCUACAUCAUGUCAUCUUGCUUAAAGUGUUACUUUGUUCUUAUGAACUUAAUACUCUAGAUGCAUGCUGGAUAGCGGUCGAUGUGUAGAGUAAUAGUAGUAGAUGCAGGCAGGAGUCGGUCUACUUGUUACGGACGUGAUGCCUAUAUACAUGAUCAUACCUAGAUAUUCUCAUAACUAUGCUCAAUUCUAUCAAUUGCUCGACAAUAAUUUGUUUACCCACCAUAAUACUUAUGCUAUCUUGAGAGAAGCCACUAGUGAAACCUAUGGCCCCCGGGUCUAUUCUCCAUCAUAUUAAUCUCCCGUCAACAAGCUAUUUCUAUUACCGUUUAUUUUGCUUUCUUUACUUUUAGUCUUUAUCAUAAAAAUACCAAAAAUAUUAUCUUAUCAUCUCUAUCAGAUCUCACUUUUGCAAGUGGUCGUGAAGGGAUUGACAACCCCUUUAUCGCGUUGGUUGCAAGGUUCUUAUUUGUUUGUGUAGGUACGAGGGACUUGCGUGUGGCCUCCUACUGGAUUGAUACCUUGGUUCUCAAAAACUGAGGGAAAUACUUACGCUACUUUACUGCAUCACCCUUUCCUCUUCAAGGAAAAACCAACGUAGUGCUCAAGAGGUAGCAAGAAGGAUUUCUGGCGCCGUUGUCGGGGAAUUCUACGCACAAGUCAAGACAUACCAAGUACCCAUCACAAACUCUUAUCCCUCGCAUUACAUUAUUUGCCAUUUGCCUCUCGUUUUCCUCUCUCCCACUUCACCCUUGCCAUUUUAUUCGCCCUUUUUCAUUCGCCUUCUUCCCGUAUGUAUCUUUGUUUGUGUUUCCAUGCGCCUUCUAUUUGCUUCAUCUUUGCUUGCUAAAAAUCUAUUGACAUGGAUCCACUUAAAGCUUACUACUUGAAUCAUCUUCGAUCCUUAUGCGCUCGUGCUGAAACCCCAACUAGCCUAGUUGAUGGGAAAUCUUUAGAUGAGCAUGCUCAUUUUGUGCAUCAUCAUUUGUCUGAAAAGGGGAAGCUCUUAUGGUAUCAUAUAAAUAGUUUGCUAUGCUAUGCUUGGAAUCUUUGUGAAAUUUAUGAUUUUACUUGUUGCUCUAAGAACCCUAAAAAACACAUUCCCUACCUAUGUGAGUUUAAUGAUAAUGAAAUCUUAUCUUCUUAUGGAAAGGGUGUUUAUAGUUACUAUGAUAUCAAACAAAUUUAAGAAUUUGUCGUUUUUAAGGGUGCUCAUGAAGUUUCUUCUUUGAUUGAAAAGUAUGAUAUUACUCUCUACAAAUCUGAGAAUUCCGACAUACUUAAAUAUUGCUAUGAAAACUAUGCUCAUAAUGUCUAUGUCAAAGAAUUUAUUGAGAGAAGGACCAUUGCUUUGGAAGAAAAUAAUGAUAUGCAUGAAUCUAUAGAUAAUGAUGAUUUUGAUGAUUUGAUUGAAAUAUCCCUUGAUGAACAUGAUGCUUGCUAUUCUUGUGGCCAUGAUGCCAAUAUUUAUGGAGAUGAAUUUGCUAUAGUCCCUUAUGUUAAACAUGAGAUCGUUGCUAUUACAACCAUACUUGUUAGUUCCUUCGAUGAAAAGCUUGAUUGCAAUGAUGUUACUAUAAAUUCUUUUGAUGUCAAUUGUGUUAAUAAUAUGCAAAACCCUAAGCUUGGGGAUGCUAGUUUUGUUAUGACUACUAUUUGUUGCAAUGAUCAUGAUUGGGGUGAUUCUUCUUUUGAUCUUGAAAAUUUAUUUAAGCCCCAUGACGAAUAUGAGAUUAAUAAUAGUGUUUGCAAUAAUAUUGAAAGUGGGUUUGGAAGAGUGUCAACUUUAGAUCCCACAUAUUUGGAGAACGUUCAAUCUUAUGAAUUUUUUGAUAAAAGUGGGUUGGAGAGGUCAUGACUUUAGUUAAUGUUAAUCCCACUAUUUUGGAAGAGUGUCAACUUCGCAUACAUGUGGAUCGUGUUAAGAAUAUGUUUUGUGAUAGCUAUAUUGUUGAAUUUUCUUAUGAUCCUACAUGUAAUUAUUAUGAGAGAGGAAAAUAUGGUUGUAGAAAUUUUCAUGUUACUAAAUUACCUCUCGUUAUGUUGAGAUUGCUAUUGUUUCGCUCUUCUUCCUUGCAUAUGGUAGUUUUUGCUUGCCUUGAUAAUUUGUUUGCUUAUAAAAUGCCUAUGCAUAGGAAGUAUGUUAGACUUAGAUGUGUUUAUCACGUCUUCUAUGAUGCUCUCUUUGUGCUUUAAUUAUUAUCUUUCGUGUGAGCAUCGUUGAAAUUUUAUGCCUAGCUAGGGGCGUUAAACGAUAGCGCUUGUUGGGAGGCAACCCAAUUUUAUUUUUGUUUCUUGCAUUUUAUUUCUGUUUAGUAAUAAAUAUUUGAUCUAGCCUCUGGUUAGAUGUGUUUUUAUGUUUUAAUUAGUGUUUGUUCCAAGUUAAACCUAUAGGAUCUUCUUGGAUGAUAGUUAUUUGAUCUUGCUGAAAAUUCCAGAAACUUUCUGUUCAUGAAAACAAUUGUUCAAAAUCACCAGAACGUGAUAAAAUACUGAUUCCAAUUGCAGUAGAUCAAUAAACAAAUUAUCUAGGUCUUCCUAUUUUGGUAGAUUUUUCUGAGUUCCAGAAGUUUGCGUUAGAUACAGAUUACUACAGACUGUUCUGUUUUUGACAGAUUCUGUUUUUCGUGUGUUGUUUGCUUAUUUUGAUGAAUAUAUGGCUAGUAAUAGAGCUUAUGAACCAUAGAAAAGUUUGAAUACAGUAGGUUUAACACCAAUAUAAAUGAAGAAUGAGUUCAUUACAGUACCUUGAAGUGGUGUUUUGUUUUCUUUCGCUAACGGAGCUCACGAGAUUUUCUGUUAAGUUUUGUGUUGUGAAGUUUUCAAGUUUUGGGUAAAUAUUUGAUGGAUUAUGGAACAAGGAUUGGCAAGAGCCUAAGAUUGGGGAUUCCCAAGGCACCCCAAGGUAAACUUAAAGAACAACCAAAAUCCUAGGCUUGGGGAUGCCCCGGAAGGCAUCCCCUCCUUCGUCUUCGUCUAUCGGUAACUUUACUCGGGGCUAUAUUUUUAUUCACCACAUGGCAUGUGUUUUGCUUGGAGCGUCUUGUAUGAUUUGAGUCUUUGCUUUUUAGUUUACCACAAUCAUCCUUGCUGUACACACCUUUUGAGAGAGACACACAUGAUUCGGAAUUUGUUAGAAUACUCUAUGUGCUUCACUUAUAUCUUUUGAGCUAUAUAGUUUUUGCUCUAGUGCUUCACUUAUAUCUUUUAGAGCACGGCGGUGGUUUUAUUUUAUAGAAAUUAUUGAUCUCUCAUGCUUCACUUAUAUUAUUUUGAGAGUCCUACAAAACAGCAUGGUAAUUUGCUUAAGUUGUGAAAUUAGUCCUAAAGUGAUGAGCAUCCAAGAUAGGUAUAAUAAAAACUAUCAUAUAGAGUGCAUUGAAUAUUAUGAGAAGUUUGAUACUUGAUAAUUGUUUUGAGAUAUGAAGAUGGUGAUAUUAGAGUCAUGCUAGUGAGUAGUUGUGAAUUUUAGAAAUACUUGUGUUAAAGUUUGUGAUUCUCGUAGCAUGCACGUAUGGUGAACCGUUAUGUGAUGAAAUCGGAGCAUGAUUUAUUUAUUGAUUGUCUUCCUUAUGAGUGGCGGUCGGGGACGAGCGAUGGUAUUUUCCUACCAAUCUAUCCCCCUAGGAGCAUGCGCGUAGUACUUCGUUUCGAUAACUAAUAGAUUUUUGCAAUAAUUAUGUGAGUUCUUUAUGACUAAUGUUGAGUCCAUGGAUUAUACACACUCUCACCCUUCCACCAUUGCUAGCCUCUCUAGUAUCGCUCAACUUUCGCCGGUACCAUACACCCACCAUUACCUUCCUCAAAACAGCCACCAUACCUACCUAUUAUGGCAUUUCCAUAGCCAUUCCGAGAUAUAUUUGUUGGGGAACGUAGUAAUUUCAAAAAAAUUCCUACGCACAUGCAAGAUCAUGGUGAUGCAUAGCAACGAGAGGGGAGAGUGUUGUCCACGUACCCUCGUAGGCCGACAGUGGAAGCGUUAUCACAACGCGGUUGAUGUAGUCGUACGUCUUCACGAUCCGACCGAUCAAGUACCGAACGUACGGCACCUCCGAGUUCUACACACGUUCAGCUCGAUGACGUCCCUCGAACUCCGAUCCAGCCGAGUGUUGAGGGAGAGUUUCGUCAGCACGACGGCGUGGUGACGAUGAUGAUGUUCCACCGACGCAGGGCUUCGCCUAAGCUCCGCAACGGUAUUAUCGAGGUGUAAUAUGGUGGAGGGGGGCGCCGCACACGGCUAAGAGAUCUCAAGGAUCAAUUGUUGUAUAUCUGGGGUGCCCCCCUGCCCCCGUAUAUAAAGGAGCAAGGGGGAGGCAGCCGGCCAAGGGGAGAGGCGCGCCAUAGGGGGGAGUCCUACUCCCACCGGGAGUAGGACUCCUCCUUUCCUUGUGGGAGUAGGAGAAGGGAAGGGGGAAGGAGAAAGAAGGAAGGGUGCGCCCCCCUUCCCUAGUCCAAUUCGGACCAGACCAUGGGGAGGGGUGCGGCCACCUUUUGAGGCCUUUCUCUCCUUUCCCGUAUGGCCCAUUAAGGCCCAAUACGAAUUCCCGUAACUCUCCGGUACUCCGAAAAAUACCCGAAUCACUCGGAACCUUUCCGAAGUCCGAAUAUAGUCGUCCAAUAUAUCGAUCUUUACGUCUCGACCAUUUCGAGACUCCUCGUCAUGUCUCCGAUCUCAUCCGGGACUCCGAACUCCUUCGGUACAUCAACAUACAUAAACUCAUAAUAAAACUGUCAUCGUAACGUUAAGCGUGCGGACCCUACGGGUUCGAGAACUAUGUAGACAUGACCGAGACACGUCUCCGAUCAAUAACCAAUAGCGGGACCUGGAUGCCCAUAUUGGCUCCCACAUAUUCUACGAAGAUCUUUAUCGGUCAGACCGCAUAACAACAUACGUUGUUCCCUUUGUCAUCGGUAUGUUACUUGCCCGAGAUUCGAUCGUCGGUAUCUCGAUACCUAGUUCAAUCUCAUUACCGGCAAGUCUCUUUACUCGUUCCAUAACACAUCAUCCCGCAACUAACUUAUUAGUCACAAUGCUUGCAAGGAUUAUAUUGAUGUGCAUUACCGAGUGGGCCCAGAGAUACCUCUCCGACAAUCGGAGUGACAAAUCCUAAUCUCGAAAUACGCCAACCCAACAAGUACCUUUGGAGACACCUGUAGAGCACCUUUAUAAUCACCCAUUUACGUUGUGACGUUUGGUAGCACACAAAGUGUUCCUCCGGUAAACGGGAGUUGCAUAAUCUCAUAGUCAUAGGAACAUGUAUAAGUCAUGAAGAAAGCAAUAGCAACAUACUAAACGAUCGGGUGCUAAGCUAACGGAAUGGGUCAAGUCAAUCACGUCAUUCUCCUAAUGAGGUGAUCCCGUUAAUCAAAUGACAACUCAUGUCUAUGGCUAGGAAACAUAACCAUCUUUGAUUAACGAGCUAGUCAAGUAGAGGCAUACUAGUGACACUCUGUUUGUCUAUGUAUUCACACAUGUAUUAUGUUUCCGGUUAAUACAAUUCUAGCAUGAAUAAUAAACAUUCAUCAUGAUAUAAGGAAAUAAAUAAUAACUUUAUUAUUGCCUCUAGGGCAUAUUUCCUUCAGUCUCCCACUUGCACUAGAGUCAAUAAUCUAGUUCACAUCGCCAUGUGAUUUAACAUGAAUAGUUCACAUCACCAUGUGAUUAACACCCAUAGUUCACAUCGUCAUGUGACCAUCACCCAAAGGGUUUACUAGAGUCAGUAAUCUAGUUCACAUCGCUAUGUGAUUAACACCCAAAGAGUACUAAGGUGUGAUCAUGUUUUGCUUGUGAGAUAAUUUUAGUCAACGGGUCUGUCAUAUUCAGAUCCGUAAGUAUUUUGCAAAUUUCUAUGUCUACAAUGCUCUGCAUGGAGCUACUCUAGCUAAUUGCUCCCACUUUCAAUAUGUAUCUAGACCGAGACUUAGAGUUAUCUAGAUUAGUGUCAAAACUUGCAUUGACGUAACCUUUUACGACGAGCCUUUUGGCACUUCCAUAAUCGAGAAACAUAUCCUUAUUCCAGUAAGGAUAAUUUUGACCGCUGUCUAGUGAUCUACUCCUAGAUCACUAUUGUACUCCCUUGCCAAAAUCAGUGUAGGGUAUACAUUGAUCUGGUACACAGCAUGGCAUACUUUAUAGAACCUAUGGCCGAGGCAUAGGGAAUGACUUUCAUUCUUUUUCUAUCUUCUGCCGUGGUCGGGUUUUGAGUCUUACUCAAUUUCACACCUUGUAACACAGGCAAGAACUCUUUCUUUGACUGUUCUAUUUUGAACUACUUCAAAAUCUUGUUAAGGUAUGUACUCAUUGAAAACUUUAUCAAGCGUCUUCAUCUAUCUCUAUAGAUCUUGAUGCUCAAUAUGUAAGCAGCUUCACCGAAGUCUUUCUUUGAAAAACUCCUUUCAAACACUCCUUUAUGCUUUGCAGAAUAAUUCUACAUUAUUUCUGAUCAACAAUAUGUCAUUCACAUAUACUUAUCAGAAAUGCUGUAGUGCUCCCACUCACUUUCUUGUAAAUACAGGCUUCACCGCAAGUCUGUGUAAAACUAUAUCCUUUGAUCAACUUAUCAAAGCGUAUAUUCCAACUCUGAGAUGCUUGCACCAGUCCAUAGAUGGAUCGCUGGAGCUUGCAUAUUUUGUUAGCACCUUUAGGAUUGACAAAACCUUCUGGUUGCAUCAUAUACAACUCUUCUUUAAUAAAUCCAUUAAGGAAUGCAGUUUUGUUUAUCCAUUUGCCAGAUUUCAUAAAAUGCGGCAAUUGCUAACAUGACUCAGACACACUUAAGCAUAGAUACGAGUGAGAAACUCUCAUCGUAGUCAACAUCUUGAACUUGUCGAAAACCUUUUUGCGACAAUUUCUUGACGAUCCAUUUAUUCUCAAUUGCUUGCCGAUCAUCGGGCAAGUCAACCAAAGUCCACACUUUGUUCUCAUACAUGGAUCUCAUCUCAGAUUUCAUGGCCUCAAGCCAUUUUGCGGAAUCUGGGCUCAUCAUCGCUUCCUCAUAGUUCGUAGGUUCGUCAUGGUCAAGUAACAUGACCUCCAAAACUGAAUUACCCUACCACUCUGGUGCGGAUCUCACUCUGGUUGACCUACGAGGUUCAGUAAUAACUUGAUUUGAAGUUCCAUGAUCAUCAUCAUUAACUUCCUCACUAAUUGGUAUAGGCGUCACAGAAACUGGUUUCUGCGAUGAACUACUUUCCAAUAAGGGAGCAGGUACAAUUACCUCAUCAAGUUCUACUUUCCUCCCACUCACUUCUUUCGAGAGAAACUCCUUCUCUAGAAAGGAUCCAUACUAAGCAACGAAUGUCUUGCCUUCGGAUCUGUGAUAGAAGGUGUACCCAACUGUCUCCUUUGGGUAUCCUAUGAAGACACAUUUCUCCGAUUUGGGUUUGAGCUUAUCAGGAUGAAACUUUUUCACAUAAGCAUCGCAACCCCAAACUUUAAGAAACGACAACUUUGGUUUCUUGCCAAACCAUAGUUCAUAAGGCGUCGUCUCAACGGAUUUUGAUGGUGCCCUAUUUAACGUGAAUGUAGCUGUCUCUAAUGCAUAACCUCAAAACGAUAGUGGUAGAUCGGUAAGAGACAUCAUAUGUCGCACCAUAUCUAAUAAAGUACGGUUACGAUGUUCGGACACACCAUUACACUGUGGUGUUCAGGUGGCGUGAGUAGCGAAACUAUUUCACAUUGUUUUAACUGAAGGCCAAACUCGUAACUCAAAUACUCUUCUCCACGAUCAGAUCGUAGAAACUUUAUUUUCUUGUUACGAUGAUUUUCCGCUUCACUCUGAAAUUAUAUGAACUUUUCGAAUGUUUCAGACUUCUGUUUCAUUAAGUAGAUAUACCCAUAUCUGCUCAAAUCAUCUGUGAAGGUGAGAAAAUAACGAUAUCCGCCACGAGCCUCAAUAUUCAUUGGACCACAUACAUCUGUAUGUAUGACUUCCAACAAAUCUGUUGCUCUCUCCAUAGUUCCGGAGAACGGCGUUUUAGUCAUCUUGCCCAUGAGGCAUGGUUCGCAAGCAUCAAGUGAUUCAUAAUCAAUUGAUUCCAAAAUCCCAUCAGUAUGGAGUUUCUUCAUGCGCUUUACACCAAUAUGACCUAAACGGCAGUGCCACAAAUUAGCUGCACUAUCAUUAUUAACUUUGCAUCUUUUGGCUUCAAUAUUAUGAAUAUGUGUAUCACUACGAUCGAGAUCCAACAACCAUUUUCGUUGGUGUGUAUGACCAUAAAAGGUUUUUAUUCAUGUAAAAGAACAACAAUUGUUCUCUAACUUAAAUGAAUAACCGUAUUGCAAUAAACAUGAUCAAAUCAUAUUCAUGCUCAACGCAAACACCAAAUAAUACUUAUUUAGUUUCAACACUAAUCCCGAAAGUACAGGGAGUGUGCAAUGAUGAUCAUAUCAAUCUUGGAACUACUUCCAACACACAUCGUCACCUCACCUUUUACUAGUCUUUGUUUAUUCUGCAACUCCCGUUUUCGAGUUACUACUCUUUAGCAACUGAACCAGUAUCAAUUACCGAGGGGUUGCUAUAAACGCUAGUAAAGUACACAUCAAUAAUCUGUAUAUCAAAUAUACCUUUGUUCACUUUUACUAGUCUCUGUUUAUUCUGCAACUCCCGUUUCGAGUUACUACUAUUAGCAACUGAACCAGUAUCAAUUACCGAGGGGUUGCUAUAAACACUAGUAAAGUACACAUCAAUAAUCUGUAUAUCAAAUAUACCUUUGUUCACUUUGCCAUACUUCUUAUCCACCAAAUAGUUGGGGUAGUUCCGCUUCCAGUGACCAGUCCCUUUGCAGUAGAAGCACUUAGUCUCAGGCUUAGGACCAGACUUAGGCUUCUUCACUUGAGCAGCAACUUGCUUGCCAUUCUUCUUGAAGUUCCCCUUCUUCCCUUUGCCCUUUUCUUGAAACUAGUGGUAUCUUCAACCAUCAACACUUGAUGUUUUUCUUGAUUUCUACCUUCGUCGAUUUCAGCAUCACGAAGAGCUCGGGAAUUUCUUUCAUCAUCCCUUGCAUUCUAUAGUUCAUCACGAAGUUCUACUAACUUGGUGAUGGUGACUAGAGAAUUCUGUCAAUCAUUAUUUUAUCUGGAAGAUUAACUCCCACUUGAUUCAAGCGAUUGUAGUACCCAGACAAUCUGAGCACAUGCUCACUAGUUGAGCGAUUCUCCUCCAUCUUUUAGCUAUAGAACUUGUUGGAGACUUCAUAUCUCUCAACUCGGGUAUUUGCUUGAAAUAUUAACUUCAACUCCUGGAACAUCUCAUAUGGUCCAUGACGUUCAAAACGUCUUUGAAGUCUCGAUUCUAAGCCGUUAAGCAUGGUGCACUAAACUAUCAAGUAGUCAUCAUAUUGAGCUAGCCAAACAUUCAUAACGUCUGCAUCUGCUCCUGCAAUAGGUCUGUCACCUAGCGGUGCAUCAAGGACAUAAUUUUUCUGUGCAGCAAUGAGGAUAAUCCUCAGAUCACGGAUCCAAUCCGCAUCUUUGCUACUAACAUCUUUCAACAUAAUUUUCUCUAGGAACAUAUCAAAAAUAAAACAGGGAAGCAACAACGCGAGCUAUUGAUCUACAACAUAAUUUGCAAAAUACUAUCAGGACUAAGUUCAUGAUAAAUUUAAGUUCAAUUAAUCAUAUUACUUAAGAACUCCCACUUAGAUAGACAUCCCUCUAAUCCUCUAAGUGAUCACGUGAUCCAUAUCAACUAAACCAUGUCCGAUCAUCACGUGAGAUGGAGUAGUUUCAACGGUGAACAUCACUAUGUUGAUCAUAUCUACUAUAUGAUUCACGCUCGACCUUUCGGUCUCCGUGUUCCGAGGCCAUAUCUGUUAUAUGCUAGGCUCGUCAAGUUUAACCUGAGUAUUCCACGUGUGCAACUGUUUUGCACCCGUUGUAUUUGAACGUAGAGCCUAUCACACCCGAUCAUCACGUGGUGUCUCAGCAUGAAGAACUUUCGCAACGGUGCAUACUCAGGGAGAACACUUAUACUUUCAUAAUUUAGUGAAGGAUCAUCUUAUAAUGCUACCGUCAAACAAAGCAAGAUAAGAUGCAUAAAGGAUUAACAUCACAUGCAAUCAAUAUAAGUGAUAUGAUAUGGCCAUCAUCAUCUUGUGCUUGUGAUCUCCAUCUCCGAAGCACCGUCAUGAUCACCAUCGUCACCGGCGCGACACCUUGAUCUCCAUCGUAGCAUCGUUGUCAUCUCGUCAAUCUUAUGCUUCUACGACUAUCGCUACCUCUUAGUGAUAAAGUAAAGCAUUACAUGGCGAUUGCAUUGCAUACAAUAAAACGACAACCAUAUGGCUCCUGCCAGUUGCCGAUAACUCGGUUACAAAACAUGAUCUUCUCAUACAACAAAUUAUAUCACAUCAUGUCUUGACCAUAUCACAUCACAACAUGCCCUGCAAAAACAAGUUAGACGUCCUCUAAUUUCUUGUUGCAAAUUUUACGUGGCUGCUACGGGCUUAGCAAGAACCGUUCUUACCUACGCAUCGAAACCACAACGAUAGUUUGUCAAGUUGGUGCUGUUUUAACCUUCGCAAAGACCGGGCGUAGCCACACUCGGUUCAACUAAAGUGAGAGAGACAGACACCCGCCAGUCACCUUUAAGCAACGAGUGCUCCGAACGGUGAAACCAGUCUCGCGUAAGCGUACGCGUAAUGUCGGUCCGGGCCGCUUCAUCUCACAAUACCGCUGAACCAAAGUAUGACAUGCUGGUAAGCAGUAUGACUUAUAUCGCCCACAACUCACUUGUGUUCUACUCGUGCAUAGCAUCAACGCAUAAAACCUGGCUCGGAUGCCACUGUUGGGGAACGUAGUAAUUUCAAAAAAAUUCCUACGCACACGCAAGAUCAUGGUGAUGCAUAGCAACGAGAGGGGAGAGUGUUGUCCACGUACCCUCGUAGACCGACAGCAGAAGCGUUAUCACAACACGGUUGAUGUAGUCGUACGUCUUCACGAUCCGACCGAUCAAGUACCGAACGUACGGCACCUCCGAGUUCUACACACGUUCAGCUCGAUGACGUCCCUCGAACUUCGAUCCAGCCGAGUGUCGAGGGAGAGUUUCGUCAGCACGACGGCGUGGUGACGAUGAUGAUGUUCCACCGACGCAGGGCUUCGCCUAAGCUCCGCAACGGUAUUAUCGAGGUGUAAUAUGGUGGAGUGGGGCACCGCACACGGCUAAGAGAUCUCAAGGAUCAAUUGUUGUAUCUCUGGCGUGCCCCCCUGCCCCCGUAUAUAAAGGAGCAAGGGGGAGGCAGCCGGCCAAGGGGAGAGGCGCGCUAUAGGGGGGAGUCCUACUCCCACCGGGAGUAGGACUCCUCCUUUCCUUGUGGGAGUAGGAGAAGGGAAGGGGGAAGGAGAAAGAAGGAAGGGUGCGCCCCCCUUCCCUAGUCCAAUUCGGACCAGACCAUGGGGAGGGGUGCGGCCACCUUUUGAGGCCUUUCUCUCCUUUCCCGUAUGGCCCAUAAGGCCCAAUACGAAUUCCCGUAACUCUCCGGUACUCCGAAAAAUACCCGAAUCACUCGGAAUCUUUCCGAAGUCCGAAUAUAGUCGUCCAAUAUAUCGAUCUUUACGUCUCGACCAUUUCGAGACUCCUCGUCAUGUCCCCGAUCUCAUCCGGGACUCCGAACUCCUUCGGUACAUCUACAUACAUAAACUCAUAAUAAAACUGUCAUCGUAACGUUAAGCGUGCGGAACCUACGGGUUCGAGAACUAUGUAGACAUGACCGAGACACGUCUCCAGUCAAUAACCAAUAGCGGGACCUGGAUGCCCAUAUUGGCUCCCACAUAUUCUACGAAGAUCUUUAUCGGUCAGACCGCAUAAUAACAUACGUUGUUCCCUUUGUCAUCGGUAUGUUACUUGCCCGAGAUUCGAUCGUCGGUAUCUCGAUACCUAGUUCAAUCUCGUUACCGGCAAGUCUCUUUACUCGUUCCGUAACACAUCAUCCCGCAACUAACUUAUUAGUCACAAUGCUUGCAAGGCUUAUAUUGAUGUGCAUUACCGAGUGGGCCCAGAGAUACCUCUCCGACAAUCGGAGUGACAAAUCCUAAUCUCGAAAUACGCCAACCCAACAAGUACCUUUGGAGACACCUGUAGAGCACCUUUAUAAUCACCCAUUUACGUUGUGACGUUUGGUAGCACACAAAGUGUUCCUCCGGUAAACGGGAGUUGCAUAAUCUCAUAGUCAUAGGAACAUGUAUAAGUCAUGAAGAAAGCAAUAGCAACAUACUAAACGAUCGGGUGCUAAGCUAACGGAAUGGGUCAAGUCAAUCACGUCAUUCUCCUAAUGAGGUGAUCCCGUUAAUCAAAUGACAACUCAUGUCUAUGGCUAGGAAACAUAACCAUCUUUGAUUAACGAGCUAGUCAAGUAGAGGCAUACUAGUGACACUCUGUUUGUCUAUGUAUUCACACAUGUAUUAUGUUUCCGGUUAAUACAAUUCUAGCAUGAAUAAUAAACAUUCAUCAUGAUAUAAGGAAAUAAAUAAUAACUUUAUUAUUGCCUCUAGGGCAUAUUUCCUUCAAUAUUGCCAUGCAACUUACCACCAUUCCGUUUAUUACUACACGCUUCAUCAUUGUCAUAUUGCUUCGCAUGAUCAUGUAGUUGACAUCGUAUUUGUGGCAAAGCCACCUUCAUAAUUCUUUCAUACAUGUCACUCUUGAUUCAUUGCAUAUCCCGGUACCCCGCCGGAGGCAUUCACAUAGAGUCAUAUUUUGUUCUAAGUAUUGAGUUGUAAUUCUUGAGUUGUAAGUAAAUAAAAGUGUGAUGAUCAUCAUUGUUAGAGCAUUGUCCCAAGUGAGGAAAGGAUGAUGGAGACUAUGAUUCCCCCACAAGUCGGGAUGAGACUCCGGACGAAAAAAAGAGGCCAUAAAAAAAGGAGAAAAGGCCGAAAAAAUGAGAGAGAAAGAGAGAAGGGACAAUGUUACUAUCCUUUUACCACACAUGUGCUUCAAAGUAGCACCACGAUCUUCAUGAUAGAGAGUCUCCUAUGUUGUCACUUUCAUAUGCUAGUGGGAAUUUUACAUUAUAGAACUUGGCUUGUAUAUUCCAAUGAUGGGCUUCCUCAAAAAUGCCCUAGGUCUUCAUGAGCAAGCGAGUUGGAUGCACACCCACUUAGUUUCUUUUGUUGAGCUUUCAUACACUUAUAGCUCUAGUGCAUCCGUUGCAUGGCAAUCCCUACUCACUCACAUUGAUAUCUAUUAAUGGGCAUCUCCAUAGCCCGUUGAUACGCCUAGUUGAUGUGAGACUAUCUUCUUCUUUUUGUCUUCUCCACAACCACCAUUCUAUUCCACAUAUAGUGCUAUGUCCAUGGCUCACGCUCAUGUAUUGUGUGAAGAUUGAAAAAGUUUGAGAACAUCAAAUGUAUGAAACAAUUGCUUGGUUUGUCAUCGGGGUUGUGCAUUAUUAAAUACUUUAUGUGAUGAAGAUAGAGCAUAGCCAGACUAUAUGAUUUUGUAGGGAUAACUUUCUUUGGCCAUGUUAUUUUGAGAAGACAUGAUUGCUUUGUUAGUAUGCUUGCAGUAUUAUUGUUUUCAUGUCAAUAUUAAACUUUUAUCUUGAAUCUUUUGGAUCUAAACAUUCAUGCCACAAUAGAGAAAAUUACAUUGAGGAAUAUGCUAGGUAGCAUUCCACAUCAAAAAUUCUGUUUUUAUCAUUUACCUACUCGAGGACGAGCAAGAAUUAAGCUUGGGGAUGCUGAUACGUCUCCAACGUAUCUAUAAUUUUUGAUUGUUCCAUGCUAUUAUAUUAUCUGUUUCGGAUAUUCAAUGGGAUUUAUUAUACACUUUUAUAUUAUUUUUGGGACUAACCUAUUAAUCGGAGGCCCAGCCCAAAUUGCUGUUUUUUGCCUAUUUCAGUGUUUCGAAGGAAAGGAAUAUCAAACGGAGUCCAAACGGAAUGAAACCUUCGGGAAUGUGAUUUUCUGAACAAACGUGAUCCAGAGGACUUGGAGUGGACGUCAAGCAAUCAACAAGGAGGCCACGAGGCAGGGGGGCGUGCCUACCCCCUAGGCGUGCCCUCCACCCUCAUGGGCCCCUCGUAGCUCCACCGACCUACGUCUUCCUCCUAUAUAUACCUACGUACCCCGAAAACAACAGAUACGGAGCCAAAACCCUAUUUCCACCGCCGCAACCUUCUGUACCCGUGAGAUCCCAUCUUGGGGCCUUUUCCGGCGCUCCGCCGGAGGGGGCAUUGAUCACGGAGGGCUUCUACAUCAACACCAUAGCCUCUCCGAUGAUGUGUGAGUAGUUUACCUCAGACCUUCGGGUCCAUAGUUAUUAGCUAGAUGGCUUCUUCUCUCUCUUUGGAUCUCAAUACAAAGUUCUCCUCGAUUCUCUUGGAGAUCUAUUCGACAUAAUGUUCUUUUGCGGUGUGUUUGUCGAGAUCCGAUGAAUUGUGGGUUUAUGAUUGUCGUGGUAUCCUCACGGGGGGCUUGCGAGUCGACAGAUGCCACAAGGGCUUAGUGUGAGGGUAAGACUGCUGCUGAUAGGCCCGGGAGCGGGUAUGCGAGUAGCACGCGGUGGUUUACCCAGCUUCGGAGCUCUCCGGAGAUAUAAUACUCCUACUGCUGCAUGUCUGAGUGUAUCUGAUAUAUCUAGUACAGGAUGCUCCUCGAGCUGUAUCUGAGGUCAGUGCCAUAGGCAUCUGGCAUCUGGCCUCGUAUGUGGCAUGCUAGUGGCCGGCCAUGCUCAUGGCCGUGAGCAUGUGGGUGCUCAUGCGUGAGUGUGUGUGAGAGUGAGUCCAUCCCCUGGAUGGAUGGAUGUGUGCCCCUUUAUAUAAGAGAGGGUAGCUUAGGAUGUAAGCUUGGUAGUGGGCAUGGGUAAGGCAUGGUGCAUGUCAUGCUUGUCCCCUGGGUCACUUCAUAAAUAGUGCCAGGGGACAAGUGACACUAUACAUGAUGGUGUCGCGGUACGGUUGUCUUGUCCGCGGUAUGGCCGUCUCGUCGGGGUCUUGUCGGUGUCGGGUCGGGCUGCAGUCGGCAGCCGGCUGGUUGGCGCAGUCGGCAGCCGGUAGCCGGCCGGGCAGAGCAGUCGGACGGGGAGCCGGGAGGAGCGGCCGGGCAGUCGGACUGAGGGGCUUUGCUAGCCCCGAUGUCUUGAAUUAUUGUCUCGCCGUCUUCGGGGUAUCCAUGUCCGAUUACUCUGACAGUAGCCCCCAAGCCUCCGGGCAUCUUGGCAAAGUUGGGCGGAGGUUUUUUGGCGAGUGUUCAUGGAAAUGAUCAUGAAAAAAGACAAAGUUAGUCCAUGCAGGUAUGUCGAAUAUUUGCUUUUAGCAUUGCAAGUUUUAUGCGGAGGGUGUCGACUCGGUUUCGUCCGAGCCCCCUUCAAUCUUUUUCAUGUUCCCUCCACUCUUUGGCUUGUGCUCUCACUUGCUGGACAGCCGCUCUGCGGUCUGUGGCUGAGAGUGGGCCGCGGAGCGGAGUGUACAGUACUCAGACUCUGGGAGCAGAUUAGACCGAGCUGAUACUCGUAAAGGAAACGGCCGGGUCGCCCGAACCGUUUUUCUUCCCGGACGUUUUUCGCGUGGGUGGCCUCCAGCGUUCACUCUUGCUAGCCGGACAGCUGCUCUGCGGUCUAUGACUAAGAGUGGGCCUUUGGUACCGCGCAUGCUACUAUGCCGUCUGCGGGAACUAAUGUCUCAGGCCAAACGACCAGCCCCGGGCCAACUCUGGCUGGCGCCGGGGCGAACAGUGGUGCAACUGUAAUAAAAAGCGAAGGUGGUCCCCGAGCGUCGCUCGGGGUUAUCCGGGUUUGCACACGGUGCGAAAAUAUGCGGGUGAGGGGCUCACAUUGGUUUGACGCAGACGAGGCGGAGGCUGACGAAGACAGCCGGCGCGGCGUGGCGCUUGCGGCGCGCGCCGGCGCACCCGCUGGGUGUACCCUUCGAGCCCUCGGGUGCUCGAAGGGGGGUCCCGGCCGGUCAGGCUCGACCGGCCAGGCGGCGAGGCGUCUUGCAACACCCCUUUUCUUCUUUUUCUCUUCUGCCGGCUGCUGGCAGCCGGACAAGACUCUUCUCUUGUCUGCAAUCUUCACGGGGGCGCGCCAGCGCACCCGCUGGGUGUAGCCCUCGAGAUUCGGGCCGACUGCUGAGCAGUCGGGCCGGAUCUCCCGGCAACUACUUUGUCUUCUUCUUCGCAGGGGCGUCAGCGCACCGGCUGGGUGUAGCCCCCGAGAUUCAGGCCGACUGCAGAGCAGUCGGGCCGGAUCUCCCGGCGACUACUUUAUCUUCACUUUGUCCCAGGCGGACGCACAUUUCUUUUCCAUCUGGCUGGGUAGUCGGACUUCUGGAAACGAGCAGCCGACUCGCAUCCUAUCUCUCUCUCUCUUUUUUUUCUUUUUCUUUUUUUUCAGCCGGCCCUUGACUUUUCUCUACCAACCGGCAGCAACUUUGCCCCGCGGGCUACCGGCCAAUUUCUUUCUUUUUCAGUUCUCUAGACAGCCACCACUUCUCUCAGCUCCUUUCGCGUGGGGAGGCGGCAGCGGCCGGCCGGCGUGGGGAAGCCGGCCAACGCGGGGCGGCGACCCAACGGGCGCGCGGGGGGCGACAAGGGCUGGNNNNNNNNNNNNNNNNNNNNNNNNNNNNNNNNNNNNNNNNNNNNNNNNNNNNNNNNNNNNNNNNNNNNNNNNNNNNNNNNNNNNNNNNNNNNNNNNNNNNNNNNNNNNNNNNNNNNNNNNNNNNNNNNNNNNNNNNNNNNNNNNNNNNNNNNNNNNNNNNNNNNNNNNNNNNNNNNNNNNNNNNNNNNNNNNNNNNNNNNNNNNNNNNNNNNNNNNNNNNNNNNNNNNNNNNNNNNNNNNNNNNNNNNNNNNNNNNNNNNNNNNNNNNNNNNNNNNNNNNNNNNNNNNNNNNNNNNNNNNNNNNNNNNNNNNNNNNNNNNNNNNNNNNNNNNNNNNNNNNNNNNNNNNNNNNNNNNNNNNNNNNNNNNNNNNNNNNNNNNNNNNNNNNNNNNNNNNNNNNNNNNNNNNNNNNNNNNNNNNNNNNNNNNNNNNNNNNNNNNNNNNNNNNNNNNNNNNNNNNNNNNNNNNNNNNNNNNNNNNNNNNNNNNNNNNNNNNNNNNNNNNNNNNNNNNNNNNNNNNNNNNNNNNNNNNNNNNNNNNNNNNNNNNNNNNNNNNNNNNNNNNNNNNNNNNNNNNNNNNNNNNNNNNNNNNNNNNNNNNNNNNNNNNNNNNNNNNNNNNNNNNNNNNNNNNNNNNNNNNNNNNNNNNNNNNNNNNNNNNNNNNNNNNNNNNNNNNNNNNNNNNNNNNNNNNNNNNNNNNNNNNNNNNNNNNNNNNNNNNNNNNNNNNNNNNNNNNNNNNNNNNNNNNNNNNNNNNNNNNNNNNNNNNNNNNNNNNNNNNNNNNNNNNNNNNNNNNNNNNNNNNNNNNNNNNNNNNNNNNNNNNNNNNNNNNNNNNNNNNNNNNNNNNNNNNNNNNNNNNNNNNNNNNNNNNNNNNNNNNNNNNNNNNNNNNNNNNNNNNNNNNNNNNNNNNNNNNNNNNNNNNNNNNNNNNNNNNNNNNNNNNNNNNNNNNNNNNNNNNNNNNNNNNNNNNNNNNNNNNNNNNNNNNNNNNNNNNNNNNNNNNNNNNNNNNNNNNNNNNNNNNNNNNNNNNNNNNNNNNNNNNNNNNNNNNNNNNNNNNNNNNNNNNNNNNNNNNNNNNNNNNNNNNNNNNNNNNGGCCUGCCGGGACGGGCGAUCGCGAGUCGGCGUGUCGCGCGGGCUCGAAGCAGGCGGCCAAGGCGUGGGAAGCCGGCCGCGGGGCAGAGGAGGCGGCCACGACGCGGUGGUCGGCGGACGAGGCAACUGCAGCGGCAGGGCGCUGCCCCGGGUGCGUGGGGCUCCUCCCUUGGUGGCGCGCGAGCGAGGAGUCGAGGCAGAGGUGCGCGGGUCGCAGCCGGGCACGGCGCGCCGUGGGAUGGAGGCGGAGCCGCGGGCGCAGAGGCGAGGCGGAGGCAGCCAGGCGGCCAGGCUCGAGCCCGGGACACCGCGGAGGAGAGCCGCUUGUGGCCGGCUAGAGGCGGGGCAGCGAGAAUGGGCUGUCGGGGAGGCACGGUCGACGCGGCACACGGGCGCGCGAGGCCUGGCGGCCGCGGCCGCACGUGGAGCAGAGGGCGAGCACGGGAGGCCGAGCGGACGCAGCUGGCGUCGGCUGGACCGGUGCGGGGUUGAGCUCGGGUGGCCGAGUGGCGCAGACCCGGCAGUGGCGAGGCGAACGCGGCCUACGCGGGCAGAAGGCGGCCGAGCGUGGGCGCGGGAGCCGGCUUGGCAGCUGACCAAGCAGCCGGAUUGAGCAGUUGACCAUCGAUGGUAUAUGAAGGAGCGGCUGCGUGUUUCGGCCGGAGCAAAGUGCAACGCAGAAGGAGCAAACGCGCGGAUGGAUGUGGUCGACCGAAGCGAGGCCCUGCAUGCAGAUGGACGGCCGACUUUGCGGUGGUGGUGAAGAAGAGGCCGACGGCGAGGACGCACCGCCCCUCGCGGCCGCUCCGGGGGCAUGUCGAUGUUGGGCCCCCGAGCGCUACCGGAGAGACGACGGCGACGCCGCGGUGACGACGAAGAUGGCGAGGCCGAUGGCGAGGACGCGGCGCCCCUCGCGGCCACUCCGGGGGCGUGUCGAUGUCGAGCCCCCGACCGCUACUUGAGAGACGGCGCGACGCCGCGGCGGUGAAGGCGAAAAUGGUCCCGCCCGGACUGCGAAACCAGCAGCAGCGUGGUACCAUAGUAAUAGUACCACCCCACGGUGGGCGCCAGCUGUCGUGGUAUCCUCACGGGGGGCUUGCAAGUCGACAGAUGCCACAAGGGCUUAGUGUGAGGGUAAGACUGCUGCUGAUAGGCCCGGGAGCGGGUAUGCGAGUAGCACGCGGUGGUUUACCCAGCUUCGGAGCUCUUCGGAGAGAUAAUACUCCUACUGCUGCAUGUCUGAGUGUAUCUGAUAUAUCUAGUACAGGAUGCUCCUCGAGCUGUAUCUGAGGUCAGUGCCAUAGGCAUCUGGCAUCUGGCCUCGUAUAUGCCUCGUAUGUGGCAUGCUAGUGGCCGGCCAUGCUCAUGGCCGUGAGCAUGUGGGUGCUCAUGCGUGAGUGUGUGUGAGAGUGAGUCCAUCCCCUGGAUGGAUGGAUGUGUGCCCCUUUAUAUAAGAGAGGGUAGCUUAGGAUGUAAGCUUGGUAGUGGGCAUGGGUAAGGCAUGGUGCAUGUCAUGCUUGUCCCCUGGGUCACUUCAUAAAUAGUGCCAGGGGACAAGUGACACUAUACAUGAUGGUGUCGCAGUACGGUUGUGUUGUCCGCGGUAUGGCCGUCUCGUCGGGGUCUUGUCGGUGUCGGGUCGGGCUGCAGUCGGCAGCCGGCUGGUUGGCUCAGUCGGCAGCCGGCUGGUCGUUGCAGUCAGCAGCCGGCAGCCGGCCGGGCAGAGCAGUCGGACGGGGAGCCGGCAGGAGCGGCCGGGCAGUCGGACUGAGGGGCUUUGCUAGCCCUAAUGUCUUGAAUUAUUGUCUCGCCGUCUUCGGGGUAUCCGUGUCCAAUUACUCCGACAAUGAUCAAGAUUAUCUCUGAACAAUAUUUGAAUCUCCUCUGAAUUCUUUUAUGUAUGAUCGGUUAGCUUUGCAAGUCUCUUCGAAUUAUCAGUUUGGUUUGGCCUACUAGAUUGAUCUUUCUUGCAAUGGGAGAAGUGCUUAGCUUUGGGUUCAAUCUUGCGGUGCUCGAUCCUAGUGACAGUAGGGGAAACGACACGUAUUGUAUUGUUGCCAUCGAGGAUAAAAAGAUGGGGUUUAUAUUAUAUUGCAUGAGUUUAUCCCUCUACAUCAUGUCAUCUUGCUUAAAGUGUUACUCUAUUCUUAUGAACUUAAUACUCUAGAUGCAUACUGGAUAGCGGUCGAUGUGUGGAGUAAUAGUAGUAGAUGCAGGAGGAGUCGGUCUACUUGUUACGGACGUGAUGCCUAUAUACAUGAUCAUAUCUAGAUAUUCUCAUAACUAUGCUCAAUUCUAUCAAUUGCUCGACAGUAAUUUGUUUACCCACCGUAAUACUUAUGCUAUCUUGAGAGAAGCUAGUAGUGAAACCUAUGGCCCCCGGGUCUAUUCUCCAUCAUAUUAAUCUCCCGUCAACAAGCUAUUUCUAUUACCGUUUAUUUUGCUUUCUUUACUUUUAGUCUUUAUCAUAAAAAUACCAAAAAUAUUAUCUUAUCAUCUCUAUCAGAUCUCACUUUUGCAAGUGGCCGUGAAGGGAUUGACAACCCCUUUAUCGCGUUGGUUGCAAGGUUCUUAUUUGUUUGUGUAGGUACGAGGGACUUGCGUGUGGCCUCCUACUGGAUUGAUACCUUGGUUCUCAAAAACUGAGGGAAAUACUUAUGCUACUUUACUGCAUCACCCUUUCCUUUUCAAGGGAAAACCAACGCAGUGCUCAAGAGGUAGCACCCACUGCUUGACCUGGCGGUGAGAGGAGUGCAAAGAUGCACCUCUGGCAAAGCACAUGACUUCCGUAGCUUUUUGGAACUCGUGCUCACUAGACUCAUUGUCGUCCUCGUCAUCAUCUUCAUCUUCAUCUCCCUCCUUGUCGUGGCCUCGAGCAGGCUUGUCCUUCUGCUGCUUAGCCAUGUCGCGGCGACCUUCACAGCUACCACGACCUUUCUUGCUAGACCCGCCAGCACCAUCUUGGGCCUUCUCCUUGUCACGCUUCCCAUACACAGCUUUCUGCUUUUCGGCAAGUUGGUCGACUAGCCGGCAGUCCUGGAGAUCGUGGCACUUGAUAUGGUGGAUCUUGUAGUAUUUCUUAGCGGAACCCUCCAUCUUGUCGCCAGCCGCCAGCUCUUGACAUGAAGUGCACCCGACAACCUCCUUGUCGGGGCUCUCGGUCUUGGGCAUCGCCAUCUUGCCCUUGCACUUCCUGUUGCGCUUGCGUCCCUUCUUCUUCAGGCCGGUGGCGUCGUCGUCUUCGGAGUCGACCUCUGUGCCAACAUCUUCCCCGGGAAGUCUCCUCCCCUCUUCAGCAAGUGCACACUUGUUGGCCAGAGCGUAAAGCUCGGUGACGUCCCUCACCUUUGUUCAUGGAUAAGUCCCCACGAAUCUUGCGAUUGUGCACAUUCAUGUGAAACGCAUCAAUCACAGCAGCAGGGUGGAUGUCGAGAAUGUUGUGUUGCACAUGGCUGAGUCUCUGAAUGUACUUGCGGAGAGACUCACCAUUUCUUUGUGGCAGCACAUGUGAGUCGCUGGGCUGACCGGGAACCUUGUGCCCCACAGUAAAGUGCCAACGAAUUCAUGGCGCAGAUCCGACCAAGAGGAAAUGGAGUUCUCCGGCAAGUUCGUCAACCAUGAUCUGUCGUUGGACUUGAGUGCCAACGGAAAGUAGUUGGUGAGGAUCUUAUUGUCGCACCCCCGACAGCCUGCGCUGCAAUAGUGUAGAUGCCUAGGAACUCCGACGGGUGGAUCUUGUUGUCGUAUUUCUCCGGCAACUCUGGCUUGAAGUUCCGGGAAGUGGGCCAUGAUACGUCUCCGUCGUAUCUACUUUUCCUAACGCUUUUGCUCUUGAUUUGGACUCUAAUUUGUAUGAUUUGAAUGAAACUAACCCGGACUAACACUGUUUUCAGCAGAACUACCGUGGUGUUGUUUUUGUGCAGAAAUAAAAAUUCUCAGAAUGGAACAGAACUUUUUGGAGAAUUAUUUCAGAAUAUAUAAAAAAUACUAGAGCCAAGAACCACCGGAGGGGGGCCCCUGGUUGAGCACACAACCCACCAGGGCGUGCCACCCCCUCCAGGCGCGCCCAGGUGGGUUGUGCCCACCUGGUGGCCCCGCAGACUUGUUGGAAAUAUUCCCUAGAGGCAAUAAUAAAUUGGUUAUUAUCAUAUUUCCAUGUUUAUGAUAAUCGUUAUUAUCCAUGCUACAAUUGUAUUGAUCGGAAACUCAGAUACAUGUGUGGAUACAUAGACAACAAUGUGUCCCUAGUGAGCCUCUACUUGACUAGCUCGUUGAUCAAAGAUGGCUAUGGUUUCCUAGCCAUAGACAUGAUUUGUCAUUUGAUAACGGGAUCACAUCAUUAGGAGAAUGAUGUGAUGGACAAGACCCAAACUAUAAAUGUAGCAUAUGAUCGUAUCAAGUUUAUUGCUAUCGUUUUCUGCAUGUCAAGUAUAUAUGUUCCUAUGACCAUGAGAUCAUGCAACUCACUGACACCGGAGGAAUACCUUGUGUGUACCAAACUUCGCAAGGUAACUAGGUGACUAUAAAGGUGCUCUACAGGUAUCUCCGAGGAUGUCUGUUGAGUUGGCAUGGAUCAAGACUGGGAUUUGUCACUCCGUAUGACGGAGAGGUAUCUCAGGGCCCACUCGGUAAUACAACAUCACAAGAAGCUUGCAAGCAAUGUGACUAAUGAGUUAGCCGCGGGAUCUUGUAUUACGGAAUGAGUAAAGAGACUUUCCGGUAACGAGAUUGAACUAGGUAUGAAGAUACCAAUGACCGAAUCUCGGGCAAGUAACAUACUGAUAGACAAAGGGAACUGCAUACGGAAUUAGCAGAAUCCUUGACAUUCAGGUUCGACCGAUAAGAUCUUCGUAGAGUAUGUAGGAACCAAUAUGGGCAUCCAGGUCUCGCUAUUGGUUAUUGACUGUAGAGGUGUCUCAGUCAUGUCUGCAUAGUUCUCGAACCCGUAGGGUCUACACACUUAACGUUUGGUGAUGAUAUAAGUAUAGUUGAGUCAUUAUGGUGGUUCCCGAAGGUUGUUCGGAGUCCCGGAUGAGAUCCCGGACGUGACGAGGAACUCUGGAAUGGUCCGGAGGUGAAGAUUGAUAUAUUGGACGAAGGGUAUUGGAGUCCGGAGUUGUUUCGAGGGUACCGCGUGAUGACCAGCGUCUCCGAAAGGGGUUUCGGGGGGCCCCGACAAGUGCUGGGGGGUGCCAUGGGCCAAGGGGAGGGGCUAACCAGCCCACUAAGGGGCUGAGCGCCCCCUCACCCCAUUGCACGUAACCAGGAGGGUUGGGGGCGCCCCUCUAGGGUUCCCUCCACCCGGCUUGGGGGGGCAAGUCACCCUAGGGUAGAUCCCAUCUGCCCUGGUCGCCGCACCCCCAAGGGGAAACCCUAGGGGUGCCACCGCCUCCUCCCUUCCCCUAUAUAUAGAGAGGUAGAGAGAGGGCAGCCGCACCCUUGAGCACAUCUCCACGCCACGGCGCUGCCCUUCCUCUCCCUCGUAGCCCUCUUCCUCUCCGUAGUGCUUAGCGAAGCUCUGCUGAGAUUUCACCACCACCACCGCCACCACGCUAUCGUGCUGUCGGAGGACUCGAGCUACUACUUCACCAUCACUCGCUGGAUCGAGGAGGUGAAGGCGUCAUCAAGCCGUAUGUGUGUUGAAUGCGGAGGUGCCGUCCGUUCGACACUUGGAUCGGAGUUCGCGGGACGGAUCAUGAUUGGAUCGCGAAGACGUUCGAAUACAUCAACUGCGUUUCUUAACGCUUCCACUUAGCGAUCUACAAGGGUAUGUAGAUCCAAUCUCUCCUCUCGUAGAUGGUCAUCUCCUAGAUUGGAUCUUGGUGAGCAUAGGAUUUUUUUGUUUCCCAUGCAACGUUCCCCAACAAGACCCUAAUUCCAACUCCUUAAAUACCUAUUUUUGGAGGAAAAAUCAGAGAGGAAGAAUUAUCGCGUUUCACGAGAUGGAGCCGCCGCCACCUCAUGUUCUUCAUCGGGAGGCCAGAUCUGGAGUCCGUUCGGGGCUCCGGAGAGGGGAAUCUUCGGUCUUCGUCAACACCAACCCUCCUUCAUCACCAAUUCCAUGAUGCUCCCCACUGGGAGUGAGUAAUUCCUUCGUAGGCUCGCUGGUCGGUGAGGAGUUGGAUGAGAUUCAUCAUGUAAUCGAGUUAGUUUUGUUAAGGCUUGAUCCCUAGUUUCCGCUAUGUUCUGAGAUUGAUGUUGUUAUGACUUUGCCAUGCUUAAUGCUUGUCACUAGGGCCCGAGUCCCAUGAUUUCAGAUCUGAAUAGUUUAUGUUUUCACCAUUAUAUCUAUGUUCUAGAUCCGAUCUUGCAAGUCAUAUUCACCUAUUACGUGUUAUGAUCCGUAAACCGCGGGGUGACAAUAAUCGGGAUACUUUCUGGUGAUGACCGUAGUUUGAGGAGUUCAUGUAUUCACUAUGUGUUAAUGCUUUGUUCCGGUUCUCUAUUAAAAGGAGGCCUUAAUAUCCCUUAGUUUCCUUAUGAACCCUGCUGCCACGGGAGGGUCGGACAAAACAUGUCAUGCAAGUUCUUUCCAUAAGCAUGUAUGACUAUUCACGAAAUACAUGCCUACAUUAUAUUUAUGAACUGGAGCUAGUUUUGUAUCGCCCUAGGUUAUGACUGUUAUAUGAUGAAUAUCAUCUAACGAGUUCACCGAUCCAAUGCCUACGAAUUUUCCACAUAUUGUUCUUGCUAAGUUACUACUGCUGAUGUUACUGUUACACUUGCUACAAAAUCCUUGCUAUCACUGUUACCGUUACUGCUACUAUCAUCACUACCAUCAAAACUAUCAUAUUACAGUGCUACCGAUCACUUUGCUGCAGAUAAUUAAUCUCCAGGUGUGGUUGAAUUGACAACUCAACUGCUAAUACCUACAAAUAUUCGUUGGCUCCUCUUGUGUCGAAUCUAUAAAUUUGGUUGAAUACUCUACCCUCAAAAAUGGUUGCGAUCCCCUAUACUUAUGGGUUAUCAAGACCUUUUUCUGGCGCCGUUGCCGGGGAGCAUAGCUAUAUUUGUUGAGUCACUUGGGAUUAUUAUCUAUUUAUCACUAUGAAGAAUCAAAAGGAUACCAAGACUAAGAUUUUUCCCUCUAAGACGAGGGGAGGUAAGGAACUGCCAUCUAGCUCUGCAGUUGAUUCACCUUCUAUUUUGAGUAAACUUGCAACACCACCACAUGCUAUUAAUCUUGAUAUGUCGCAAGUUAUUGAUGAUGCUACUUCUGCUAUGAAUGCUACUCAGGAUGAUGCUAGUACCUUGCUUGAUGAUAAUAUGCCACUAGGUGAAUUUCUUGACGAACAAAUUGCUAGAGCUAAAGAUAUUGAGAAUGGUAAAACUGAUGAAAUUAUUGAAACUGAUGAAGUACUUAAAACCGAAAAUCUUGAAACACCUAUUAGGCCUAGCUCUCCUAGAUAUGAACUAGAAGGGUCACCUGCGCAUUUGCGCGGCUAGACUUAUUGUUGGUCUCAUCUUUUAUUCGAAAUGUACAUAGUACUUCAAUACAUGAUCUUGUUAUUUAGCAAAAAAUACUGCAUGUUUCACUUUGCUUCAAAAGGUGAAUUUUAAUUGGAUAUAUGCUAAAUUAUAAGUUUAAAAUUUUAAUGGCUUCACUACAAAAAAAAAAGACACAUCCGCGACAUUUUGGGCCGAAUGAAAUUUUUUUCAGUCAUACAUAUGACACUUCUAUGACGAUAAUUGCGACAAAACCCGGUAUCAUCAUAGAUGUGGUGGGCUCCUAAUUCUAUGACAAAAAAUCAUGACAGAAAAUGGGCUUUUCGUCCUGGGCGGGCCGGAGACGCAGCUGCAUGACAUUCUUUGGGCCAUCCAUGACGGAAAAAACCAUGGUAGAAG
rnacentral:lncRNA from 1 species